rnacentral:lncRNA from 1 species
AAACCUAAAUGAGAAAGGUGGGGUAGAUGAAAAAGUGAUGAUGGAACUUGGCCUGUUAGGUUGUUAGAGGAAAGUGCUAAAUAUUCCAAUUUGAUUAAAUUUCCAUAAACAAUUGGGAUGCUACCGCUAAAGUUAUUAUUUGCAAGAUUACAAUCAAUGAGGUGUUUGAGGUUUGAAAGUAAUGGUGAGAUCUCACCGUUAAGUUUAUUAUUUGAAAGAUCCAAAUAUGUUAGUUGAGUGAGGUUCCACAAAGAUAGAGGAACCAUCCCAUCAAAAUUGCACCAUGAAAAAUCUAAUCGAGUAAGAUACUUCAAUUGACCUAUGGAAUAAGGAAUUUCACCUGAGAAAGCAGUGUAAGAGAGGUCUAAGUACCUUAGAGGAGUGCUCCAGUUGGACUUUGGAAGUUGACCACUAAGGUUUUGAUUAAAUGACAAAUCCAAUCUUUGAAGAUUAGGUAAAGAGAGGAUGUCACUUGAUAUAUUUCCUUGCAACACAGUGUUUCGUAGACUAAGAGAAACCAAAGAGGAUGACAAAUUCUUUAGCAUUGACAAUGAGCUCUCUCCGAUUGAAGACAUGUUCACUCCAUUAAGAUGAAGAUCCCUUAAAUUAGUAGCAUUAUGAAUGAGUUUCUUCCAAAUGAAUGAAUUGAGUUUCAAUCCCACUUGUUCGUACCAGUAACUGCUAAGAUCAAGUGAUACUAAUUUUGACAAAUGAGAGAUUGUGGAAGGAAUAUUACCAUUGAGGUAACAAUUUGAUAGAUUUAGAUGUGUGAGUUUCACUAAAUCUCCGACACCAAUAGGUAUUGAAGACCAAGAAAAAUUAUUAAAAGCCAAAUUAAGUUGUUGAAGGCGUCUAAGCUGGAAGAUAGUGCUAUUGGGAUGUAAUUCACCUUUCAAAUUGUUGCAACUGAGGUCCAAACCAAUCACGUAAUCCGACUCAGUGUCACACGUGACACCAUCCCACUUGCAACAAUCUGUAUUGUUUUUCCAAGAUUCUGUCCUGGAAGAAAAAGAGGAACAUCUAGACCAAAUAUCAGGUUGAGACGAAGUGUUAACUGAAAAUGAGUUUUUGAAUUGUAACAAGGCAGAACUGUCAUGAUGGUUGCAUAAUGAGAGUGUGUAGGAAGUAAAAUGAGUAAGCAACAACAACAAGAAAAAGUGAAAGGCAAAAUAAGGCAAUAGAAUAAAAAAGGACCCCAUUUAGAGCAACUUACACCGAUUCUCUCCCUCUUCUCAAUAGUUUCUUUUUUUACUUUGAUGAUUUACGUAGGAUAUACCAAUUGAUUAGCCUCUAUUUAUAUAGGAAACAUAACCUGAAACUACGGGGAAAGGACCAAAAAGUUUGACUUAUUAGAUUGUUUACAAAUUGAGUCUAAGUAUUCCCUUAUUUUGUUGACCGUAUAGUGAUAUGACAAUUGGCAACAAUAUUAACAAUCAUACAAAAGUUUGGUGUUCGUUAAACUAAAUAACAUCUUGGAAGACCAAGACUUUUUUAACGUAAUUAAUUAGCACUAAAGUUGGAAUCUUAUUGCAAGUUGUGAUAAGAUAACAAAUUCAUUUAGGCUUAAUACCAUUUUCGCCCUCUAACUUUCAUAAAAUUGCGAUUUUGAUCCCCAAAAAAAAAAUUAUAAAACUGCCCCUUAAGUUUUGCAACCGUAGAAUUUUUGGCCCCAAAAAGUUUGAGUUAUUAGAUUGUUUACAAACAUUGAGUCUAGGUAUUCCCUUAUUUUGUGUUGGGGGUGCUUUUCAUAACCGUAUACUGAUAUGACAUUUGGCAACAAUAUUAAUUCAGUAACAAUCAUAGAAAAGUUUGGUGUUCAUUAAACUAAAUAACAUCUUGGAAAACCAAGACUUUUCGAACGUAAUUAGCACUAAAGUUGGAAUCUUAUUGCAAGUUGUGAUAAUAAGAUAACAAAUUCAUUUAAGUAGCAAUCAGAAUGAGUAAUUUGCUUAAAAAUACACCUAAAAUGAAGAAAAUAAUAACAACAUUAAUUGUAUUUAGCAACGGAGACUUAGACUUCUUCAACUGAACAGACUUUAAAGAGCGUUCAAGGUGGAUUACUCUUAGCAAGGAUAUUUUAAUUUAUAUGCUACAUCCGUCCUUAAAUAUAAGACUAUUUUAUAGGGAUAGCAAUUGAACCCAAACCUAAUUAACACCCACAAAAAAUACAUAUGAUGGGCGGGUAAAUACCCGCAUUGUUGGGUAUGGGCAUGGGCACGGGUAUGGGUGCGGGUACGGGCACUCUAUUGCCCACCCCGCCCAUCCCCGCACACUAUAUAGACUAUACCAAUAAUUUUAUUGAUAUUAAAUUUAGUUAAUUAAACCUAAGUCUUAGAUAUUUAUUGUAAUAUGCACUUGUUUUUUAUAUUUUAGAUGUUUUUUAUUUGACUAAAUAAUAUUAUGCCUAAUAUUUUAUUUGUUGAUUUAGUAGAUUUCAUAUCAUUAAUUACGUUGUGAUACUUUUUGUUAUUUAUUACUCCCUCCGGUCCUAUUUACAAGAGACAGUUGACUUUUUAGAUACAUUGAAUAAUGUAUGUAUCUAGUCAAGAACCUAAACCAAAUACAUAAAUUAUUCAAUGUAUCUAAAAAGUAAAUUGUCUCUUGUAAAUAGGACCGGAUGUAGUAUCUUUUUAUUGUGAAAAGUGCAGGUAAUGAGUACAGGUACGGGCACUUAGAUACCCAUAGGGUAUGGGGACGGGCACCAAACUUAUUUUCCACUAGGGUAUGGGCUCGGGUAUGGGGAUUUUCUUAAAACGCGGGUAUGAGGAUGGGCACUAUGGUGUACCCUGCCCAAUGAGUACCCAUUGCCAUCCCUACCCUUUUGAGAAAAAAUUGUUUCUUUUUAUAAGACUCCUUUGAUAUUUCCGAGUACAUUAAUUAAUUCUUUACCAACAUAUCCCUAUUUAUUUUAUAUCAUUUUCUUCAAUCAGCAUUAAAUACUAUAUUGAAAACAUAUACUAAUUUUCUCUCUUAAAGGAUAAAAUUGUAAAAACAAUGGUGAUUACAAACAAAUUUAUUAUCACCUUCAAUUUUCUUAAUUCCCGUUAUUUUUUCAAAAGUGCCAUAUAAUUAGAGACGGAGGUAACACAUGUUUUUUUUUUAUGGUUCUUACCUUAACAACAAAAAAUUCUGUACUAAAAGUUUAUUAUAAGAAAGAGAAAUGAUAUUUGAACAUCCAUUUGGUGACAAUUAUUGUGAUAACUUUCUCUCUCAUACUCACAUUAUUUUUUACCUUAUCUCUCUAUUGCUAUGGUUUCCGUGCCAAUACUACUUUUUCUUUGUAAAUUAUGGUUGUCAAAUAGGUUGUCAACAAAUUAGUUGUUUAAAUAACACUCCUCUAUAAGAAAAUGCACUGAGCACAUAAAAAGAAAACAUAUUAAGUGUCAUCGGAUAUUGAUACUCUACUCGUGAGUUCUACCGUAGACCACUUUUAUAAGUGGUUCAUCAUGCACCGGUACUUAAAAUUAUAAAAAUAAAAAAAAAAUCAAUGAUGACGGACGAUACUAUUUAGAAAUAAAAACUUAUGAUGUUUUUUAUAUUUACGAUUAAGAUGGUGACUUGAUUGAUGUUUAAGAACGAGCUACAAAUAAUUUUACAUUCUCCCCCAUAAAAUUUAACAUGGUUGCAUUCCCAUAACUGAAUUCAAACUCACGACAUCCGGUUAAGCUGGAAGAUAUCACUUUCAUCUUACUCAAAUAAUCUUUGGGUUAUUUUCCCUUGUUAUCAAACUAAUACUCACUCCUUCCCCCAAAUUAUAAGUCAUUUUGGAGUACAAUAUGUGUUUUUUCUAAUUUAUUUUGACAAAAUAGGUAGUUGAUUUUAUCACCAUAAUUGUUUACAUAAAUUUAUCUUCCUCAUACAUCAUAUUUUUCUUUGAGCUGGAAUUAGAAUUAAUGUAGAUAAUUCCGUUUACGAAUAGGAAAAAUUAUUUAUAUAACUUGAAAUAGGAAAAAUAAUAAUUUUAAAAGAUAUAAGACUACUCUGUCAAAAAAAAAAAAAAAAGAUAUAAGACUACAUUACUCAAAGAGAAGUUCAAAGUACAAGCAACCGUAUCUAUAUUUUUUAAAGACUUGCAUCAAAUUAAUUCAUUCUCGGCGAUUUGCACAGUCUAAGAAGCCAUUGAGGUUUUCCAGUGAAGAAGAAUACAUUAUAUCCCAAGAGCAACCCGAAUAUUGCCCCACAUGCAUAUCCUAUUGCUACCGCUUUCCAGCCAAAUCCUGACUCUUCAUCUUCAGAUGUUGAAUGAGGUGGAAGAUCUUCCUCAUUUUUGCAUGAUUUAGACAAUUGGAAUCCACACAACAUUGUAUUUCCUUCAUAGGAAUUAUUUCCAAAUGUAUCAAACUGUUGGCCUGUAGGUAUGAUUCCCUCAAGGUGGUUUUGUGAAAGAUUCAAGAAUGAGAGGAAAUUCAAAUUUGUCAAAGCCGCGGGAAUCUCACCCGUCAAACGGUUCCUGGAGAGGUCCAACCACUCCAAGUUUCUUAGAUUACUCAAAGAUUGUGGAAUGCUACCUGUGAUUCCAUUGUUUGAAAGGUUAAGUCCUUUAAGAGAAUAUAAUUCUCCAAUGACUUGUGGAAUUCUACCUUCAAACAUGUUAUUUGAUAAAUCAAUAGUUGUGAAAGUCGUCAAUAUCCUUUUUAGCUCCAUGAAAAAACCUUUCACUAUGACCACCACAGAAUCAUUGUAGUAACCGUUACGCAUGUAUUGCAGAUCAGUUUUUUUGUCAUUUACAUUAAUCAUUCCUUGAAAGUUCUUGAUGCAUGAUGUUGGCAAGGGGCCACUAAAAUUGUUGUUAGAGGCAUCAAAAAUUCUCAACUUAGGAAAUGAAUGCUUGGUGCUAGAACAAGUGAUUGCACCAUGAAGAUGAUUUGAUCGUAAACUCAGCACCUGUAACUCUGGUAAAGUUUCUAGCCAAUUGGGAAAUGUAUCCUCUAUGUUGUUGUCACCAAGGUCCAAUACUUCAAGAUUUGAACAUUGAGCCAAAGACUGCGGUAAUGGUCCUUCCAAUUGGUUGCCAUUCAACUUUAUAGUCUCAAAUGCAUUUCCUUUGGAGAAGGUUCUAGGAAUGCUUCCAUAGAGGUUGUUCAUUUGCAUAUCCAAAAUAGAGAGAUGAGGAAAUGUUCCCAGACAUUGUGGAAUCAUACCUGUCAAAUUGUUGUGAGCCAAAUUGAGAAUGUAAAGGGAACUUGCAUUGCAGAAUGUUGAAGAGAUAUUUCCUGUGAAGUUGUUGUUUGAGAGUAAAAAGUGUACAAUGCCAUGAGGUGGAAUUGGAAGAUGUCCUUGCAACAUUUUGAAACUCAGGUUAAUGUGUAUAAUGUCCUUCCAUGAGUUUAAGAGUUUCUUAUGAAACCAUUUGGGAAUUUUCCCAUGAAUGUAGUUAUUGGAGAGAUCUAAUGUUUGCAGAUUUUGUGCUUGGAAUUUAGGAAAACUAUUAAUAUUAGCAGACGAGAAAUCUAAGUCAACAAGGUUGGGUAAGAUGGAGUCAGCACUGCUAUCAAUGUUGAUAGAAAUAAAACUAUUGUGUGAAAGAAUGAGGGAAUUUAGUUUUUUUAAUUUUGAAAAUUGGUGAAAAUCCACGACACCACUCAAGUUUGUUGACGACAAAUCUAAGUUGGUAAGAUUUUGGAGUUCAUAUAUUGAAUUUGGAAAAUGACCAUGUAGGUUGUUACUAGAGAGAUCCAAAGAUUGCAAAGAAUAUGUUGAGAACUCACCAAUGAACCCUGUGAGGUGGUUGUCGCCGAGGACCAACCCUAACAACGAAGGCAAAGAAUAACACCAAUGUGGAAUUGUUCCAUUUAACAUGUUAUCCCUCAAACCCACAUAGCUCAAUUUUGAACGUUUUGUGAUUUCAAUUGGAAUUGGCCCAACUAGUUUGUUAAAUGAUAAACCUAAAAUAAAAAGGUGAGGUAGAUGAAAAAGUGAUGAUGGAACUUGGCCUGUUAGCUUGUUAGAGGAAAGUGAUAAAUAUUCCAAUUUGUUUAAAUUUCCAUAAACAAUUGGGAUGCCUCCGCUAAAGUUAUUAUAUGCAAGAUUACAAUGAAUGAGGUGUUUGAGGUUUGAAAGUAAUGGUGAGAUCUCACCGUUAAGUUUAUUAAAUGAAAGGUCCAAAUAUGUUAGUUGGGUGAGAUUCCACAAAGAUAGAGGAACCAUCCCAUCUAAAUUGCAAUGUGAAAGGUCUAAUUGAGUAAGAGACUUCAAUUGACCUAUGGAAUAAGGAAUUUCACCUGAAAAAGCAGAGGAAGAGAGGUUCAAGUAUCUUAGAGGAGAGCUCCAGUUGGAUUUUGGAAGUUGACCACUAAGGUUAUAAUUGAAUGACAAAUCCAAUCUUUGAAGAUUAGGUAAAGAGAGGAUGUCACUUGACAAAUUUCCUUGCAACUCAGUUUCUGAUAGACUAAGAGAAACCAAAGAGGAUGACAAAUUCUUUAGCAUUGACAAUGAGCUCUCCGUAAUGGAAGACAUAUCCACACUAUUCAAAUGAAGCUCCCUUAAAUUAGUAGCAUUAUGAAUGAGUUUCUUCCAUGUCAACGGAUUAAUUUCCAUGUUCGAGUAACUAUAACUGCUAAGAUCAAGUGAUAUUAAUUUUGACAAAUGAGAGAUUGUGGAGGGAGUAUUACCCUUGAGGUGACAAAAUGAUAAAUUUAGAUGUGUGAGAUUCACUAAAUCGCCAAUACCAAUAGGCAUUGAAGAUCCAGAAAAAUGAUUAAAAGCCAAGUUGAGUUGUUGAAGGUGUCUAAGCUUGUAGAUUGUGCUAUUAGGUUGUAAUUCACCUUUCAGAUUGUUGCAACUGAGAUCCAAACCAAUCACGUGAUCAGACACGGUGUCGCACGUGACACCAUCCCACUCGCAACAAUCUGUGCCGGUUUUCCAAGAUUCUGUCUUAAAAGAAAAAGACAAACACAUAGACAGAAAACCGGGUUUAGAUGAAGUGUUGACAGAAAAUGAGUGUUUGAAUUGUAACAAGGCGGAGCUAUCAUGUUGGCUGCACAAUGAGAAAGUGUAGGAAGUAAAAUGAGUAAGCAGCAAUAACAAGAACAAGUGAAAAGUAAAAUAAGGCAAUAGAAUAAAAAAGGACCGCAUUUUGAUGAUUUAGGAUAUACCAAUUGAUUAGCCUCUAUUUAUAUAGGAAACAUAACCUGAAACUAAGGGGCAAGGACCAAAAAGGUUGACUUAUUAGAUUGUUUGCAAAUUGAGUCUACGUAUUCCCUUAUUUUGUUUUGGGGGUGCUUUUCAUAAACAUAUACUGAUAUGACAUUUGGCAACAAUAUUAAUUCAGUAACCAUCAUAGAAAAGUUUGGUGUUCAUUAAACUAAAUAAUAUCUUCGAAGACCAGACUUUUUGAACGUAAUUAGCACGAAAGUUGGAAUCUUAUUUCAAGUUGUGAUAAGAUAACAAAUUCAUUUAAGUAGCAAUCACAGUGAGUAAUGUGCUUAAAAAUACACCUGAAAUGAAGAAAAUAACAUUAAUUGUAUUUAGAAUCGGAGACUUAGACUUCUUCAAAUGUACAUACUUUAAAGAGCAAAUUACGAGACUUUUAAGUUAUUUAAUUAUAACAAAUCGGUUUUUUAAGAUUUUUUCGUAUCACUUGCGUCAUUUAAGUUAUUUAAUUAUAACAAGUUAGUUAUGUAGUUGCUCAAAAAACAAGUUAGUUAUGUAAGUAUUUUUCGUAACACUUAGGUCGUUUAAGUUAUUUAAUUGUAACUUUAGGUCCCGAAUAACUUGCAGUUUUAAGAUCUGAAAUCCCUCAAUUUGUUACAGUUAAAUAGCUUAGAGGACCUAAUUGGUACGAAAAAAAUUAAAGGACCAACUUGUUAUAAUUAAUUAACUUAAAGGACCUAAGUGGUACGUAAAAAUCUUAAAUGACCAAUUUCUUACAACUAAAUAACUUAAAAGACUUAUGGUGUAAUUUAACAUUUAUUUUAUGUACGUGUUUUUUGUAUGGUUCUUAACUAAACUACAAAAAUUUCUUUAAAUUUAUAAUUUCUUCAAAGUUUGUUACAGCACAAAAGAAAAUGCAUUGAGCAUAUAAAAAGAAAAAGUAUCAGAUGCCAUCGGAUAUCGAUACUCAACUCGUGGGUUCUACGGUAGACCACCUUUAUAAUUGGUUCAUCAUGGACCACAUUUCUUAUAUUUACGACUAAGUGGGUGACUUGAUUGAUGUUUGUUCAGUGCAAGCUACAAAACAAAUUACAUUCUCCCCCAUGAUAUUUAACAUUAUUGCAUUCUUAGAACUAGAUUCAAACUCACGACAUCUAGUUAAGUUGUAAGAGAUCACUUUCGUCUUACCGAAGUAAUCUUGGGUUAUUUUCCGUUGUUUUAAUCAAACUUGUUGUGAAUUCGAUGAGAAAACCACACCAAUAACAAACUUGAUGUGUGGAGCAAGGAAUAACCAAGCAACCAAAACAAAGUAUAUGGAAUAAUUAAAAACACAAGCCAAAAGUAGAAAACAGCGAGAGAGAAAGGAAGAGAGAACGCAAGAAUUUGUUGACCUAGUUCGGUCCAAAUUGACCUAGUCUGGGGGAGAGAAUAGCCAUUCGUUUCACUAUAUGAUGAGUAACCUUACAAAAGAGAUAUCAAUGGGUUACAAGAAUAAGUCUCCCACCUAAUUCUAUCCAAAACCCUAAUCUCUUCACGUAACCAAGAGACUCAAUCCUAAUAGUGUUUCCCAAGGUGAAUCAACCCUCAAACCCUAGUGUUUGUUGCCAAGAGACAAAGUCUAUACAAACCCUAGAUUUGUCGUUGCCUUUCUAAACCUUUAUUUCAGCCCCCUCUAUCUCAAGGUUUACACUGAUACAAUGUCUAUAUUUAUAGCAAAAGUAACUCCCAUAAAAUUGUAAAAAAUCUGACCCAAAAAUAUGUUUCUGGAAAGAAAAAAAAACUACACGCAAAAUCGGGCCCUGAAUUUAGCAAAUCGGGCGCUGAUUUUUGUCGCAACAAACUGCUCCAACAGGCAGCCAAAAUUGGGCCCCGAACUCCACAAAUCGGGCACUGAUUUUGGGUCUUCCAGCAAACAUGAUUUUGCACUCCAAACUCCAAUUUUGAGUCACUUCUACAACAAAACUAAUACUCCCUUCUUUCUAAAUUAUAAGUCGCUUUAUAAUACCAAUGAAACUAUAAUUUUACUUUUCCUAUUAUAUCAUUUAGUUGAUUGGUAGAGCUAUUGCUUCUUAAUGUGAAUGAGGGCAUCCUUAAUCUAUUAUAAUUUAUUGGGAAAUGCUAAGGACGGUUGAUAAGAAAUCCAAUGAAGAAAUCUUAUCUUAAAAAUUGUGCAUUCAUUACAUUGAAACUUUAAAAACUCUCUGGUGCUGGCACGUCAUCAUCUUGUGUGCCAAGCAAUCUAUUUUGUGACAGAUCAGCAAAAUUGUGUUCAUCUUAGAAUCUCAGAAAGCAAGUUCUCACAAUCACAAUCCUACUUAUUCUGUCUAAGGUGAUAACAGAGUUGCAAAUGCAUUGAUGUUUCUGUAAUUGAUAUAAAAUGAAAACAUAUUGUCUUUAAUUGAAGGGCUUAUUGAACAAUUACCUUAUUCAAUGAUACUUAGGCCUACUAAUGUCUCCUUCAAGUUUAGUGUGUAUAUAUAUAGAUAUUCACUUUGUUCUAUAAAAGAAAAAUGAACGUUCAUUUUGAGCAUAUGAUCUAUGAUAUGAAUGAUGCAUCAAAGAACGGUGCUACAACUUCAUAUGUUCACUGACACCGAAAUUUAACACAAAAUUAAACUUUGAUUCAUUUUAUGCUUAUGUAUAUAGCAAUUAUCAAGGACACAUCAAAGGGAAACAAAGUUAUAUGAUUAAAAAUAUUCUUAAAAAGAUAAAAACUAUGAACAAAUAAGAUAGUUACAAGAUCUUGCGGAUGUCAGAGGAAGAAGAUUUGAGAUAUAAAGCUGAAUUCAAAGCUCAUAACCUUCGGGAAUAGCCAGAACCUGCACAUUUCUUGCAGAGUACCAAUCCUACAAAAUGUGAAUUAGACACGGGUAUUAGUAGAUUAUACCGUGAAAUAUCUUGUGGGUUUUCACCAGAAUCGCAGAUCAUGGAAAAUAACACUUUGUUCAAAUUCUGCUAAGCUACAAUGCUAUAAUGGCACUAGAGCCACUAUUUAACAAAACUAUAUCAAAUAACGUAUCGCAAAACAAUAACGAUUUAUUCAAAUUCCAGUAUGGCGUACACUAGAGCCGCUAUUUUACAACACUGGUUUCCUACCAAAAGUAAAAACAUUCUACUAAAGACAGUACAGAGAAGCACAACCCAAAUUAUUCAUAUUAAAUAAAGAAUGCAAAAUAAAUGCAAUUUUGCAUGAUGUCCAAUAACAAUUUUUUGUAUAUAAGAGAUAAUGACAUAAAGAGAUACCUGAACCCUUGCAUACUUUGCAGUCAACCAACCCCAUCUCUUUUUUCAUCUUGCCGUUGUUGCAAAAAACACAUUUUGUUCCACCUGCUUAUCAAUCAUGGCAUUUAAAAUUGUUCAAAAAAAAAUCAUGGCAUUUAAAAUUGUAGCUUUUAUCAACACUCAUUAAUAAGAAUACAAGUUGGCCAUUUACUUUAUAUACAAAGCAGGACUCCUCUUGAUUAAGGAACAAACAGGUUCGCUAGAACAGUUAAAACAUUGGGAGUGCAAUGGCAAUAGAAAAUACAAUUGUGAAUCAUAACUAUCACUAAAGCAUGUAUAAUCACAUGUGUUGUUCGAUUCAAUUACUUUUUUAUUUUCUCAAUUUUUUAUACUAUGUCAGUGUCAAUGUUGUAUUCGGUGUUUGUGUCUCUGUAUGUACUUCAUAACCGACGAAACAUUGAACAAUAAUUAGUAAUAACCAAUUGACAAUUUUUAAUACCUUAUUAUCAUCAAAACUCAAUAAGGUUCAUUGUGAAACACAUUUUGUUCCAACAGAGCUUCCCUCACAAUCUCUACAUUUAGAACUUCAAAUCUCUACAUUUUAUAUAUUUCCUCAUUGCCAUAGUCCAUAAGCCUUUUACUCUUCUAGUGAUACUUCUGUACACUUCAAUUUGAUCUCCUAAACUUAGCGUUGGGAUUAUCAAACUCCCCACGAAUCAAUAUUUUCAUUGUCAGAUUCGUAAAUAUCUUGUCUUGAUAGCAAAAAAAGAACUGAUCUGAAUUCUCAAUGGUUCAUGCAUCUGCCGUCACACAUUUAUCAUACUAACAUCAAAUUUCUUCCACCAGUUUAGAUUUAAAUAAAUGACCAUUUCGACGACAAAACUUGUGCUGUAAUAGAUCAAUAGCUUAAUAAAAAACAACAACGAUCCUUUUCAGUCUAGUGCACCAUAUUAGAUAUUGGUGAUUAAUAUUACACAUAUUGCUUCAAUUGUUCAAAUAUAUUACAAAUAUUGCAUCAAUUGUUAAAAAUGGUAAGCCUUCUUACAUGACAUGUCGGCUAAUCAGUUAAGCUAUUCAACUUUCGGAUCUCCAAGUUGACAACAAUGCUCAAAAGUAAUAAAAGAAAAAAAAAAUUGAUAACCAAAAAGGUGUCUGGUAGUGAGGGUCACAUGGCCACGUGUCACAUUUAUGUGUGAUGGUAGAAAAGGUGUGCGGCACUUGUGGUGGUCAACUUAUCACCACUCAAUUAUUUGCAUUAAUAUUUUAGAUAAAAAUAUGGUGUCUCUCUCAUGUGGUUGCUCUUCGCUAAAGGGAGUGCCCCAGACUCUCCUUGCGACCCCACAAGAAAAAGCUAAAUAGCUUUGGUUAACACAUAUAUUUUUUUUAAACAAGUCUAUUAUCUACAAUUUUUUUUUGUUAAGCAACACAUUUUAUUUACUAGCUAUCGAAGUAUGAAAAUGAACUUAUACUUUUAACAAUGUCUCAAGCCUUGAAUUUACCUUCGUUGUUUGUUGGACAAUUGAUAUAUCAUAAUGAUUUGAGUUGAUGUGCGUUUUGUUUGUCAUUUACUUGAAAUUGUUUUCAGCCUUUGGUGUUUGUAUCUGUGUCCAUGCUUGAUGUGUAAUGUGGUCUUUCUCAUAUCAUAAUGAUUCAAUUUCCUGUGUAAUAUUCAGCAUCAUCAUUUUCAAAGGCAUGCUGGGAGUUUGGUAGUGAACGACAUUAUACGAGGGGUCCGGGGAGGAGUGGCACCGCUUAGUGCCGAAUCGCUAGUUUGGUUUAUAAUUCAAGAGAAGUUUCUUUUUUUUUUAGUGUUACUAUAAUUCAAGAGAAGUUGAACACAAGGAAUAGAUUCAAGAGAUUAAAUAUUAUAAUUGAACCAUAUUUGCACAUCACAGCUUAAAGCAACAAUACGUUUUACUCAUAUUUUCAUAUGAAUGUGUAUGUAUUUACGCAUGUUUUAAUGAAUAUUGUUCAAUUAUUCAUUCAUUGCCGCAACACCCUAAUCGAGUCGAUGACACACUUGCACAGGCAUAAAGGAGUGAUAAUUACAUAGAAAUAAUAUUUGGAUGCUGUGACACCAUUCAAUUCCAUUUUAUAAGAGAAGUUGAACACUGAAAUAGAUUAAAUAUUACACACUGAGGAUAUGGUUUCAAAUAUACAUUAUUCAAAAGGUAAAAAACAUCAACAUCCUUCAAUCGAAGCACCAACAUCUAUAUCCAUCAUAGAAAUUAAAAACAACAUAUUUUGAUAUGUGUGAACUACCUAACAACCAAAAGACAUUGAGAUAAAAAAAAAAAGUUUAGAAGUUGAAGCAAUUAAGUCUUAUCAUUUAUUCAACAAUAAAAUCUUGAAAGUAACAAAAAAGCAAUUGAUCACUUUAAUUUCUUAUUUGUUCAACAACUUACAAUAACACAUUGGUAUUAAAAUAUAUAUAUAUAUAUAUAUAUAUAUAUGAUACUACAUCCCUUAAACUGGGAAAUUCAGAUUAAUUACAAACAGUUAUAUCUACAUAUUUGAAAACACCAUCAUCCAAUUAAUUCAUUCUUCUGCGAUUUGCGAUGGCUCUGUUGUUUGUUCUUUUCAAUCUUAUGUCAAACAUAUGUUCAACAUGUCUUACAAGCCAUUCGGGUUUACCGGUGAAGAAGAAUACAUUAUAUCCGAAUAGCAACCCGAAUAUUGCCCCACAUGCAUAUCCGAUUGCUACCGCUUUCCAGCCAAAUCCUGAUUCUUCUUCAUCUUCAGAUGUUGAAUGAGGUGGCAGAUCUUCCUCAUUUUUGCAUGAUUUAGACAAUGGAAAUCCACACAACAUUGUAUUUCCUUCAAAAGAAUCAUUUCCAAAUGUAUUAAACUGUUGACCUUUAGGUAUGAUUCCCUCAAGAUGGUUUUGUGAAAGGUUUAAGACUGAGAGGAAGUUCAAAUUUGUCAAAGCCACAGGAAUCUCACCCUUCAAUUGGUUGCAUGAGAGGUCCAACCACUCCAAAUUUCUCAAAUGACUCAAAGAUUGUGGAAUGCUACUUGUGAUUCCAUUGUUUGAAAGGUUAAGUCCUUUGAGAGAAUUUAAUUCUCCAAUGACUUGUGGAAUUUCACCUUCAAACAUGUUAUUUGAUAAAUCAAUAGUUGUGAAAGCAGUCAAUAUCCUUGUUAGCUCAAUGAAAAAACCUUUCACUGUGACCACAACGGAAUCAUUGUAGUAACCAUUACGCAUGUAUUGCAGAUCAAUUUUUUUGUCAUUCACCUUCAUCAUUCCUUGAAAGUUCUUGAUGCAUGAUGCUGGCAAGGGCCCACUAAAAUUGUUGUUAGAGACAUCAAAAAUUCUCAACUUGGGAAAUGUAUGCUUGGUGCUAGAACAGGUGAUUGCACCAUGAAGAUUAUUUGAUCGUAAACUUAUCACCUGUAACUCUGGUAGAGUUUCUAGCCAAUCAGGAAAUGUAUCCUCAACGUUGUUGUCACCAAGGUCCAAAACUUCAAGAUAUGAACAGUUAGCCAAAGAUUGUGGUAAUGAUCCUUCCAAUUGGUUGCCAUUCAACUUUAUAGUCUCAAAUGCAUUUCCUUUGGUAAAGGUUCUAGGAAUGCUUCCAUAGAGGUUGUUCAUUUGCAUAUCCAAAACAUAGAGAUUAGGAAAUGUUCCUAGGCAUUGUGGAAUCAUACCUUUCAAAUUGUUGUGAGCCAAAUCGAGCACAUAAAGGGAACUGGCAUUGCAGAAUGUUGAAGAAAUGUAUCCUGUGAAGUUGUUAUUUGAGAGUGAAAAGUAUUGAAUGCCAGAAGGUGGAAUUGGAAGAUCUCCUUGAAAGUUGUUGUGAGCCAAAUUGAGGGUAUAAAGGGAACUUGCGUUGCGGAAUGUUGAAGAAAUAUUUCCUGUGAAGUUGUUAUUUGAGAGUGAAAAGUAUUGAAUGCCAGAUGGUGGAAUUGGAAGAUCUCCUUGCAACAUGUUGAAACUAAGAUCAAUGUACCGAAUGUCCUUCCAUGAGUUUAAGAGCUUCGUAUGAAACCAUUUGGGAAUUUUCCCAUGAAUGUUGUUGUUGGAGAGAUCUAAUGUUUGCAGAUUUCGUGCUUGGAAUUUAGGAAAACUAUUAAUAUUAGCAGAGGAUAAAUCUAAUGAAAAAAGGUUGGGUAUGAUGGAGUCAAUACUGCUAUCAAUGUUGAUAGAAAGAAAAGUAUUGUGUGAAAGAACGAGAUACCAUAGUUUGUUUAAUUUUGAAAAUUGGUGAAAAUCCACAACACCACUCAAGUUUGUUGAUGACAAAUAUAAGUAAGUAAGAUUUUGGAGUUGAAAUAUUGAAUUUGGAAAAUGACCUUGUAGGUUGUUAUUAGAGAGAUCCAAAGAUUGCAAAGAAUAUGUUGAGAACUCACCAAUGAACCCUGUGAGGUGGUUGUCGCUGAGGCCCAACUCUAACAAUGAAGGCAAAGAAUAACACCACUGUGGAAUUGUUCCAUUUAACAUGUUAUCAUCCAAAAACACAUAGCUCAAUUUUGAACGUUUUGUGAUUUCAAUUGGAAUUGGGCCAACUAGUUUGUUAUCUGCUAAAUAUAAAUGAGAAAGAUGAGGUAGAUGAAAAAGUGAUGAUGGAACUUGGCCUGUUAGGUUGUUAGAGGAAAGUGCUAAAUAUUUCAAUUUGAUUAAAUUUCCAUAAACAUUUGGGAUGCUACCGCUAAAGUUAUUAUAUGCAAGAUAACAAUGAAUGAGGUGUUUGAGGUUUGAAAGUAAUGGUGAGAUCUCACCGUUAAGUUUAUUCAAUGAAAGGUCCAAAUGUGUUAGUUGGGUGAGAUUCCACAAAGAUAGAGGAACCAUCCCAUCAAAAUUGCAAUGUGAAAGGACUAAUUGAGUAAGAGACUUCAAUUGACCUAUGGAAUAAGGAAUUUCACCUGAAAAAGCAGAGGAAGAGAGGACCAAGUACCUUAGAGGAGUGCUCCAGUUGGACUUUGGAAGUUGACCACUAAGGUUUUGAUUAAAUGACAAAUCCAAUCUUUGAAGAUUAGGUAAAGAGAGGAUGUCACUUGAUAUAUUUCCUUGCAACACAGUGUCUCGUAGACUAAGAGAAACCAAAGAGGAUGACAAAUUCUUUAGCAUUGACAAAGAGCUCUCUCUGAUGGAAGACAUGUUCACAUUAUCCAAAUAAAGUUCCCUUAAAUUAGUAGCAUUAUGAAUGAGUUUCUUCCAUGUCAAUGGAUUUAGUUUCAAUUCCACAUCCCCAAAACUGCUAAGAUCAAGUGAUACUAAUUUUGACAAAUGAGAGAUUGUGGAAGGAAUAUUACCAUUGAGGUAACAAUUUGAUAGAUUUAGAUGUGUGAGUUUCACUAAAUCUCCAACACCAAUAGGCAUUGAAGACCAAGAAAAAUGAUUAAAAGCCAAGUUGAGUUGUUGAAGGUGUUUAAGCUGAAAGAUGGUGCUAUUGGGAUGUAAUUCACCUUUUAGAUUGUUGCAACUGAGGUCCAGACCAAUCACGUGAUCUGACAUGGUGUCGCACGUGACACCAUCCCACUCACAACAAUCUGUACUGUUUUGCCAAGAUUCUGUCUUGAAAGAAAAAGAGGAACAACCAAAGUACGGAUUGGGUUGAGAUGAAGUGUUGACAGAAAAAGAGUUUUUGAAUUGUAACAAGGCAGAGUUGUCAUGUUUGUUGCACAGUGAGAAAGUGUGGGAAGUAAAAUGAGUAAGCAACAACAACGAGAAGAAGUGAAAGGUAAAAUAAGGCAAUGGAAUAAAAAAGGAUCCCAUUUAGAGAAACUUACACUUAAUACUUUCCUUUUUCCUUUAUGAUAUGAUUUUGGAUGUACUAAUUGAUUUCCCUCUAUUUAGUUAUUUAUAUUCAAAGAAACUAAAGCAUUGAUAUAAGAUGGGUUUGUUUUGUAGUAAGUGCUGGUGCUUAUCUUCAACCGUAUGAGGCACUCCAGUUCGAAGAUUGAUUUUUUGUGGUUGCAAUUUUAGUAAUGGAGUAUUUUGAGUCCGUUAUACUAAUUGACGAUAACAUUCAUUUAUUAGUAUCUUAAAAAAAUAUUAAUUAAUUCAUUAGUAUCCAUACAAACAUUUGGUGUACUAGACCAUCCACCCGUGCUGUCGCCCGGGUCAUAUUAAUUGAAAACAAAACAUGCAAAUAUAUUAAGAAUAAAAAGUGCUUGCGGUACAAAAUAAAAAGGUUACGAUAAAAUUACAAUAAAAGAAGACAUUAGGUUGGUAGAUUGCGGAAAAUCUCCUUGUAAAAUACAUUCGAAGUUAUCCAUGCUUUUGCCAUUCUCAUCGGUCAUUAAAAUAUUCAAACCACUCUUAGAGGUCACUCUGGAUAUUGCGACAUAAAGCUGACCAUGAGAGAAUACGGGUUGAGGACGAUAUUAAUUGAAAACAAAACAUGCAAAUGUAUUGAGAAUAAAAAGUGCUUGCGGUACAAAAUAAAAAGGUUACGAUAAAAUUACAAUAAAAGAAGACAUUAGUUUGGUAGAUUGCGGAAAAUCUCCUUGUAAACUACAUUCGAAGUGCUAUCCAUGCUUUUGCCAUUCUCAUCAAUCAUUAAAAUAUUCAAACCACUCUUGGAGGUCACUCUGGAUAUUGCGACAUAAAGCUGACCAUGAGAGAAUACGGGUUGAGGACGAUACACAACCACUUGUUUGAGUGAUUGUCCAUGACUCUUGUUGAUUGUCAUUGCAAAACAUAUAGAUAGAGGAAACUGUCUGCGUUGGAACUUAAACAGUAUCCUUGUAUCCGACGGUGUUAGCGACAACCACUUCAAUCUAAUUUUUGUUCAUUAAAAGAGAUGUAUAAAUGCAUUCAACAAUGGCUGCAACAGGAUCACCUGAACGAUGUAUAAGAAGAUAUUCAGGAAUUGACACUCGAAUAUCCUCAUCAUUUUCCUCACCAAUGCUUCCAUCACCCAUUCCAAGCACCCACUCACUAAAAUCCUUUCCUUCUUCAAAGUCGUUUUCUGAACAUCCAUGCAAGAGCCUCAUAUUAGUGGUUAGAGUUAACACUUACAGUGAUUCUAGAGUGGUGACGAAUUAAUGCAAGCAUGAAGGAAAUUGGAAGCAUAUAAGCUGCUCUAAGUGAUUUUGAAAAUGGAAGCAUAUAAACAGAGAAGGGUGUUUUGUAAAAUGCACUAAUAAAGAAAACCUUAAUGAGUUAUAGAUUAACAACCCCUAUCUAUUCCAUUAUUUUUUUAUUGGAUCACAUUAGUGACAUAAGAAUAAUCACCGCAUUUUACGCAUAUUAGCCUAACUUAUAUAAAGAAAAAUUUAUAUAGAACUGAAUUCUAACUACUAAAAUGAAUAAAAAAGAAUAUAAGUUAAUAAGGUUUUCCUAAAAAAAACCAAGUCAUGUAAGCUUGAAAUAUCCUUUUUAAAGAUACUAAAACAGAAGAAAUGUUCUAUUCAAUACAAAUAGCAUACGUGACAUAAAUUCCAAUUUGUUGCUAUAUUGUAAAGUUACUACUAAUCCCAUAGGUGGCAUAUGCAUGAACACCGCGAUUGAUGAUUAUAUCUGAAAAUAACGAAGAUGAGUUGGCAUUAUCAAUACCAAGAAUCUAUACACCUGCAUUAAGAUACAGGAGUGAAAUCCUUUUAGAAAGAUCUUGUCAUAAAAUCGAAUAGUUGCGGCAAUUAACGGUGGUAUGGUGCCUUAUAAUGAUAAAAGACAUUCACUAAAUGAGUUAAAUACUUCAAGAAACGAUAAAAUUCGAAUUAAACAAAAUAAGGAUAUGAAAUGUCAUACACCAUAACCGGCGCUUAAAGGACAACGAACAAAUAGUACUUCAAGAAACAAAAACAAUAGAGAAAAAUACAUAAACAAAAAUUUCUAGGCAAUUGUAAAAUUAAUAUAAUUAAGGGACUGCAUCAUGACACUCAUCCUAAUUUUUAGGCUCAAGCUUCACACACUUCAGCUUGAUAGAUUUUGUGGCAGAUUCGUCCCCAUCCAACUUAUAAGCUGUCACAUCUGAAACACCUUUCUCAGCUGAUCUUUUCCAUACAACUUUGCUGCAAGGCGUCUGUUCAUCCUCUUUCUCACGAUCAUUAACCUGGAUGACAUCAGUGUCCUUUUGAUUAACGGCAGACUUGGAUGAAUCAACGCCCUCAACCUUCAUGAUACAAUAAACAAAAUUCAAUUAUCAUGAGCAGCUUGGAAUUGAAGGCGUAGGGCGCACAAUAUAAAACAAUUAUUUUAUAACUGCGGUUAUUUUAAAAUAAAUAAAAAACAUUAUAGAAAUUAAUUGUCUAUAUGCAAAUAUUACUAUAAGACAGAACUUUACAAAUAAAUAUAUGAUGCACAAUUAUUAAAUUUACUAAUGAAUUUCUUAACAUAAAUGCUACAUGAAUUACAGACGCACAUUUUUCUUAUUAGUUUCUCUAUACCUUAAAUCUUAGAUUAUGUAAUAUCAUAGCAGUUAAAAAUAAAAAACUAUUUGACAGUGUUUUUGUAACAUUAAAUAAGCUCCGGAUUUAAUAGCAGUAAAAGUAGAGUGAAUUGAUCACAAAGUAAACACGGUUGGAAUCAACACUAUAACAUAAGAUUAAUGUUGCUUGGUAGCCGUAACAACAAAAUAGCGGUGACAUAGACCGCAAAAAAUCAAAUCCUAAACUGGUUCAUCUAUUUUGCUAUCAUUGUAUGUAUAUGUUUAUGACUGCAUUUUUAAAAUCAAUAUACCUGAGUUGGAACAGUGAUUGACUGCAUAAAAUAAAAGCUAUGAUUAUAAACAGUGCACAUAAACUGUGAUUAUUAGAAUAAGGAUAUGGUAUCGACAUAGCACCUUGAUAUUAUGAAAUACCAUGAACCUUUUUAUCAUAUCCACAUCAUCCAUCAUCAGUGAUUCGCUUCACCACAUAGCUAUGUCAAUUAUGUAUAAGAUUUCCCUCAGCUACUUCAACUUUGAACAACAUAUGUUUCCCAUAGAAAAUAUCCAGCUCGGAAGGGAAAUUACUUGCAUUGUUUUGCUGCAUAUAGACAGGCAUAAUGUUACACAUAUGGUAUUAGAUAACGAUAUCAAAGACACAUAUAAAUUAGUAGAAAGUUUAGUAUUAGUUAAAAUUAUAAUCACCGCUAUUUAGCAGCACUUGGUAACAAAUAACAGUGACUAAUACCUGUCAUAAAGGGCAUCUCCUAAAUUGCGGUGUUUGCACAACUCAUCGUAUAUUUUCAAUACAUCAUACGUAAACGAUUUUUAAGCAUAUCAUAUUGUUGGCAAUUAUGAAACCAAUUAUUUGAUAACUUUAUAGAGAAUUCACACGGGUCAUAUACUUAACCUUCACCGGUUCCUUAAAUCUUUUUUUAAUGCAUAUUAAGGCAGAGACCUAUAUUUCACUUCCUUAUUCCAUAAAAACCCUUGCAACCAAAGUUCAAUUUUCAAUUUAUAGUUAUUACGGCAGCAAGAUAUCAUAAAGUAAUAACGAUUUGUAAUUCAUCUUGAAUGUAACGUAUAAACAUGAAAAAUGAAUAGUGGUGUAUGAGCUUCCAGCAUCAUUCAUUAAAUAUACUAACUGCCAUUAGAGAAACAAAAGGAAAUUGAUUCAUUUGAAAAUUGGAUUUUAAGUUGCUUACACAUCAAAUGGAUUUUCUCAACAAAUCAUCAGAAUCAAUAAAUUCUCCAUAAAACACAUAAUCAAAUAUUGCUUAAACAAAUUUAGAACAUUCAUCAACAAAGUUUUAUUAGAAAAAUGAGUAAUGAAGUUUUGGUUUUAUAACCUCAAAAUAUCUUGUUUGCAACUAAACUUUAAAAAAUUGGCUUAAAGCCUCUGCAUUUAACAGAGAAACAUAGACAUCCUUUAAAAAAAAAAAACAGAGAAACAUAGACUAUAAUUGGUUGUGUUUGAAAUUUUCAAUUUGAAGGAAGUUUUUUCAGAAAGUUGAAAAAAGUUUGGCAUGGUAAGUUAUUAAUAUUGCAAAAUUUUAAACUGUCAUUAGUUAAAAAUCAAUUACUACAUGCAUAUAUUAAAUAAGUUUGUUCUUAUGAGCAUGUGCUUCUAUACCUGCCUUUGUUUAAAAAAAUGAAAAAAUAAUUUGCCGCUGUAGCCAUAAUAAACAUUAGAUGCUUCGCCACAUACCUUUGUAGAGUAGUAAUUCCCAACUUGCUUCUUCUCUGCAUUGAACCGAACACCCUUUGCACUCGUAGAAUUGCAUCCUCCACACCAUAUAUUAUAAGGCAUCUCAAACCUGAAAGAAUGAUCAUUAUAUAAUAUGGAAUAAAAGGUAAUAAAAUAAAAUAGCCCAGAUUGGAAAAGGAGGCCAACUGGUUCAGCUCUUUCAGGUGUACACACAAAUCUAAAUUAAAGCAUGCAGUGAAAUACACAAACCAUAUAACACGCCAGUAAGUAACAGCCCUACGUAAGAUCAUAUAAAGUAGACUAUCCCUUUCGAUCAUAAUGGACCAUUAAAUUGAUCAAAAUUCAUAAAUCAUGAAACAUAUCAAAUACUUUUUAGAUAUGGGAGACUAUGAUACACGGAGUAUUAAUAUUAUAAGAGAUCCCAUACUUUAAUUGCUGUCACACUUUGUUUGUCAUGAAACACGGAGUAUUACAACCAAAGUUCAGUAUGCUAUUAGCGGAACAUAUAGAACAAAUUAUUAGCGUUCAUUACUUUGUUUGUCAAGCAGUCUAUGGACAAACUUUGUCAUCCAUCUUCAUUAAUGUGAUAUGUCAAACAUCCUAUAUUAAACUAAAAACAAAAAAAUCACCCGUAGAAAAAUGAUGGAAUUAAACACAACAAAAGUCACACAAAGUAUCAUUUUCAGUUAGAAUAUCAUGUUGGAAUUCCAAAUCUAAGUGUCAAAAGAAAUUGAAAAGGUAAAAGGGAGGUUCUCAAACCUCACAAAGGUCUUGCUGCUUUUUUGUCUGCUCUCGUGGAGCUUCCACUUCAGCUCGUCGGUGACACAUGACAGGAGAAUUUGUUGUGAGCCGAACGUGCAGCAAAAACUAUUAUUCCCUAUCUGGGAAAUGGAUUUGAAACACUAUCAAAAAGUAAACAAAAUUUAUUAGUUGAAGAAAUGUGUUCAUCAUGAGUUAUUACCUUUUCCUUGACUUGAUUAAGAAAUGCACAUAGGAGAGGUGUCAUAUUCUGAAAUUGGAGAAAAAACAACCCUAAGUUAAUUUUAAAUUCCAAUCAUAAUGAGAGUUAUUACCUUUUCCAUGACUUGAUUAAGAAAUGCACAUAGAAGAAAAUAAGAAUGUUGUACCAAAAAAAUAACAAAUAAGAAUGAGGCUUGCCUCAAGUAAGUUCUUGUGAUCUUUUUAUCGAACAAUUAUAAUGCAAAGUAGAUUUCAUCAAACUGAAUGACUCAUAGUUGAUACUAAAUUUCAAACAACUAAAAAUAUCAAAUUCAAUUUCUAUAAUUUUGAAACCCAUUCUAUGACUGAUUCCGUACAGGUUUGACUACUACUGACUACAAUUUUGAAAUCCCUCUAUGGCCACUAUAAAAUUUGUAAACGGUCACUCUAUCAGACACAAAUCAAAUCGAAAUUCUAACAUCAACAUUAACAAAAUCUACACCAGAAUCAAGAUUAUCACCAAUUUUAUAAUGAAAACCUAGAAUAAGACCGGAAGUAAUAAAUUUUAUAGUGAUAAUCUACAUCAGCUUUGAAUAAAUUGCUUCCUGAUUCAGACAGCUCCUGCAAACAUCCUUUAAUUUUACUAUCCAAUAACCAAAAGAAACAAAAGCAAAAAAAUCACAUUGGUAAACAAAUUAUAAAAACAGUGAUAUACAACCUGUUAAAACAAAAGAGAUUCUACAUUGACAAAUGCAUCUGUCAAAAUACAUAGCUUCCAACAUUCUGAACAAUUUUGGUUGAACUAAACAGAGCCUUUAACGUUAAAUCAAAUAAACUUAAAUAAACCCAGAUAUUUAAUUCUAAAAUUAGCAAAUUAGCAUACAUCAGAUUGGGAUAGAUUGAAUACCUGGAGAAAUGAAAUUAGGUCAGCAAAAUCAAUGUUUUUUCAUGGUUAAAACCAACAGAUCGAGAUGCAGAGGAUUUCGAGAUCUGGAUUUGAUGCGAGAUGAAUAUGAAUAUGUUCACUCUCGACUCACGGUCUCGUGGUGGUUUAUGGAAGAUGGCCGGAGCUUGAGUCGAUGAGGAUGAAGAGCAGAGCAUCGACUGGGAGAGGAGAAGAGCAGCAUCGACUGGAGAGGAGAGGAGAAGAGCAAAGCAUCGACUGGGAGAUGAGAAGAGAAGUGACUGGGAGAGAAUGAGGGAGAAGAGCCGUGUUUUUUUUUUUUUGGUUAAGAGGCAUUAAGUGUGUGAUAUAAGGAUAAGGGGAAUGUAAUGCAUUGGAACCGUAUCAUAGACUAAUAUUUGUCAUUUACGAUGUUACUUGGAACUGCUUUAUACACAACCAUGUAAAUGUACAUGGGAAAUAUGUAAUGCUUUAAAUACAUACAGUGAAGGGAUUUGAAAUUUGAAAAUGACAUUAAGUGAGGUAUUAGCAAAAUCUUCCCGCUCAAAAUAUAGGAUUAGGGUUUUAGAUGUUUUGUUUGCAUUGUAGUUUAGGAUUAGAUAAUAAGGAUAAUUAAGAUAUGUAGGGUCAACCAAACAUUUAUGAAUUUAUUUUUGAGUAAAGUAAUAUAAAAUUACUUUAACAAAUUAAUUCUAAAGUUGAAGGAAGAGUUACCUUUAAUUUAAAAGAAAUUAAGAAAAUAAAUUGAGCCAAUGAAUGAAAGGUAUUUUGCGUAGAAAACCGAGUAAACAUUUUAGAAAUUGAGUCUUGCGGUGCUCUUGUUUGGUAGUAGCUAGGGGAUGUCUUCUUCAACCGUAUGGAGCACUCCAGUGGAAAUAUUUUUUGUGGUUGCAAUUUUAAUGAUACGAUAAUUAAUUCAUUAGCAUCCACACAAAUAUUACAAGACUUGACUCUAGCCAAAUGAGACAAUUCCAUGAAGAAAAAUGAUAUUUGAACAGAUUUUUUUUUUUAUAGAAAGAUAUUGGAACACAUAUGUGACAUCAAACAAGAGACGUCUACACAUGUCCUUUUUUAAUAUUUAAAAAAAACUUUUUUAAAAUGGUGGAGAAUUAUUGUAACACAAAAAUUAAGUUGUGAUAUUAACUUUUUUCACGCGCAUGGCUAGUAGACAUGUCAUAUAUGGAACCAUGAUGAUCUUGAGAUUUUUGAGUAAAUGACGUGCACCCACGCCAAAGGUUGACAGACAAGUCUGUUGUACCAUAAACUCGACCACGGGUACGACCCCUGCAGAUUCGGUCCACAACCCAAGUUUUGUUCCUCCAUCAACCUCUUGCACACCAUCUCCAGUUGUUUCAUCAAUCUGGGCGUGUACUGUACUCAAAAGGAACGAACUAUGAAGUAGUUAAAUUAUAGUCUUAACCAUUGAUUUCAAUUCAAUAGUUAUAAAUAUUGUUUCUUAGUUUUUGCUCUGUUUCUAUUGUAAAUAUUGUUUGGACUUUGCUGGUUCUUUCUUAGUACAUUUUGUGUUAGAAAGGACUCAUUGAUUUCGUAAUAUAUUCCAUUUUAGCUUCUUUAAAAAAAAAAUCAAUAGUUAUAAUUUUGCAUCAUAUUCUGGAGUAUCUCACUUUCUCUAAGGAAUAGUGAUCUCAUCUGCUAAUUUCACUCACUAAAUAUCUGUCAGAAUUUGUAUAGACCGUAAAGAUUUUGAACUCUUGAUUGAAGGUUGUUUUCCUCACUAUGAAAGGAAGUCAUGCUGUCUUAUUGCAUUUAUCAUCUGGUUCAAAAAAUAUUGGAUUAGCAAAAGGCAAGUAAGUUUGACUCGACCUUAAAAGGUCAAUAGGUAUAGGUAGGUGAGAAGAUUCUCUUGAUUUUUAAUAUUCUUGCCACCAAAUUAUAGGAUUUUAAUGCAUAUUAAUGGCUACUUUUUCUUUUAAUUUGUGGGGAGAAUUAUUUUUAAGACAUUUGAUUGAACAGUUUAUAUUACAUUGGUUAAAUAGGUGGUACAAAAGGACUAGUUUUCAACCAUCGAUAUCACAUGUGGUGUUACAUUGGCAAUUUGAUUUCCUAGCCUCAGUGAUGGAAUUAUCAGUCUCCCCACCAACUAAUCUAUUCAUUGCCAUAUUCGUAAGGAUGUGGCAUUCUUUAUCGAUCGAUGUACACCAAGUAUCUGCAACAAGCAAGUAAAGACGAAUAAUUAUUCAAAUGUUUUAUUUCUUUUAAAAUGGAGUGGGAAGGGAUUUAUAUAAACAAACCAGCAAAAUAGAGUGUUGAUUUUGAGUAGAUAGGAUAUCUUGGUUAUACAAUAACUUGUUAUCUAACUAGUUAUUUUGGGAAUGUAGUUAAAUUUAUUAUUUUCAUAUAGUACUAAGUUGUUUUCAUUAGCCGUCAUUGGAAGCUUGUAGAAAUAAGCUAUAAAUAGCUUAUGGACAUCAUGCCAUGUUAUAAGUCCUCCUUAAUACUUAAAUGAUCACUUAUGUCAUAAGGUAAACCUAAAUAAACUGUAAACUAUAUAUCAUUUUCACAGUGUAGUUCCUAGUUUCAUCAUUAUUGGUGUAUUGGAUUACAGUUUGGUUCUGUUUGGACUUAAUGCUAUCUUAAGUAAAUUAGCCUAAUCUAGUAGUAAUUUAAUUGUUAAAGAAGUGCAUUGUGAUAUGUUGUGUUGUCAUGAUAUGCUAUGCUUGCAACAAGAAAGUUACCGAAAGCACGGGUCAGAAUUGCUAUAUGCUCAGAAUGGGGGCAGAAGUGUCUUCUUGAUUGAAGCAAGGAGCAAUAUUUAGGAAGCAGGUAAUGUUUUAUGCUCUUGAAAUUGCAAUCACAAGUUUGAAGUCGUGAUUGUUGUAUUUAUUUGUUGAUUGAUUUCGAAAUUCACUGCCACAGAUGAGGGAAGUCCAGUAGCUCAUAUUUGGCAUAGUUUUGACUCUAGGUUCAUGUCAAAAUAGGAAGCUUGUUUCAAUUGGUAAUAUUAGUGGACUAUAUCAUUGAAUAUUCUGUGAUUUUUUUUCUAUAAUUUUUAUUUUUAUGGUUCUGAAAUACAUUAUUUUUUUAAAUAAAUAAACCAAUUUCUUAAGGAAUUACCAACGGAUUGGUGUUCUAUUUUAUCGUUUCCCACAGAACGCGCUUACGGGCAGGAGGACUCCUCAAAACCUGACUGAAUGUUUUUUGUGGAUUUUUUCACUUUUUUUGCGGAUGUACUUUUCUUGCGGAUCCUAAAAUUCUAAGGGGUGUUUGAAUUGAGGGUUUAGGAGGGGAAGUGGACCAACAAUAUAUUCCUAAGAGUGUGUUUGGAUUGAGUAAUUUGGAAAUUUUAAAGAAUUUAAAAUUCUAGGUAAUUUACCUCAAAGUAUUUGAAUUCCCUCAUAACACUACAUUUCCUCAACAUUACAUUACAUUCCCCCAUCCAAACAAUGGAAUUCACCUCAAAGUAUUUGAAUUCCCUCAAAACAUUACAUUCCCUCAAAAUAUUCCCCCAUCCAAACACACUCUAAGGGUCUAAAAGCCAUCUAGAAAGGCUCAGGCGUCCUCCGAGAGGGCUCCUAAAGUCUAGGUGCCGCCUUAGCCAGCUUCUAGAAACACCUAGAACUGGGUGAAAAGACCCAAAGCCCAGCUUACUUAGGGCCUAAGUGUAACACCCCGUUUUCCCAACUUAAAAAUUUCAAACAUAUAAUCAGAGUAAACAACAUAUAACGGGAUAUCACACUUCUUAAAGUCUCAAAAUUAAAUAGAUAAUAAUUUAUCCUGCAACGUAAACUUCAUCAUAAGCAGCGGAAUUAAUUCAAAAAUCAUAAAUUGUUUGGCACGCAUGCCUCAUCAAAACACACCAUAAGUUCAGUUAAAUAACAUCAAAGCAUAUCAUGUACGUAAAGGAAAGAGAAAUAGCCACUAAAAAUCCCCUCCCGUUACGUAUCAGAGCAACCUAAGACUCGGUGAGGCAAGGCCACUCAUGACAGCACAAACAGCAACCUACUCUGGAUUACUUGCAAGUUACUCAUACGAAGAGCAACAUUUCCAAGCAGAAGGGGUGAGAUUUAACAAAACAAUUAUAUUAAGCAUAUAAUUCAACAAUUAUAUUUAACAACAUAAAACAUCUUAUUAAUCAACAAUGAUAAUAAUAUAUCACAAAUCACUUCAUAAUAAAUUCAGCUUAUUCAUUUAAUCAUCAUCGACUCGACAAAUGCGAAUAUGCAGCUUAGACAUCUUAUAUGCAUGUGGUACUAAUACAGGGCAUCAAGCCCCCAUCGCUAUUCGAGUAUUAAUAUACUUCCAGGGCAUCAAGCCCCCAUCGCUAAUUUUGAGCAAAUGCUCCAACGUGGUGAGUACAAAGCUCCAGGGCAUCAAGCCCCCAACUAUGAAUGCUAAUGCAUGGACUCGACCUCUUAAACAACUUAAUUCGACAACCUCUUAAUUUAGUCCAAUAAUUUGGAACUUCAACAUCUUCAACAUCUUAGACUGACUCAUGCAGCUUAGUUAAAUAACAGACAGCAACAUAGGCAGUAUACAACAGCAUGACAUGAUUAUAUCAAAUUAAAUUCAUCAACAUCUCAAUCAUUCAUUCAUAAUUCAAGUAAUGCAAUUAAACAUUAUAUCACAUCAUAUUCAACACUAACAUCUCAAAACAGCUUCACAGAUUGCAGUUAACUUCUUAUAUAGGUCUCAAUACUACCGAAGGGUCCAUCUCUAAUCAAAUUAUGCGACACAGAUCGCAAUCUCCUCACUUGCACUCAGUUCUGGAAGUGCUCGCGAGGCGAGAGCAUCUGCUCGCCAUGGCGAGUACCAGCCAGAUUCCCAACAAAUGUUGUUCUAAGUUAAACCAGGUUCAAUCUCAUUCUAAGUUAUCAUUUAAUCUUUAAUAGGCAUCUUCAGGCACUCAAAAACAUCUAAGGUUCAACUCAAAAGUCAAAAUUACAGAAUCUUACAUGCUCUCUAGUCAUGCUCGCUAUGGCGAGUUCAGUUGUUCGAUGUGGCGAGCUGUGACGUGCAACUCGCGAGGCGAGGGAAAUUGGCUCGUGUGGCGAGCGAUGAAUAUAGGCUCGGGCAGAAGUGCAGUUUUUACGAAAAUUCAUCCUUUCUCAUGGUUUUAAGCCUAACAUUGAUUCCAGAAUUGAUCUUAAUCAUUAUCUAAGGUCUAAGGGCAGUUUCUACAUCAAUCUAACCAAUUUUCACCGUUUAAUCAUCAAUUCUAACAAUUUGACCUAAUUCUCGACUUCUCCAAUUCAAUCAUAUUUCUUGCUAAAUACAACCAGAUGGAUUACAUGAUUAAUAAAAUUGCAGAGUUAGUCUCUGUUAUACCCUGUUUUUGGACCUAAAAAUACUGGGCCCAAUUUCAUUUCAAACUUUGUCAAUUAUCAAAUUUCAACUGCACAGUUCAAAUUGUCUCUGCCUCGCAGUAUUUUCAAUCACAAUUUUACCUAUGUUUUUCUUGCAUAAAACCUUUUGAAGUGUCUUUACUUGUCUUAUAAGUCGUUCAAAAGUGUCUCUGAAUCAUUACAUUGCUUUUACCACAGUUUAUUUCAAAAUUUGCAAAAAAGUCAUACAGAAGGGUAUUUUGGUCAUUUCCUGCAGUGGGACCCAUUUUCAUCCUUGUGACUGUCUCUGAGUCUUUUCAGAUGGUUUUUUUUACAUUUCAUCAGUAAACCUUGUUAAAUUCAUUUCAAACUUGCAUCUGAGUCAGUAUCAAGUCAAUUUGAAUCUGUUUAGGUCAAUUUUAGCCUUAGGGGCAUUUUGGUCAUUUCACAUAAAAUUUUGGCAUAGAGAGGUUACUUUGAAGUACCUCAUUUAAGCCAUUGGUUCGUUUUAGUCCGUUUUGUCAAUUUUAUUUCUUUGUUUCGCUUUACGUUUGGUCAAAUUACGUUUUUUACUCAGUUUUAUUUUUAAUUGCAUUUUGGUCCCCCAUUUGAGGUCCCAAAAUUGCAUUUUUGUACAAACAGUUUUCUAUUUCAUUUCAGUCCUUUUUUAUUAUUAUUUUUUACAUUUCAGUCCUUUUAGGGUUAAUUGCAGUUUAGUCCUUAAGUUUUUGUUUUUGCAGAAAGGUCCCAAAUUCAUUUCAAGUCCAAGCCGUGCCAUUUUCAUACAAAUUCAGGUGUCACCUUUUCAUUGGAUCUCAAGUACACAUGUCAGAUUAUAAAUAGUGCACAGUGCCACUCAAAGCCAUUAAUCACACGCCAACUCAUAAACACAAACUCAAUUUUCUCUUUCUCAGCAAUUGGAUCAAAACAGAAAAGUUUCUCAGAAUCUCUCAAGAACACCAAGAACACAAAACCCUAACCGUUCUCCAGAAAUCAAAAUUCAUCAGAAUCAACAGUUUUUGGAUCAAUUCUCAGAGAUUCUGUGGAAUCUUCAUCAUCGAAUUGAUCGUUCUCUGCAAUUCCAAACGCGAGCUCGCAUUGAAGCAAGCUCAAGCGUUGAUCACAGAGCGUGAAAAGAAGAAGGAAAGAAGCAGAAUCUGCAGAAUCUGGACCGGUGAAGCAAGCAGAAGAAUCAACAACACAAAAAACACAGAAUCUAGUUUUCCAAAGAUUUUCUCCAUUAAAGGUUUCAACCAAAACCUCAGGUAAAACUCAGUUUUUCUUCUUAGAAAAUAGUAUCAUAGUUUAAAACCUGUCAAAAAAAUCACGCAAGCAACAGAUCCAAAAUUUCCAGAACUCAAAGACAAAACUGUAACCGUAAACAUCAAAACCUAGAUCCGUAAGGAUCAACGUUUUGAAAGCAAGAACAAGCAUCAAAAGAGUAAUCAAACGACAAAACGAUGUAGAUCUUUAAAGAUCUAAACGAUCUUGUUCAAAAAUCAAAAAUCAUUUCAAAACCGUAAAAGUUUUUCCAAGAUCUACGUCGUUUCAAGCUGAAUUUGAAAAAAUAACUGCUGGAUUCGUGUUUAGGGUUAAAGGACGAAUCAAAGUAUGCAAAAAUCUUUAAGUUCUGGAAUUUUUAGGUCACCGGAAACUGCAUGAACUCGCCGGAGAAGAUGAAGUUUCCGGCGGACCUUCAAGGUCUCCGCCGUAGCUUCAUCCUCGCCGGCGGCGAGGUUAGAGAGAGGUGAGAGAUGAGAGAAGAGAGAAGAGUUAGAGAGAGAAUGAGAGCAGCAAAAUGAAAUAAACCGGAGCUCCUUCCUUUUUAUAGCUAGCGAACCGGACCGGUCCAGUCCGGUCCAUUCCCCUUUGAUUCCUGGCCGUUUGAUCUAGGGUUCCAGAAUCCUGGAUCAAUCGUGUGGUUCCUGUGCAUCCGGAUCUUUUAGGUUUGGGCUUGGGCUUGGUUCUUUUGGGUUUCUACGUUUUUUACCUUUUUUAUGCUAUUUACACUGCCUUCUUUGCUAUUUGCGCCUGUUACUUGCUUUUUUUUUUAUAAAAAAUUUCCUAAAAAUCCUAGUUGUUUCUUAAUGUAUUUUUGGUAUUUCUAUGGCAUUUUUGCAUGUAAAAGAAUGUUAAAAUGGCAUGAACUAAUUCCAUGUGUUUUUACACUUUUGGUAUGCAUUUUGCUAUAUUUUGUUCUUGACACUUUGAUAUUAUGACAUGGAUAAAUGAUGCCUAAUAUGGUGAUGAAUAUGCCUCUGGAAAUGUGCUUUUGUUUGCUGUUUUUGAAUAUGAUUUUAUGGAUUUCUUGUUUUACAAGCAACAAGUGUUUGUUUUAAAGAAUAAAGUGUCAAUUUUCUCUAUGAAUUUGGUGUGAUACUUUGCUUGCAUGUGUCUCUAUUAAUUUCAUGUCAUGGCUUGAAACAAAAUUUCUUUCAAAAUUGCCAUGAUGUGAUAAUUAUGGGUCAUUAGCAUCUUUAGGUAUCAUAUCAAAUGUUUUCUUUAGGGUUUUUACCACUUUAUUACUUUUUCUUUGCCAUUCUUAUGCAUUUCCUUUUGAUUAUUUCCUACUAUUUUGUGCUUUAUGAUUACUAACCAUUUCAUCUCAUGUGCCAUACAUUUCAUAGCAUUUCACUACCUCCCCCACUUUCUUUAGCCUAGCAUUUAUUUUUUGCAAGUUUUAAUUCAUUUGAUGGUGUAAUUUGUUAUCAUUGGUUUGUAGCUUGGCAAAGGGGCCAUAGAAUGUAUUUAGGGAAUUUUUGUAAUAUGGACUAUGGACACUAUGACGCACCGGCACGCACACACUCACCCUAGAUGUAUGCCUAGGAUUGUAUGGUUAGAUGAAUGCUUAGGUUUAAACACUUAGAUAAAAUCCAACUUCUUUUUCCAAAAAAACAUGCAAAUAACUUCACUUGAAAACCUUUUUGAAAAUAAAAUAGGAGUCAAAACUCCUCAUUUCCCCUUUCAUUUUCUUAAGUAAAACUUUUAAUGAAUCUUGAUCCUCCUUGGACUUUAUUUUUGCAAAAUGACUAAUUCCACCUCAUACUUUCCAAAUCUUAUGCCCUUGAGGCCUCUCAUCUCCUUUCUUCAAAAUCUCUUUUCAAACUUAAAAUCAACCAACAAAAACAAAAACCAUUUUUGAGAAUGAACUACGAACGGUUUUGAUCCCUUAAAAGGGUACGUAGGCAAUGAGUCAAAACUCCUCCAAGCCGAAAUAAAAUCAAACUCUACUUCUUCUCACCCCCAUUCUUCACUAAUCAUACCUUCUUUUUUUGCAAAUAAGCAAUAAAACUAAAGCGUAGAAAUAAACUUAGGAGAACGGUUCUUAUGGAAUACCAUAAUCGCUCCGGGUGCCUAACACCUUCCCGUAGCGAAAACGACCCCCGAACUUAGAAUCUAAGGGUUUUUUCUCAAUUUUUCCCUUCCCAAGAAAAAAGAGAGAUAUCAACGGUCAAAAGGUUCAAGUCCAAUUAAUGGCUUGGCACCCAAAAACCAUGAUAACAGUCUCACCCUUACCUUAUAGAUGAAAAUCGCAGCCCUAGGUCUCUCUUGCUCUUCUCUUGACUUUUUCUCCCUUUUUCUCCAAAAACUGAUCGUACGUUAUGUUUUUCUCUAAACUAGGUUUCCCUUUUAUAACUCCUCCUAUUAUCUUAUCUUAUCUCUCUUUCUCCCCCAAAACUGUCUAAAAUAUCAAAACAGCCCAUAAACUCAAUAUUUAUUUUAUUUUCAAAUCUUAUUUUAUUAAACAAUAAAAUAAGUCACAACUCCUCAUAAAAAUCAUAUAAACCACCUCUGAAGGUGAGAAAAACACAAGAAGGGGGGGGUUGAAUUGUGUUUUCUUCUUCUGUCUAGAAAAUUCUUCUUCUGAUAAAACUUCAGAAGCAGUUUGAGAGUGCUUCUGAUGAAAUGAUCAGAAUCAGAUAUGCAGCGGAAAGAACAGAGCAGAGAAAAGAAAGACAAAGACACAAGCAGUUAUCCUGGUUCCUUCCACAACACGGAAGUAGUCCAGUCCCCCUUGCACUUCCAAGGAGAUUUCACUAUAAUCACAAGAUUACAACUGCUCAAUACUUUCUAAGUAUGAGACUUCACAAAACUAUGCUCAAGCACACACGCAAGAGUCUUCCAAUGCUCAAGCACUAAGCAAGAGACUUCUAAUGCUCAAGCACGCAGGCAAGAGACUUCUAAUCAAACAAAAAUACAGAGAAUUGAGUUUGAAUUGAACACUUGAUAUACAAUCAGUGGUGUUCACAAUACAAUACAGAAAAGACUCUAGACUUUGAAUUUCUAAGAUGUAUCAAAUCAGUGCAGAAAUUCAGUGUGCUUUGUAGUAUCAAAUUGACAGAGUUUUGGCGCUUUUGAACUUAUGUACUUCUCUAUGUAAUCUUCAAGUCUUCACUCCUUUAUAUAGAGGUGUGAAAGAGACGUUGAGAGAUCAGCACGUCUAAAGAGUCGUUUGAAAUCCUUUGAUUAUCCACCAGUGAUCCUUUGCCUGAUUUGGGUGUAGUCCUUUGAAGAAUAAACUUCAAAUUCAUUCCCAUCUUGAGUUGUACAAAUUCUGCAGGCAUGGCUGUUGUUUUGUCUUGUAGCGUAGACAGAAAACAGAAUAGUGGAGGUAGUGGUUGUACACUUGUACUUUGUCAACUCUAUUAAUGAGAGACAAGUGCAAAGUGCUUUCCAUAUAUCCGUUGAUACCUCCCUUUCAAUUCUUCGUUCUUCUUUGAUAAGACUUGUUAUCAUGGUUUUUGGGUGCCAAGCCAUUAAUUGGACUUGAACCUUUUGACCGUUGAUAUCUCUCUUUUUUCUUGGGAAGGGAAAAAUUGAGAAAAAACCCUUAGAUUCUAAGUUCGGGGGUCGGUUUUACUACGGGAAGGUGUUAGGCACCCGGAGUAACUAUAGUCCUCUAUAGGAGCCGUUUUCCUAAGUUUAAUUCUACGCUUUAUUUUUAUUGCUUAUUUUGUAAAAAGGAGGGUAUGAUUAGUGAAGAAUGGGGGUGAGAAGAAGUAGAAUUUGAUUUUAUUUCGUUGAUUUGAAGAAAAUUUUAAUGUGUUGCUAUUUGAUUUUUUAAAGUUUGAAAAUGAUUUUUUUGAAGAAGAGAAAGGAGGCCUUAAAGGCUUGAGAAGUAAAAAUGCGAAGUUUGUCCAAUUUUACUUAAUAAAAUAGUCUAAGUCACUUAAGGUUCAUUUAGAAUUUUCUUAAGAAAGUAAAAGGAAACAUCAAAGGAGUUUUGACUCCAAAGUUCAUUUUAAAGAAAAAAAAGCUAGAAUUAUGGAACUUGGUUUGCUUUACGAAAAAGUAUUUUCUAAGUACUCGCGUUCCCUAAUCAUACAUCUAAACGAAUGUCAUACACCGUGUGUGAGUGUCGGUGCUCGUGUCGGUGUACAUCAAUAGAGUCCAUAGUCCCUUUUACAUUGUCCUAGAUACAUUCUAUGGUCUUUGUGUGAAACAUAAAAGAUAAUACCUACCUAAAUAUUACAAUUCCAAACAAAAGUAAAAAAAAUGAAUGCAAAGAAACUAAACUAUGUAAAAGAAUGGAAAUGGAAUGCUAAAUGAUAUGUAUGAAGUACCAAAGUAAACUUGUUAGUGAGAAAAAAACAUAACAAGUACUAAGGAAUAAAAGCAUGCAAGAUGGCACAAAAAGUCAACAAAAUGCCAUUAAACCCUAAAAACUUAGGUAUGAAACCUAAAGCAUUCUUGGCCUCUAAUUCUCAUGCUUUAACAAAUUUUGAAAGAGUUUUCUUUAUCUCAAGUUAUAGCAUGGAAUUAUUGGAAACAUGCAAGCAUGGUUUCAUGCCAUAUUUUCUAGAAUAAACUUGGCAUUUUAUGUCUUUCAAAAUAUGCAUAUAUUGUUCAUAAAAUCAAGAACUUAUGAACCAAAUCAAAACAGCAAAUCAACAUGAAAUUAUAGGCACAAAUCUCUCAUAUUAACACAUCAAGUAGCUUUUAUCACAUAUUCUCACAUCAAGGACAAAUGUGUGAAGAUGAAUCCAUAACAAAUAAUUCAAAGAGAAUUAAAAUGCUAUGAAUUAAUUAUACAAAAAUUUCAUAGAUCCUUAAUGUUCAAAAAGAAAGAGUAUCAGAGCAAAACAAAACAAAAGAAUAAACAUAUAACCUUUAAAGAUAGUAUUUCAGAGCAAGCAGCAUUGAAAACAGUAAAUAUCAUCAGAAUUAAAGCUUGUAAAACAUAUUGAAGGUGAAAAAGCACAAGAUUCAGAAACAAUGAUAAUAUAUAUAUAGAAAGAAGGAUUAAGAUACAAAGACACAGCUACUAAGAACAAAAGUAAAAAACAAGCUAGAGUUGGGUGUGCAACUAAGGUUGGGCUUGCUUAUACAACUGUUCUAAGAGAUACUUGAUCUGAUCAUCCUUCUUCUGAAGUAGCUCAUCCUUUUCUCUCAUUCUUCUUUUAUAUCCAGCCUGAAUUCUAGCAGCCCUAGUGAUGUACUCUUCUUCUGGAUAGAAAGGAGUGAUGUCCAGCAGAGGCACAAAAUUCAGCUCUUUCUCCUUAGCUGCUUCAUGCAUAUCAUCCAAAAGCUUCUUCAGCAUAGCAGAGUGAGAUGACACACAUUUAGUUCUAAGCUGAUCCAGCAGCUCAUCAAAGCUUUUCUGUAGAUCCAUCCACUGAUCAUAAUAGUGAAUAGGAGGUACAGGAACUGUUCUGCGAAGAAUCAGUGCCUGAAUCUCAUCACUAAGUCUGAUCAGUUGUUCCUCUAUAUACUCAGACUCUAGGAUAUGGUCAGGGAUGGGUGAAGGUUCAGUUUGAGUUGUAUUUGAUGUGGUUGGUUGGUCAGAGGUUAAGUCUAUUAUAGUGGGUGAAUCUGGUUGUUGUUCUGUUGUUUGGUCAGAAGGUAUAUGUUGGUCAGAAGUUGUUUGGUCAGGAGCAACUUGUUCAGAGGCAGUUUGCUCCUGAACAGUUUGCUCAGGGAUGGUUUGAGUUUCUGUUUGGGUUUCCAAGACAGUCUUUUCAGGAACUGUCUUAGAGGCCUUAGUGGGUGUUGGUUGCAUUUCACCACCUAGAUGUUUUUCUAAGUUGUGAAGGGUUGAGGUUUCUUGGUGUUGGGGAGUUUCUGAAGUAGUUGCAUCUGAAGCUACUUCAGAGGCUUUUUGUGUGGUUGAGUUAUGUGGUGUGUUUGUUGUAGGUUCUGGGUUGGAUUGAGGUUGUUGUACACUAACAGGUUCAGGAUUAUCUGGAUAGAGUGGAUGAGUAGGAGGCAAAUUGAAUUUCUCACAAAGUUUAAUUCUAUUCUUAGAAAAUUCUAUUUGAGUUUGCUCCCAGUCAAGUGUUCCUAAAUCUGUUAGUUUGGUAGGUUUGGUUUUUAGAAGCUUGUCUAUGUGUUGGCUAAGGGGUUGGUCAUCUGAUUCUGUUGAUGAUGAAGAGGGUGAAGAUGGAAUCUGAGUAUUAGUUGGAGCCUUAGAUGGAUUACCUGAAGACUGAGCUUCUGGAUGAACUGCUUCUGGAGCUUCUGAUGCUGGUUCUGAUGAAGUUGCUCCUGAAGCUUGCUUAUUCUUCAAGGCUUGAGAAAGCAGAGUUGCUCCAUAUUUAACAGUUUCUAACUCCGACGCUAAAGCAGCAAUGUCAGGAGUAGGCACAUACCCUGCAGCCUUGAGACGUUCAUCCCUUUCUUUUUCAUACAAAAUCUUCAUCCUUUUCUUUUCUGCUAUCUUGGAUGCAGCAACCUCCCUAGUAUACUGCUCCAUUUCUUCAGUCAUUUCGAAACUGGGCAUGACUAUGGGCUCAGAAGUUGCAGUCCUUUUUGCUUUCUUAGGGCUUGAGUCUUCAUCCCAGUUCUCUUCCAGUUCUUCCAACAUUUGUGCCCUUCUUCCUUCAGCUGUCUUCAGAUUUCUUGUUAAAUUAGACCUUUUCCUUUUGAUGGUCUGAAGAGCAGCUUCUCUUUUAUUUUUGGGACUUGGAGGCUUUUCAGAAGCAGCUUGAUCAGAAGCAGCUUGUUCAGAACCAGUUUGUUCAGAAGCAGGCUGUUCUGCUGUUUCUUGAGUACUCCUUGUCCUUUUCUUGAUAAGAGGGACAUCAUCCAAAUCCUCCACUUCCUCAAGAAUGGUGGACAUAGCAGAUUUUACCUUCUUAGCUUUCUUAUGCUUCUGAGCACCCACCUCAGUAGCAUUUUCAGCAAGGUAUUCUUCCUUGGUGAUCUGCUUCUUCUUAGAUUUUCUGCUUUUGGCCACAGGCAACUCACCACCAUACAUUUGGUCAGGAACAUCCUUCAAGCUGAUUUUCUGGUUAUAGGUUUUGUAGUGAUCCAUGAUAUAUGCCCUUUGAACCUCCAAGGGAUCUUGUUUGCAGAUGGGAGGAAAGUCUGGGAUAAGAUCUGAUUUGGCAUCAGAAGGUUUCAAGUCAGUAGGACUCUUCUUCACAUCUUUUGCUUUAAUCAGAUGCAUAGCCCUUAGAGUCUCACCAUUGAUAAUCUUCCCUCUAACAGUUCCCAACUGUUCAUCUGUGAAGAUCUGAGCUUCUUUCAGCAUCUCAAUAAUUCCUCCCUGAUGGAAAAUCUCAGAGAGUAGUCUUCCAUAAGGUACCCAAGACCUUUUAUUCAGUUGACUCUCUCUGAGUUGAUGAACCAUAUGUCUGAAUAUGUAUCUGGGAAUAUUUGCCUCUACACCCUUUAUGACAAAGUGUAAGAGGAUUUUAUGUUCCAGAGAGGGCUGAUCACCACCACCACCUUUUGGUAGUAGGUUUUCGUUCUGAAUCUUCAACAUAACCUUUGUCUUGGUGUUCAUGUCAGAAUAGGCAAAGUCCUUUACCUUGUUGUAGAGAGUUCUGUUAACAAUAGCAUUCCAGGGGCUGUCCUUUGGCUUUGAAAUCCCAGCCUCAUGUUCUCCUUCUGCUGGUCUUCUGAUGACAAAGGCAAUAGUGUCCUCAGUGAUCCAGACACGGAUUCCCAUGAUGCUUGAUCUUAUCUGGGUUUUGGAGAAAGUUUCCAAGCCCAUUUCCGCUCUAGACUUCCCUUUGAGUUCAGGAUUGAGAAGAACUUUUUCAUCUUCUUCAAUCUUGGCGGCUUCCCUGUCGUAGAUGCUGGCUCUAACCCAGAAAUGACGAACCAGUGUUUGAUAAGUUGGUCCAUUUAGAAGAUUGAAGUACCUUCCCAUACCUUGUUUCUCGUAGUACUUGCCAAUGUCACAGUCGUGAGCGGCCAAAGAAUCAAAAUCCACCGGACUUUCUGAUUGAAUGUUUAAUUCCCAUUCCUCCAAGGACAUGGUUCUUCCCUUUAUCUCAUAAGCAGGAGCUUCUCCUUGUUGUUCGUUUGAUGAUGAACCAGAUGCAGAACUUGAAGAAGCCAUUGAUAUGAAGUGGUUUUAGGGUUCUAAAGAGUUUUUGAGAGGAUGAGAGAAUGCGCUUACGUUCGCAGAGGGUUGAAAAGAAAAAUAGCAAGUGUUUGUUGUGAAGUGAGAAGUGUGUGAAAUGACUUAGUGUUUUUAUUAAAACGUUUGUAAUUCAGAGGGGACAAACAAACACAGCAUUAAUGACAAAUUGGGGGCGCGUGUAAUUACGUCAAAAAGCGAAUAAAAACAUCAUUGCCCUUUUUGUUAUACUCCAAUACAAAUAAACCACGUCAGAGACUCUUCAGAAAACUACCUUUUGGGUAAUGAGACAGCUGUUACAUAAAGUAACUUCCACCGUUCCCACUAACCAAGCUAUUCAGAAGCAAAGAAUAACACUUCUGAAGUUUUAGUGCUGACGUCAUCUUCAGAAGCACAUUUUCCUCAGAACCUCAGUUAAGAGCUUCUGAUGAACCAAAAUGCUUCUGAAUAAACUUUAGAACCAAACUUCUUAUUCAGAGGCAAGCAAUUUUUCAAUCAGACACAAAAUGCAUGUUCAAAUUUUUCUUAAUAAAAUCAAAUCUUUCAACAGACAAAGGUUUUGUAAAUAUGUCAGCCCAUUGAUGUUCAGUAUCAAUGAAUUGUAUAUCUAAAAUUCCUUUUUGAACAUAGUCUCUGAUAAAAUGGUGUUUGAUUUCAAUAUGCUUGGCUCUUGAAUGUAGAAUUGGAUUCUUUGACAAACAAAUAGCAGCAGUAUUAUCACAAUAAAUGGGAAUACUGUUAGCAUUGAUCUGAUAGUCUUCCAACUGAUGUUUCAUCCAAAGCAGUUGUGUGCAACAACUUGCAGCUGAAAUGUACUCUGCUUCUGCUGUAGACAUAGCAAUAGUUGCUUGUCUUUUGCUUGCCCAGGAUAUCAGAUUCUCUCCCAGGAAUUGACAAUUUCCACUGGUUGAUUUUCUUUCAAUCCUAUCACCAGCAUAAUCAGCAUCACAGAAUCCAAUCAACUUAUAAUCUAGGGAUUUCCUAUACAGGAGUCCAAGAUUAGUUGUUCCUUUCAGAUACCUGAAGAUUCUCUUAACUGCAGUUAAAUGAGAUUCUCUAGGAUCUGAUUGAAAUCUUGCACACAAGCAUACACUGAAUAAAAUAUCAGGUCUAGAUGCAGUGAGGUAUAACAGAGAACCAAUCAUACCUCUGUAUAGUUUCUGGUCUACUACUGUUCCAGUAUCUUCUUUGCUUAAGGUGCAGGUUGGAUGCAUUGGAGUGUUCAUCACUUUACAAUCUUCUAGCUUGAACUUCUUCAGAAGCUCCUUUGUAUAUUUUGUUUGAUGAACAUAUACUCCUUCUUUACUUUGGUUGAUUUGAAUUCCCAGAAAGAAUUUCAAUUCUCCCAUCAUACUCAUUUCAAAUUCAUCCUGCAUUAACUUAGAAAAUUCUUUGCAAAGAAAUGCAUUAGUAGAACCAAAUAUUAUAUCAUCAACAUAUAUUUGCACAAUCAAAAUAUCUUUCUUAAGAGUCUUUCUGAAGAGUGUUGUGUCAACUUGUCCUCUUUCAAAAUCAGUUUUAAUUAAGAAAUUACUUAGUCUAUCAUACCAAGCUCUGGGAGCUUGUUUCAAGCCAUAUAGUGAUUUCUUAAGUUUAUAAACAUGGUCAGGAUGCUUAAGAUCCUCAAACCCAGGAGGUUGUUUAACAUACACUUCUUCUUCAAUGACUCCAUUAAGAAAGGCACUUUUGACAUCCAUUUGAUAUAAUAUUAUGCCAUGAUUAAUUGCGUAGGAUAGAAGUAACCUGAUUGCUUCCAAUCUUGCAACUGGAGCAAAUGUUUCAGUGUAAUCAAUGCCUUCUUGUUGACUGUAGCCUUGAGCAACAAGUCUGGCUUUGUUUCUGGUUACUUCUCCUUGUUCAUUCAGCUUGUUUCUGAAUACCCAUUUUGUUCCAAUAAUGUUCUUCUGAAAAGGUUUGGGUACCAGAUCCCACACGUCAUUCCUUUGGAAUUGAUUUAGCUCUUCUUGCAUAGCUAAUAUCCAUCCAUCAUCUGAGAGAGCUUCUUCAACAGUUUUAGGCUCAAUUAUUGAAAGCAGUCCUAUCAAUGAUUCUUCUUGUCUAAAAUGUGAUCUUGUUCUCCUAGGACUUUCUUUGCUUCCAAUGAUUAGCUCCUCAGGAUGUGAAGAUUUGUGCUUGAAUUUAGGUUGAAUAACCUGCUGAGUGUUAUCUUGAAGGCCCUCAGAAGCAAUUUCAUUCUGUGCUAUUGGGCUAGGUUCUGCUUCUGAAUUAGACUCAGCUUCUGGAGUGAUUUCAGCUUCUGGACUAGAUUCAACUUCUGUAUACUUUUCAGAAUCAGAAGGUUGAUCAGAUUCUGAUGCAUCUUCAGAAUCAGUUGUACCUGCAUUACUUUCACUUUGCUCUGAAGUUUUACUUCCAGGCUCUCUAUCAUCAAAUUUUACAUGCAUAGAUUCUUCAACACAUUGUGUUUCUGAAUUAUACACUCUGUAUGCCUUUGACCUUUCAGAGUAACCUAAAAAGAUUCCUCUUUGAGCCUUGGCAUCAAAUUUCUUCAGAUAGUCUUUAGUGUUUAAGAUGUAACAAGUACAUCCAAACUGAUGAAAGUAAGAGAUAUUGGGUCUUCUUCCUUUAAAGAGUUCAUAUGCUGUUUUCUCCAACAUAGGUCUGAUAUAGAUCCUAUUUUGAAUAUAACAUGAAGUAUUGACUGCUUCUGCCCAAAAAUGUUUAGCUAAAUUGUUUUCAUGGAUCAUGGUUCUGGCCAUUUCUUGUAAGGUUCUGUUCUUUCUUUCUACAACCCCAUUUUGUUGUGGAGUUCUAGGAGAAGAAAACUCAUGGAGAAUCCCAUGUUUUUCACAAAAAAGUUCAAAUGGCUCAUUUUCAAAUUCUCCACCAUGAUCACUUCUGACUUUCAAAAUUUUCAGUUCUUUUUCAGAUUGUAUUUGAAUGCAGAAGCUGCUGAACACUUCACAUGCAUAGUCUUUACUUUUAAUGAAUUUUACCCAAGUCCAUCUGCUGUAAUCAUCAACAAUGACUAAUCCAUAUUUACUUCCAUAUAAAGAUGCAGUGUUAACUGGACCAAAAAGAUCAAUAUGGAGUAAUUCUAAGGGUCUGGAAGUUGAUACAAUGUCUUUAGAUUUGAAAGAACUUUUCACAAUUUUCCCUUUCUGACAUGCACCACAAAGUGCAUCUGAAUGAUAAUCAAUGUUGGGCAAUCCUUUGACCAGUUGUAACUUACUAAUUUUAGAAAUUAAUCUCCAAUUAGCAUGUCCCAACCUUUUAUGCCAUACCCAUUUUUUAUCAUACAUUGACAGAAGGCAAACUACCUUCUGAUCAGCCAGAUCAGAGAAAUUUAUUUUAUAGACAUUCUCAACUCUCUUUCCCUUGAAUGUAAUGGAUUUGUCAUCCUUGUUGACUAGUGUGCAGUUGGUCUUACUGAACAUUACAUCAUACCCAUUGUCACAAAAUUGACUAAUGCUCAAUAGGUUAUGCUUCAGACCAUCUACUAGCCACACAUUAUUAAUUGAGAUGGAGGAAUUACCAAUAGUACCUGUACCAAUGAUCUUUCCAGUUUGGUUGCCACCAAACUUCACUUCUCCUCCAUCUUUCAUUGUAAGGGUAAGGAACAAAGCUUUCUCUCCAGUCAUGUGCCUUGAACAUCCGCUGUCUAGGUACCAUGACCUUUGUUUCUCUCUUGCCCUUAAGCACACCUGCAUUUUUGGACAAUUCAGAUUUAGGUACCCAUAUCUUUAUGGGUCCUUUUGGGUUAGUUUUGGAGGUUUUACUUUUCCUCCCUUGUACCUUAGGGUGAAUGCUGAGUAGCUUCUGAUCAUUCAAUACUUUAGGUUUGACACCUUUUGGUAUUGUUUUCUCAGAGGCAGAAGCUGCUUUGUUCUUCUGAUCCUUUUGUUUUGGGAUUUUAGAUUCUGGUUUGAUCAGAUUCUGAUGAACAGUUUCUGAUCUUUUCAGAAUUGUAAUCUUUUGACUCUUAGGAACAGAUUUUGUCAUUACCUUGAUCUUAAGGUUUUCUGGCUUUGAUGUGAUCUUAGCCUGUGAACCAGAAGCUUCAGGUUUUGACUGAACAGCAGUUUUAGCAUUUGUACCUUCAGGUACAAAGGUGGAUUUCAAUCCAUCCUUGAUACAAUCACAGUAGCUCUUGAGACUAUAUUCUUUGGAUUUCUCCUCAGAAUAUCCAAUCCCUUUGCCUUUGUUCUUGUAUGUGCUGUAGAUCAUAGAAGCAACUUUGCUUCUGUCUAUUCCGGCCAUAAUAAAAUCAUCCAAGGCAAUCUCAUGUUUAUUGCCUGAACCUUUAUCACAUUUUUCUUGUAGCUUCUGACAAAGAUUCUUGAGUCUAUCUUCAUAUGUUGUUGAUAUGAGGUUAAACCCUUUGAGUUCUUCUUCAGAAGCUUUUAGUUCCAAUAGAGUUGACUUUUGUUGUUUCAUCAAAUCAACAUAUUUUUCUUUUAAAUCUGUCAACUCAUUGGUUCUGUGUUCAAACAGUGAUAAAAGUUCUUUUAGAGAAUCAACAAGUUCUUGUCUAGGGAUUUUGGAAUAUACCUCAUUUUCAUCUUCUGAAUCUGAUUCAGCUUCUGAUACUGCUUCUGAUGAACCUGUUGCUACUAACCCAACGGCUGCCUUAGCAUCAUCAUCAGCUUCUUCUUUAUCAGAACCAGAUUCACUAUCCAAAUCUUCCCAGGUUGCCAUCAAGCUUUUUUUGAUUUGCUUUCUGAAUUUACUGGAGUUGAAGCUUGAUUUCUUGGAUUUGCCUUUAAACUUCUCCUUCUGAAGAUCAGGGCAGUCAGCAAUGAAAUGACCAGGCUUCUUACAAUUGAAGCAUCCCUUCUGAUCUUCUUUCUUGAAGUUCUUGUAGCUACCUCUCUUGCUCAAAAAUUUCUUCUGCUUCCUUGCCAGAUACUCAAGCUUGUUGGACAGCAUAGCCAUCUUUACAGAUUGAUCUUCAUCAGAAUCUCCAUCAGGUGAUUCUUCUUCAGAUUCACUGGCUUUGUAGGCUUUGGAAGACUUUGAGGUCUUUCCUUUAGAUGGUAAAGCAAUGGAUUUACUCUUCUUAGAGGUUUCAUGCUCAUUUAGACUCAUUUCAUGCACUUUGAGUGAGCUAACAAGAUCUUCAACACUUAAAGUAUUUAGAUCCUUAGCUUCCUCAAUGGCAGUUACUUUGGGUCUCCAUCUUGAAGGUAGGCUUCUCAAAAUCUUACUAACAUGAUCAGAAGAAACAUAGCUUUUCUUCAGUAUUUGCAAUCCAGAAACUAAAGUUUGAAAUCUUGAGUACAUUUCUUCUAUACUCUCAUCAUCCUUCAUUCUGAAAAGUUCAUACUGAUGAACUAGCAUCAAAGCUUUAGCCUCUUUUACUUUCUUGCUGCCUUCAAAGUUUGCACAAAGAGAAGCAAACAUAGCUUUCGCAGUAGAUUUGUCACUCAUUUUCAUGUAUUCGGUGCGAGGUAUAGAAGCCACAAUGAUUCCUCUUAUCUUGUGGUGUUUCUUAUAAAGCUUCUUCUGAGCAGGAGUAUGUAUUCUUCUGUCUAUAGCAGCUCCUUCUUCAUCCAAAUCCAGAUCAUCAACUCCAUCUUCCAGUAUAUCCCAUAGCUCUUCAUCCAAUCCCAUGAUAAAGCUGUACAUAUUAGUUUUCCACCAUGAAAACUCUUCUGGAUCUCCAUUAAACUUUGGAGCUUUUCCAGAGUCUGUUUUCUUGUCAGCAGUAUCAUAGUCAUGCUUGACACUUGUGUAUUUUGUAGUAGUUGAUUCCUCAUCUCCAGACAUGUUUUUCUAAUAGAUCUUCAACUGUAACACGGUUAAGUGCUGUGAUAACAGAGCAAGCUCUGAUACCAAUUGAAGGUGAGAAAAACACAAGAAGGGGGGGUUGAAUUGUGUUUUCUUCUUCUGUCUAGAAAAUUCUUCUUCUGAUAAAACUUCAGAAGCAGUUUGAGAGUGCUUCUGAUGAAAUGAUCAGAAUCAGAUAUGCAGCGGAAAGAACAGAGCAGAGAAAAGAAAGACAAAGACACAAGCAGUUAUCCUGGUUCCUUCCACAACACGGAAGUAGUCCAGUCCCCCUUGCACUUCCAAGGAGAUUUCACUAUAAUCACAAGAUUACAACUGCUCAAUACUUUCUAAGUAUGAGACUUCACAAAACUAUGCUCAAGCACACACGCAAGAGUCUUCCAAUGCUCAAGCACUAAGCAAGAGACUUCUAAUGCUCAAGCACGCAGGCAAGAGACUUCUAAUCAAACAAAAAUACAGAGAAUUGAGUUUGAAUUGAACACUUGAUAUACAAUCAGUGGUGUUCACAAUACAAUACAGAAAAGACUCUAGACUUUGAAUUUCUAAGAUGUAUCAAAUCAGUGCAGAAAUUCAGUGUGCUUUGUAGUAUCAAAUUGACAGAGUUUUGGCGCUUUUGAACUUAUGUACUUCUCUAUGUAAUCUUCAAGUCUUCACUCCUUUAUAUAGAGGUGUGAAAGAGACGUUGAGAGAUCAGCACGUCUAAAGAGUCGUUUGAAAUCCUUUGAUUAUCCACCAGUGAUCCUUUGCCUGAUUUGGGUGUAGUCCUUUGAAGAAUAAACUUCAAAUUCAUUCCCAUCUUGAGUUGUACAAAUUCUGCAGGCAUGGCUGUUGUUUUGUCUUGUAGCGUAGACAGAAAACAGAAUAGUGGAGGUAGUGGUUGUACACUUGUACUUUGUCAACUCUAUUAAUGAGAGACAAGUGCAAAGUGCUUUCCAUAUAUCCGUUGAUACCUCCCUUUCAAUUCUUCGUUCUUCUUUGAUAAGACUUGUUAUCAUGGUUUUUGGGUGCCAAGCCAUUAAUUGGACUUGAACCUUUUGACCGUUGAUAUCUCUCUUUUUUCUUGGGAAGGGAAAAAUUGAGAAAAAACCCUUAGAUUCUAAGUUCGGGGGUCGGUUUUACUACGGGAAGGUGUUAGGCACCCGGAGUAACUAUAGUCCUCUAUAGGAGCCGUUUUCCUAAGUUUAAUUCUACGCUUUAUUUUUAUUGCUUAUUUUGUAAAAAGGAGGGUAUGAUUAGUGAAGAAUGGGGGUGAGAAGAAGUAGAAUUUGAUUUUAUUUCGUUGAUUUGAAGAAAAUUUUAAUGUGUUGCUAUUUGAUUUUUUAAAGUUUGAAAAUGAUUUUUUUGAAGAAGAGAAAGGAGGCCUUAAAGGCUUGAGAAGUAAAAAUGCGAAGUUUGUCCAAUUUUACUUAAUAAAAUAGUCUAAGUCACUUAAGGUUCAUUUAGAAUUUUCUUAAGAAAGUAAAAGGAAACAUCAAAGGAGUUUUGACUCCAAAGUUCAUUUUAAAGAAAAAAAAGCUAGAAUUAUGGAACUUGGUUUGCUUUACGAAAAAGUAUUUUCUAAGUACUCGCGUUCCCUAAUCAUACAUCUAAACGAAUGUCAUACACCGUGUGUGAGUGUCGGUGCUCGUGUCGGUGUACAUCAAUAGAGUCCAUAGUCCCUUUUACAUUGUCCUAGAUACAUUCUAUGGUCUUUGUGUGAAACAUAAAAGAUAAUACCUACCUAAAUAUUACAAUUCCAAACAAAAGUAAAAAAAAUGAAUGCAAAGAAACUAAACUAUGUAAAAGAAUGGAAAUGGAAUGCUAAAUGAUAUGUAUGAAGUACCAAAGUAAACUUGUUAGUGAGAAAAAAACAUAACAAGUACUAAGGAAUAAAAGCAUGCAAGAUGGCACAAAAAGUCAACAAAAUGCCAUUAAACCCUAAAAACUUAGGUAUGAAACCUAAAGCAUUCUUGGCCUCUAAUUCUCAUGCUUUAACAAAUUUUGAAAGAGUUUUCUUUAUCUCAAGUUAUAGCAUGGAAUUAUUGGAAACAUGCAAGCAUGGUUUCAUGCCAUAUUUUCUAGAAUAAACUUGGCAUUUUAUGUCUUUCAAAAUAUGCAUAUAUUGUUCAUAAAAUCAAGAACUUAUGAACCAAAUCAAAACAGCAAAUCAACAUGAAAUUAUAGGCACAAAUCUCUCAUAUUAACACAUCAAGUAGCUUUUAUCACAUAUUCUCACAUCAAGGACAAAUGUGUGAAGAUGAAUCCAUAACAAAUAAUUCAAAGAGAAUUAAAAUGCUAUGAAUUAAUUAUACAAAAAUUUCAUAGAUCCUUAAUGUUCAAAAAUGUCAUAAAAACACUAAGAAAAUAUCAGGAAAUAUGUGAUAAUUUUUGGAGGUUUUUUAGGGAAAAUUUUAAGCAUGCAGGGGUUCAAACAGCAAAGAAAUAUGGUGCAAACAGCAGGAAAACAAACAAAAACGUAAAAGAACAAAGCCCAAACCAAAGGCCCAAAAACCAAGAGAUCCGGAUGCACAGGGAGCGUUGGAUUGAACCAGGGAAGGAAACCCUAGAUCCAACGCUCAGGAUUGAAGGGAUUGGACCGGUCUUGAACCGGUCCGGUUCAGUUGUCUAUAAAAGGGAACUAGCACCGGUUUAAUUCAUUUUCAUUCUCCUUUCUCUCUCUACACUCAGAGCCUCUCUCUCAUCUCUCACCUCUCAUCAGACUUCCUCACCGGAGUUGAUGAAGCCACGGCGGAAACCUAGGUGGUUCGCCGGAAGCUUCAUCUUCUCCGGUGAACCAGCGCCCAGAAAUCAACCAAACUUGCACCAAAUCCUUCGCCUCCUUCUUCUAAACACGAAUCCGUAAUCUGUUUUCAUACUUGAAACGUGAAUCAACGCAGAUCUGAUAUUUUCUUUUACGGUUUCAGAAAGUUGAGUUUUCGUUUUUUUUUUAUAAGAUUCUAUGGAUUUGGCACAGAUCUUCGUUGAUUCACUUGGAUUGAUGUUUUUCGAAAGAGAUGAAGUGAACAAAGACUUUAAGCGAUGUGGAUCUAGAACUUUGACGCGACGUGAAACUGUUUUGAGGUUUUUUUAUCUUUUUUGAAUUGAAACAUUUUGAUUCGUACAGAUCCACAUCACGUUGGUCUCGCCACUGUUCUUGAUGAAGAAAAACUGAGAGGAAACGUUUUUUGUUUACGAUGUAGAUCUUAUUGAUUUCAGUUUCGGUUUCAAAGGUGUUUUUUGGUUUUCGAAUUUUCUUAAACCAAAACGUUUUUUAUCACUAAGUUCUACAUCGUUUUCCAGUGAUUGAACUUCUUUAUGAGAAAAACGAGGUGUUUGAAGUUAUACCUGAGGUUUUAAUGGAGAUUCUGGUUGAUUUUCUUCAGAAAAACCGUGAUCUGCUUGCUGCGUUUUUGAUGAUUUUGUUAUUGAGCUACUGAAAAUAAAUCAGUAUUUGUGUACGUGAAUCUUCAUCUUCAUCACCGGUUUAAACCUAGCUUCUUCCCUCUUCUUUCUCUUCACUGUUUCCUCGUGAUCAGUGCUUGAGUUCGUCGCGUUUCAGUGAAGAACUCGCACUUCGAAUUGCGAGGAAAUUGAUUCUGUGAUGAUGAUUCCGUGUUGAAUCUCUGAGAACCAACGAGUAAUCCAAGAAACUUUGUUGAAUUCUGUUGAAUUUGGUGUUUUUGUGUUGAUUUGGUGGAAAUCAAUGGUGGAUUGAGGUGGUUAGGGUUUCUGCCAUUGAUGAAUCUUUGAAGCUUUUUUGUUGAUUCUGUUUUGAUCUAACAGAAAAGAGAGAGAAAGUUGAAUUCUGUUUUGGUGAGUUGGCGUGUGAUCAUUCCUUCUGAUUCUGACUUGUACAGUAAAUGCGCCUUUUAUAGGCUGCCAUGUGUGCAUUGGGACCAAUGGAAUAGUGACAUCUGGACCUGUAUGGAAGAGGCACGGCUUUGGACUUAAAAUGGACUUUGGACUUUUCUGCAAAAACAAAAACUUUAAGGACUGAACUGCAAAUAACCCAAAAAGGACUGAAAUGUAAAAAAAAACAAAUUCUGGACUGACACGCAAUUUUGGACCUCUUUGGGGACCAAAAUGUAAAAUAAAAAAUAAAAUUGGAAUAAAAUUGGCAACCUGACAAAACGUAAAGUGAAACUAAAAUAAAAUUGACAAAACGGACUAAAACGAACCAAUGGCUUAAAUGAGGUACUUCAAAGUAACCUCCCCAUGCCAAAAUUUCGUGUGAAAUGACCAAAAUGCCCCUAGGGCUAAAAAUGACCUAAACAGAAUCAAAUUGAUCUGACACUGACUCAGACGCAAAUUUAAAAUGAACUUAACAAGGUUUACUGAUGGAAAGUUAAAAAUGAAUUUAAAAAGACUCAGAGACAGUCACAAGGAUGAAAAUGGGUCCCACUGCAGGAAAUGACCAAAAUACCCUUCUGUAUGACUUUUUGCAAAUUUUGAAAUAAACUGCAGAAAAAGCAACGUAAUGAUUCAGAGACACUUUUGAAUGACUUACAAGACAAGUAAAGACGUUUUGAAAGGUUUUAUGCAAGAAAAACAUAGGUACAAUUGUGAUUGAAAAUACUGCGAGGCAGAGACAAUUUGAACUGUGCAGUUGAAAUUUGAUAAUUGACAAAGUUUGAAAUGAAAUUGGGCCCAGUAUUUUUAGGUCCAAAAACAGGGUAUAACAGCUGCCCCUAUUUAAGUUUCUUUGUCUGGAGAGUCAAGAGACGGAGUCUUUGGCUUGACAGGACGAAGAUACUUAAAUAUUAGCAUUUGCACUGUGUUUGGACGUAAAAAUACGCCUACCCAUUUUCAAAUAAUAUGCAUGCCAUGCAUCAUUUGGAUUAUGAAUGCAAGACCUCAUGGGGAUUGGAAUUAACAAAAUAUGUCGUAUCCAUUGCGGGAUUGGUAGACAUUGACAAAGAUAGUGAAUAGCAGAGUAACGGGAAACUAGAAACAAGUUGGACAGGUACAAGCUGUUCUUGGAUUCGAACUAGCCACUUGACCGAGGAUGAAACAAACAGACAACUGCGAGUUGUUCUUAUGGAUUCGAACUGGUCACUUCACAGGGGAUAGAGGUUACUGGACAAACAUGAGUUGUUCUUAUGGAUUCGAACUAGUAACUCACUUGGGGAUAUUGGAGAGUGCGAGUUGUUCUUAUGGAUUCGAACUGGUGACCCGACUGGGAAAAAGAGAAAAUUGGCAAGUACGAGUUGUUCUUAUGGAUUCGAACUGGUGACUCGACUGAAAACAUGUAAAAUUGGCAGGUACGAGUUGUUCUUAAGGAUUCGAACUGGUUACUCGACUGAAAGCAAGGCAAAUAGACAGGUGCGAGCUUGUUCUUGGAUGCGAACUGGUUACUCCACCGGACAGAAACAGAUAGACAGGUACAAGCUGCUCUUGGAUUGAGCUAGCCACUUGACCAAACGGAAACAUAUUGACAGGUACGAGCUGCUCUUGGAUUGAGCUGGGCACUCGACCGAUGACAUAAGCAAAUUGAUAGGUACAAGCUGUUCUUGGACUUGAACUAGCCACUUGACCAAACAGAAACAUAUUCACUGGGGAUUGGUUUGCUUUGACAGAAUAGAGAUUGAGAUUGACUUGACGUCGACUUGAAUUGAAAGGUAGAAAUUGACUGAUAUUAUUGGCUCACAAGGUUUUGACAGAGAACCUGACAUGAGUAUUGAAUUGAGACCGAUGUUGACAUUGGAAAUGUGAUAUGCAUGGAUGAUAUAACAGUUUCAUUAAAUGCAUGGGUACGUAAUAUGCAUGAUUAUGCAUGUAUGAAUGCUUGUAAUGCAUGACUGUUGGCAGUUUGUAGGCACGACUUCACGGGGAAAACAAGACAUCAGAGUAUUGGGCACGUAGUGGCUCGUGCUAUAUUACACCUUCUUGGAAAUCCUCUUUGGAGAUGACGUCGUUGGGAGACGUAUCGGAACCAUGGCUGAGGGCAGGUAGCUAUGCAACUCGCUGGGGAUAGAAUCUUGAGAGACUUUACUGGGGAAAACACCGUUGUGCUGGGCAUGUUGUGGACAUUGCAUCUGUGGUCAAUGCUUUUUGCAUGUUAUAUUCUCAUUUUUCACAUCCCAUUUUUGCCUAGAUCGCCCUUUCGGGUUUUCAAUCCACCGGGGAAAUAAAUUCCUUUCAUUGCCCCAUUUUUGCCUGAAUUGCCCUUUCGGGUUGUCAAUCCAGCGGGGUGCUCAUUUUUGCCUAAAUCGCCCUUUCGGGUUUUCAACUUAGCGAGCCUAUUCAUUUUCAUGCAUUUUCAUUCUGUUUUUUCAUUCUUGCCAUUGACCACAGACUAUCCUGGAGGAGAACCUGCUUGUAACAUAUAUUGAAAUAGACAUUAACAUUAACAUACUCUCGCUCAUGCAUGCUUCAUUUGAAUGUACCCUGUUGCUCAGGUUUGCUUUUCAAAACAGACAAAAAGUUUUCAAUUUUCAAAAUGUUUGUUUCGAGCAUUGUCAUUAUCAAAAUAGAAAGAAAAUGUUUUGUAUAUAGCUUUGAAAGUAAAAAGAAAAUAGAGUUUUCAAACAAAAGCAAAGGCUCAAAUUGAUGUAUAAGAGUGGUGGUCAGCCGAAGGCGUGACUCCACGGAUUUACAAAGCUUGGAAAAUGGUAAUUUUAUUGGUUGGUGGUACAUUGAACACAGUAAUCAUGACAUUUCCCAGAAACUUUGAAUUCGCAAGCAUAAGAGCUUUUGAUGAAGACGGUCAUUAACAGCUGCAGAUGCCCCAAGGGGACGGUGGUUGGCCAGAUAUAGUUACUUGCCUUUUGUUUCAAUCUCAUUUUUGCAUGAACCGCCCUUCCGGGUUUUCGGCUCAUCGAGACGCUCAUUCUUGCCUGAGUUGUGUACAAUCUCAGCGAGCUUUUUCAUAUUUGUUUUUUUUGUCCCUUAUUUUUGCCUGGACCGCCCUUUCGGGUUUUCGAUCCAUCGGGAAGCGCAUUUUUGCCUAGGCCGCCCUUUCGGGUUUUCGACCUACCACGCUGUUCUUUUCAUAUUUCUAGGCAAAGUAUUUCUUGACUAUAUCGGCAUUCACUGGAUUUGGAAGUUCUACACCAUCCAUGUGUGUAAGGAUUAAAGCACCACCGGAGAAGGCCUUCUUGACAACAUAAGGACCUUCAUAGUUAGGCGUCCACUUGCCCCUUGGGUCGGGUUGCUGGCUUAUCCUCCUUUUCAAUACAAGUUCCCCUACCUUGAAUUCUCGAGGAUGGACUUUCUUGUCAAAGGCAGUCUUCAUUCUUGCUUGAUAUGACUGUCCACGAGCCAUGGCAUCCAUACGUUUUUCCUCAAUCAAAUUCAACUGAUCAUACCGGCUUUGGCACCAUUCAGCCUCGGAUAACUUUGCUUCCAUAAUCACACGGAGAGAUGGGAUCUCCACUUCCAAAGGAAGAACUGCUUCCAUACCAUAUACAAGAGAGAAAGGGGUUGCCCCGGUUGAACUGCGCACAGUAGUACGGUAGCCAUGCAGAGCAUAGGGUAACAUCUCAUGCCAGUCCUUGUAAGUGGUUACCAUCUUCUGGACAAUUCUCUUGAUAUUCUUAUUGGCGGCCUCAACUGCACCAUUCAUCUGAGGUCUAUAAGGAGAAGAGUUAUGAUGCUCAAUUUUGAAUUCUUCACAAAGAGCUUGCACCACAUUGUUGUUCAGGUUGGUACCAUUGUCGGUAAUAAUCUUGCUGGGAACACCAUAUCGACAGAUGAUGUUGUUCUUGAUGAACUUAGCUACCACUUGCUUGGUCACAUUGGUAUAAGAUGCUGCUUCAACCCACUUGGUGAAGUAGUCAAUUGCCACUAAGAUGAAACGAUGACCGUUUGAAGCCUUCGGUUCAAUCCUUCCAAUCAUAUCGAUGCCCCACAUUGAGAACGGCCAUGGGGAUGACAUAACAUUGAGAGCGUGCGGAGGCACAUGAAUCUUAUCAGCAUAGAUUUGACAUUUGUGGCAUUUUCUGGCGUACUGGUAGCAAUCAUGCUCCAUGGCCAUCCAGUAGUAACCUGCCCGUAACAACUUCCUUGACAUAGUAUGUGUUAUACCCUGUUUUUGGACCUAAAAAUACUGGGCCCAAUUUCGUUUCAAACUUUGUUAAUUAUCAAAUUUCAACUGCACAGUUCAAAUUGUCUCUGCCUCGCAGUAUUUUCAAUCACGAUUGUACCUAUGUUUUUCUUGCAUAAAACCUUUCAAAACGUCUUUAUUGUCUUGUAAGUCAUUCAAAAGUGUCUCUGAAUCAUUACGUUGCUUUUUCUGCAGUUUAUUUCAAAAUUUGCAAAAAGUCAUACAGAAGGGUAUUUUGGUCAUUUCCUGCAGUGGGACCCAUUUUCAUCCUUGUGACUGUCUCUGAGUCUUUUUAAAUUCAUUUUUAACUUUCCAUCAGUAAACCUUGUUAAGUUCAUUUUAAAUUUGCGUCUGAGUCAGUGUCAGAUCAAUUUGAUUCUGUUUAGGUCAUUUUUAGCCCUAGGGGCAUUUUGGUCAUUUCACACGAAAUUUUGGCAUGGGGAGGUUACUUUGAAGUACCUCAUUUAAGCCAUUGGUUCGUUUUAGUCCGUUUUGUCAAUUUUAUUUUAGUUUCACUUUACGUUUUGUCAGGUUGCCAAUUUUAUUCCAAUUUUAUUUUUUAUUUUACAUUUUGGUCCCCAAAGAGGUCCAAAAUUGCGUGUCAGUCCAGAAUUUGUUUUUUUUUACAUUUCAGUCCUUUUUGGGUUAUUUGCAGUUCAGUCCUUAAAGUUUUUGUUUUUGCAGAAAAGUCCAAAGUUAAUUCUAAGUCCAAGGCCGUGCCAUUUCCAUACAAAUCCAGGUGUCACAUUUUCAUUGGCUCAAGUGUACACAUGUCAACUAUAUAAACAGUGAGUCAGGAUCAGAAGGAAUGAUCACACGCCAACUCAUAAACACAAAUACAAUUUUCUUUUUCUCAGCAACUGAAUCAAAACAGAAAAAUUUCUCAGAUUCAUCAAGAACACCAAGAACAAAAAACCCUAACCGUUUUUUCCAGAAUCACUGAAUCAUCAACAAGUUCAUCAAAUUCUCUGCAAUUCUCAGAGAUUCAAUACUGAAUCUUCAUCAUUGAAUCACCUCCUUCACAAUACGAGUGCGAGUCCAUUACAGUUAGCAACGGACUCAAGCACGAUCACGAAGAAGACAGUGAGAAGAAGAGGGAAAGAAAACGAAGAAUCUGGACCGGUGAAGAAAGGGAGGAAUCACUGAUUUAUUUUCAGUCUCAAAGUCAGAAAUCAACACAGAAAGCACAGAAUCUCCAUCAAAAAUUUCAGGUAAAAACUCAGAACCUCUUUACAAAAUAAAAUCAUAGUUUAAACCUGCAAAAUCACGCAAGCAGCAAGCUUAACAAUUUUCCAGAAUCACAAAGAGAACCGUAACCGUAACCAUAACCAUACACGCGUGAAUCUCUUUUUUCUCUUUUCAAAAAGCAUCAACGCAAGCGAAUCGUUACAGAUCAAGAAGGAUAAAAGAGGAUUUGAUCCAAGAAAGUUUCAAAGAAAAAAAGAGUUUCAAAACCGUGACAUAAAACCUCAGAUCUACAACGAUUCAGACCUUGCAUGCAAAAUCUAACGCCAUAUUCUUGUUUAGAACGAAAAAGGAUGUCUUAAUCUGUAAAAAUUUUUGAAAACGGUGGAGUUUCUCGCCUCCGGUGCGGCGGCGCCGCCCUGUUGGGCCGGCAAGCCACCACACCGGAGCGGUGAAGCUCACCGGAGAAGACAACCGGAGGAGAGGAGAGAGGUGAGAGCUUCUCUCACUAGGUUUAGGGUUAGAGAGAGAGAGGAGAAGGAAAAAUGGACUGGACCGGUCCUGUAAUCCUUUUAUAAGCAGCUGAACCGGACCGGUCCAGCUCUGGUUCGUUCCCUUCAAUCUAGACCGUUGGAUCUAGGGUUCCAUCUCCUGGAUCAAUCCAACGGUCCCUGCGCUUUUCUGAGUUUUGGUGUUGGGCUUUGGGUUUGGGCUUAAUUUUCUGCACAUUUCUUGCUUUCUUCUUGCUGUUCACGCCCCUAUUUUUUUGCUACCUGCACCUAUGUCUUGAUUAAAAUUGUGAUAAAAUUCCUAGAAAAAUUCAUACAUGUUUCUUGAUAUUUUCUCAGUGUUUUUAUGACAUUUUUGCAUAUUAAGGAUCUAUGAAAUUUUGGUAUAAUUAAUUCAUAGCAUUUUAAUUCUCUUUGAAUUAUUUGUUAUGGAUUCUUCUUCACACAUUUGUCCUUGAUGUGAGAAUAUGUGAUAAAAGCUACUUGAUAUGUUAAUGUGAGAGGUUUGUGCCUAUAAUUUUGUGUUGAUUUGCUGUUUUGACUUGGUUCAUAAGUUCUUGGUUUUAUGAACAAUAUAUGCAUAUUUUGAAAGAUAUAAAAUGCCAAGUUUACUCUAGAAAAUGUGGCAUGAAACCAUGCUUGCAUGUUUCCAAUAAUUCCAUGCUAUAACUUGAGAUAAAGAAAACUCUUUCAAAAUUUGUUAAAGCAUGAGAAUUAGAGGCCAAGAAUGCUUUAGGCUUCAUACCUAAGUUUUUAGGGUUUAAUGUCAUUUUGUUAACUUUUUGUGCCAUCUUGCAUGCUUUUAUUUCUUAGUACUUGUUAUGUUUUUUUUUUUCACUAACAAGUUCACUUUGGUACUUCAUACAUAUCAUUUAGCAUUCCAUUUCCAUUCUUUUACAUAGUUUAGUUUCUUUGCAUUCAUUUUUUUUUUUACUUUUAUUUGGAAUUGUAAUAUUUAGGUAGGUGUUAUCUUUUAUAUUUCAUGCAAAGACCAUAGAAUGUAUCUAGGACAAUGUAAAAAGGGACUAUGGACUCUAUUGAUGUACACCGACACGAGCACCGACACUCACACACGGUGUAUGACAUUCGUUUAGAUGUAUGAUUAGGGAACGCGAGUACUUAGAAAAUAUUUUUUCGUAAAGCAAACCAAGUUCCAUAAUUCUAGCUUUUUUUCUUUAAAAUAAACUUUGGAGUCAAAACUCCUUUGAUGUUUCCUUUUAUUUUCUUAAGAAAAUUCUAAAUGAACCUUAAGUGACUUAGACUAUUUUAUUAAGUAAAAUUGGACAAACUUCACAUUUUUUACUUCUCAAGCCUUUAAGGCCUCCUUUCUCUUCUUCAAAAAAAAUCAUUUUCAAACUUUAAAAAAUCAAAUAGCAAUACAUUAAAAUUUUCUUCAAAUCAACUAAAAGAUAAAAAGUCUUACAACUUCUCUCCCCAUUCUUAACUAAAUAAACCUCCCAUUUUCAAAAGUAAGUAAAAAUAAGCGUGAAUAUAGACUUAGGAAAACGGCUCCUAUAGAGGACUAUAGUUACUCCGGGUGCCUAACACCUUCCCGUAGUAAAACCGACCCCCGAACUUAGAAUCUAAAGGGUUUUUUCUCAAUUUUUCCCUUCCCAAGAAAAAAGAGAGAUAUCAACGGUCAAAAGGUUCAAGUCCAAUUAAUGGCUUGACACCCAAAAACCAUGAUAACAGAAAUGGCGACUUCACUGGGGAAUCUUUUUAGCGGGUCGCGCCUAGUUUUCCUUAGUUUAUAUUUACGCUUUGUUUUGUUGCUUACAUAUGUGAAUACUUGUUUAUUUUCAUUUGACGUGUGGGGUGAGAAUAUCAAAAGUCCUAUACCCGGGCUGAGUGAACUUAUGAUUAGGUAGAGAUAUAAUCGACAAUUCGAUCCGGGGGUUGCCUCGUGUAUUGGAUUAUGCGAUCAAUCUCACAUAGCUGAGGCAUUUUGAAGGUGAUAUUGUCGGCGUGUGUUGUCAUGCUUAGGCACUUCACUUUCAAUUGUUCGACGAAGCUAUGAACCGUAGUUACCAAACCCAUCCUAGCCUUUUUAGGACGUAGUGCGGUGGCUAAAUUGAGUGUUGUCUCAAACUUUAGUCGUCACGCGAUACUACACUCAAGCUAGACCUUCUCACAAAUAAACAUGGAACGGGUGUCGUCCUGUACUACCAUGAUAUAUGUGAGAGAGGUUGCAGUUUGGGAACUGUGUUAGAACCUUGGUUACUACUAUCCAAAGCCUUAGUUCACCGGACGCCGUGUCCAUCCGUGGCCUUGUUACUUUGAAUCUCAACCCACAUUGUAACUAAAACAACACAAUCAUGCAUACAUGCAUUCAUGCAUAAACAUUUUUCAUGCAUUCAUCGAAGGGUUUAAACAAAUGGAAAUUUUUGUAAAUAAUCACAGGUAUGAAGAAGACUAAGUGCUACAAGUUCAAGGAAGUGGAUUUGGUUAGUUUGAGAGAGUUGGCGCUCAAGGUCAAGAGUCAAACAGGGUUCCGACUCCGGUAUGGGGGAUUGCUUACUUUGCUCCGAACCGAUGUGGACGAGAAGCUAGUGCACACUCUAGUGCAAUUUUAUGAUCCAAGCUUCCGUUGCUUCACUUUCCCGGACUUCCAGUUGGUUCCUACUCUCGAGGCUUACUCCAAUCUAGUGGGUUUACCUAUAGCCGAGAAGACGCCUUUCACCGGUCCUGGGACUUCUCUUACUCCUCUGGUUAUUGCUAAGGAUCUCUACCUCAAGACUUCUGACGUCUCCAAACAUCUUAUUACCAAGUCUCACAUCCGGGGGUUCACUUCAAAGUGUCUUCUUGAUCAAGCUAAUCUCAGCACUACUCGUCAGGAUACACUCGAGGCUAUUCUUGCUUUGCUUAUCUACGGGCUCAUUCUCUUUCCGAACCUCGACAACUUCGUGGACAUGAAUGCUAUCGAGAUCUUUCAUUCCAAGAACCCGGUUCCUACUUUGCUAGCAGAUACCUACCACGCCAUUCAUGACAGGACUCUCAAGGGCCGUGGGUAUAUUCUUUGCUGCAUAUCUCUUUUGUACAAGUGGUUUAUUUCGCACCUUCCGAGUUCCUUCCAUGAUAACUCGGAGAACUGGUCCUACUCGCAGCGGAUUAUGGCCCUCACUCCUAAUGAGGUCGUCUGGCUCACUCCUGCCGCUCAAGUGAAGGAAAUCAUUAUGGGUUGUGGAGACUUUCUCAAUGUACCUCUUCUUGGUACCCGUGGAGGAAUCAACUACAAUCCCGAGCUUGCUAUGAGACAGUUUGGUUUCCCUAUGAAGUCGAAGCCCAUCAAUCUUGCUACAUCUCCAGAGUUCUUCUUCUACACGAAUGCUCCUACCGGACAAAGGAAAGCUUUCAUGGAUGCUUGGUCCAAGGUUCGAAGGAAGAGUGUGAAGCAUCUAGGUGUGAGAUCCGGUGUUGCUCAUGAGGCCUAUACUCAGUGGGUGAUAGAUCGAGCUGAGGAGAUUGGUAUGCCUUAUCCAGCUAUGAGAUACGUGUCUUCGUCUACUCCAUCUAUGCCUCUACCUCUACUCCCCGCGACUCAGGAUAUGUAUCAGGAGCAUCUAGCUAUGGAGAGUCGUGAGAAGCAAGUGUGGAAAGCUCGGUACAAUCAAGCCGAGAAUCUAAUCAUGACUUUGGAUGGUAGAGAUGAGCAGAAGACUCAUGAGAAUCUAAUGUUGAAGAAAGAACUAGCUAAGGCCCGGAAGGAAUUGGAAGAGAAAGACGAGCUGCUUAUGAGGGAUUCCAAGAGAGCCAGAGGACGACGAGACUUCUUUGCCAGAUACUGUGAUUCAGAUUCCGAGUCCGAUGAUCUUCCGACUACUUCCUAUGUUUGAGGGCUUCAUGUGUUUAUUUCAAAGUCUUUCUGUUGAGAAUACUAUGUAGUUUUGUUUAUUUGCAAGAUUUCUAAUUUGUUUAAAAAUCCUUCGAUGAGAAAAUAAGUCUUUUGCAUUUGCAUUUGCACAUGAUGCAUCAUAUGCAUCAUGCAUUGGUCACAAAGGCUUCCAAGUGCUUACCACCUCCUGGUUUCUCUGCCACAGUGUGAAAAGUGGCUCGUGCUCAGAGAAUUUACGAACCUGAUAGAAUUGAUCGAACCAGAGAAUACAAAAGAAAGAAAAGGGCUAUGGAAGAAGAGAACACGCAGCUUCGUACCGAAUUGGCAUCUUUAAGGGAGGAAUUGGCCAAAGCUCAUGAUGCUAUGACUGCUCUGUUGGCUGCUCAGGAACAACCAGUUCCUGUAGUUUCUACAGCUGCAAAUGUGACUCCUACUGUAACAACUGAUCCCCGCUCUAUCAUGCCAUCCGGGUAUCCUUACGGGCUGCCGCUGUACUAUACUGCUAAUACAGGGGCAGGGACCUCUGGUACUACCAACAAUGGCCCAAUCCCAGGGGCAAACUUGACUCCUGUUAGUACCGCCUUGACUCAAGCUGCAACAACUGUUACCGAGCCCAUUGUGAAUGCGGUGCCUCUAUUUGUCCAUGCUAAUGCGCACCACGGGAGUAUUGCCGCAACCGGAACUAUGGAAGAGAGAAUGGAAGAACUUGCCAAAGAGCUCCGACGGGAAAUUAAGGCCAACAGGGGAAAUGGAGACUCCAUUAAAACUCAGGAUCUCUGCUUGGUGUCGAAGGUAGAUGUUCCAAAGAAGUUCAAAGUCCCGGAGUUCGACAAGUAUAACGGGCUGACUUGUCCUCAAAAUCAUAUUGUCAAAUAUGUCCGGAAGAUGGGCAACUACAAGGACAAUGAUCCCCUUAUGAUCCAUCACUUCCAAGACAGUCUGAUGGAAGAUGCUGCAGAGUGGUAUACUAGUCUGAGCAAAGAUGAUGUCCAUACUUUUGAUGAGCUAGCCACCGCUUUCAGGAGCCACUACGGGUUUAACACUCGUUUGAAGCCGAAUAGGGAGUUUCUCAGGUCCCUAUCUCAGAAAAAGGAGGAAAGUUUCCGUGAAUAUGCGCAAAGGUGGAGAGGGGCAGCUGCCCGUAUUACUCCUGCUUUAGAUGAAGAAGAAAUGACCCAGACGUUCUUAAAGACCUUGAAGAAAGAUUAUGUUGAGAGGAUGAUCAUCGCUGCCCCGAACAACUUUUCGGAGAUGGUCACUAUGGGAACCCGUCUUGAGGAAGCAGUUAGAGAUGGGAUCAUUGUGUUUGAGAAAGCUGAAUCUUCUGCAAGUGCGUCGAAGAGAUAUGGUAAUGGACACCACAAGAAGAAAGAAACGGAAGUGGGGAUGGUGUCAGCUGGAGCCGGUCAAUCAAUGGCUACUGUUGCACCUAUCAAUGCAGCUCAAAUGCCUCCGUCAUAUCCAUAUAUGCCGUAUUCUCAGCAUCCGUUCUUCCCACCGUUUUAUCAUCAGUACCCUUUGCCGCCGGGCCAGCCUCAAGUGCCCGUCAAUGCAAUUGCCCAACAGAUGAAACAACAGUUGCCGGUUCAACAACAACAACAACAACAACAGCAGCAGCAGUAUACUAGACCAACUUUUCCUCCUAUACCAAUGUUGUAUGCUGAGUUGCUUCCAACUUUACUCCAGAGAGGUCAUUGUACGACUAGACAAGGCAAGCCACCACCUGAUCCGUUGCCUCCAAGGUUCAGGUCUGAUCUCAAAUGUGACUUUCAUCAAGGUGCCUUAGGUCAUGAUGUCGAGGGGUGUUAUGCUUUGAAGUAUAUCGUGAAGAAGCUCAUUGAUCAGGGAAAGCUGACUUUUGAGAAUAAUGUUCCACAUGUCCUUGACAAUCCGCUACCAAAUCAUGCCGCUGUGAAUAUGAUCGAAGUGUGUGAGGAAGCUCCUAGACUUGAUGUCCGCAACGUCGCAACUCCUCUGGUGCCUCUACAUAUCAAGCUGUGCAAAGCUUCUCUGUUCAGCCAUGAUCAUGCCAAGUGUCUAGGGUGCCUCCGUGAUCCUUUGGGUUGUUAUACUGUUCAAGACGACAUCCAAAACUUGAUGAAUGCUAAUCUUCUGACUGUCAGUGAUGUUUGCGUGAUUGUGCCAGUUUUUCACGAUCCGCCUGUCAAGAGUGUACCUUUGAAGAAGAAUGCUGAGCCUUUGGUGAUAAGGUUGCCGGGACCAAUUCCUUAUGUUUCGGACAAGGCAGUGCCAUACAAAUACAAUGCUACUAUGAUAGAAAAUGGAGUAGAGGUGCCUCUAGCCUCCUUUGCCACAGUAAGCAAUAUUGCCGAAGGGACUUCUGCAGCGCUAAGAAGCGGGAAGGUUCGUCCGCCAUUAUUUCAGAAGAAGGUAGCUACGCCAAUCACUCCACCAGUUGAAGAAGCAACUCCAACCGUUGUUUCACCCAUUGCUACAGAUGUGAAUCAGCCAGGCAAAUCUAUAGAGGAUUCAAAUUUAGAUGAGAUUCUGAGGAUAAUAAAGAGGAGCGACUACAAGAUCGUUGACCAAUUGCUGCAAACUCCUUCCAAGAUAUCUGUCUUGUCAUUACUCUUGAGCUCUGAGGCUCACAGGAAUACCUUGUUGAAAGUGCUGGAGCAGGCAUAUGUUGACCACGAAGUCUCGGUAGAUCGUUUCGGUGGCAUAGUGGGAAAUAUUACUGCUUGUAACAACCUCUGGUUUAGUGAAGAAGAGUUGCCAGAAGUGGGAAAGGGUCACAAUCUGGCUUUGCACAUCUCGGUAAAUUGUAAAUCAGACAUGAUAUCAAAUGUGUUGGUGGAUACCGGUUCCUCUCUCAAUGUAAUGCCCAAGACAACUCUAGAUCAGUUGGGCUAUUGUGGGACCCCUUUGAGAAGAAGUACUUUCUUGGUCAAAGCUUUUGAUGGAUCUCGAAAGAAUGUGCUGGGAGAGAUAGACUUGCCGAUAACUAUUGGCCCUGAGAAUUUCUUGGUUACUUUCCAAGUGAUGGACAUUAAUGCAUCCUACAGUUGCCUGCUGGGGAGACCGUGGAUACACGAUGCAGGUGCGGUUACUUCCACCUUACAUCAGAAGUUGAAAUUUGUGAAGAAUGGAAAACUCGUUACAAUCCAUGGUGAAGAAGCAUACUUAGUCAGCCAGUUGUCUUCUUUUUCUUGUGUUGAAGCAGGGUCUGCUGAAGGGACUGCUUUCCAAGGUUUGACCAUUGAAGGUGCAGAGCCUAAGGAAGCUGGGGCUGCUAUGGCUUCAUUGAAAGAUGCUCAGAGAGCCAUCCAAGAAGGUCAGACUGCCGGCUGGGGCAAGGUGAUACAGCUCUGUGAGAACAAGCGUAAAGAAGGUCUCGGGUUCUCCCCGUCAUCAAGGGUUUCCUCGGGAGUUUUCCACAGUGCAGGGUUUGUUAAUGUUAUCUUUGAAGAAGCCACUGGAUCUGGUCUCAGGCCUGUAUUUGUUACACCAGGAGGCAUUGCGACAGAUUGGGAUGCCAUUGACAUUCCUUCAAUCAUGCAUGUUUCUGAGUAAUGUGUCUUGUUGCUUUAGUGCUUUGUUUUCAAAAUAACAAUCCUCUCGCUCUGCCCAAAGCGAGAGUGAUAUUUUCUGUAAGGGCAUGUUUGUUUCGGCAUUGCCGUUGACUAAUAAAAUUUUGUCGUUUCUUCCACGACUACUUUUUUUUUAAGUGCUUUUUCCCUUGGAAACAAUGGUAAUGCCAGAAAAAACCAAAACGUCUGUAUUUUCUUAUUAAUUUCAAAAAUCUGCAUGAAAAAAAAAACUCUUUCUAAAAUCAUCCAAUCAUUAUAUGCAGGUUGAACCAUAAUAAACCCGUUGAACACAGUAAUCCUACGGUUCCUCCAAGUUUUGAUUUCCCUGUGUAUGAAGCCGAAGAUGAGGAAGGUGAUGACAUACCGUAUGAGAUCACUCGGUUACUUGAGCAAGAAAAGAAAGCCAUUCAGUCUCACCAAGAAGAGAUUGAGCUUAUCAACAUAGGUACCGAGGAAAACAAGCGAGAAAUCAAGAUUGGUGCUACUCUAGGGGAAGGGGUUAAACAGAAGAUCAUCCAACUCCUCCGGGAAUAUCCGGAUAUUUUUGCAUGGUCCUAUGAAGAUAUGCCAGGUCUAGACCCUAUGAUCGUGGAGCAUCGGAUCCCUACCAAGCCUGAAUGUCCUCCCGUCAGGCAGAAAUUGAGAAGGACUCAUCCUGACAUGGCCCUCAAGAUCAAGAAUGAAGUUCAAAAGCAGAUUGAUGCGGGUUUCCUCUUGACAGUUGAGUAUCCCGAAUGGGUUGCCAAUAUUGUGCCUGUGCCAAAGAAGGAUGGUAAAGUCCGGAUGUGUGUUGACUUCAGGGACCUGAACAAAGCCAGUCCGAAAGACAACUUCCCAUUACCUCAUAUUGACGUGCUUGUUGAUAAUACUGCUCAAUCUAAGGUGUUCUCCUUCAUGGACGGUUUUUCCGGUUAUAAUCAAAUCAAAAUGUCUCCUGAAGAUAGAGAAAAGACAUCUUUUAUCACUCCAUGGGGUACCUUCUGUUACAAAGUGAUGCCGUUCGGCCUAAUCAAUGCUGGUGCUACCUACCAAAGGGGAAUGACCACUCUGUUUCAUGACAUGAUUCACAAAGAAGUUGAGGUAUAUGUGGAUGACAUGAUUGUGAAGUCAGCAGAUGAGGAGCAGCAUGUUGAAUAUUUAACAAAGAUGUUUGAAAGGUUGAGAAAAUACAAGCUGCGUUUGAAUCCCAACAAAUGUACAUUCGGUGUCAGGUCCGGAAAGUUAUUAGGCUUCAUUGUCAGCCAAAAGGGCAUUGAAGUCGAUCCUGAUAAAGUCCGGGCCAUCCGAGAAAUGCCAGCUCCACAGACAGAGAAGCAAGUCAGAGGUUUCUUGGGACGUUUGAAUUACAUCUCCCGAUUCAUAUCUCAUAUGACUGCAACCUGCGGGCCGAUCUUCAAGCUACUUAGAAAGAACCAGCCUGUUGUAUGGAAUGAUGAAUGCCAAGAAGCUUUUGAUAGCAUCAAGAAUUACCUGCUGGAACCACCUAUCCUUGUCCCACCCGUGGAAGGAAGGCCUUUGAUUAUGUAUUUGGCGGUAUUUGAUGAAUCCAUGGGAUGCGUGCUUGGUCAACAAGAUGAAACUGGAAAGAAAGAGCAUGCUAUCUACUAUCUAAGCAAGAAGUUCACCGAUUGUGAAACUCGGUAUACAAUGCUUGAGAAGACUUGUUGUGCUUUGGCCUGGGCCGCUAAACGCCUGCGUCAUUAUUUGGUGAAUCAUACAACUUGGUUGAUAUCCAGAAUGGAUCCGAUCAAGUAUAUCUUUGAGAAAGCUGCCGUUACUGGAAAGAUUGCACGCUGGCAGAUGCUUUUGUCUGAAUAUGAUAUUGUGUUCAAAACUCAAAAGGCAAUCAAAGGUAGCAUUCUUGCCGAUCAUCUUGCUUACCAACCUCUUGACGAUUACCAACCAAUUGAAUUCGACUUCCCUGAUGAAGAGAUCAUGUAUUUGAAAUCCAAAGACUGCGAAGAACCGUUGAUUAAUGAAGGUCCAGAUCCCAAUAGCAAGUGGGGUUUAGUCUUUGAUGGUGCUGUCAAUGCUUAUGGUAAGGGAAUUGGGGCAGUCAUUGUAUCCCCACAGGGGCAUCACAUUCCUUUUACCGCCAGAAUCUUGUUCGAAUGUACCAACAAUAUGGCUGAGUAUGAAGCAUGUAUCUUUGGGAUCGAGGAAGCAAUUGACAUGAGAAUCAAACACCUCGACAUCUAUGGAGAUUCUGCGCUCGUCAUCAAUCAGAUAAAGGGUGAAUGGGAGACCCACCAUGCUAAUUUGAUUCCUUAUCGUGAUUAUGCGAGACGUCUUCUGACAUAUUUUACAAAGGUUGAGCUGCACCAUAUUCCUCGUGAUGAGAACCAAAUGGCUGAUGCUCUUGCUACUCUAUCUUCCAUGUUUCGAGUGAACCAUUGGAAUGAUGUGCCAAUAAUUAAAGUACAACGCCUUGAAAGACCUUCGCAUGUGUUUGCUAUUGGGGAUGUGAUCGAUCAGGCGGGUGAAAAUGUGGUUGACUAUAGACCCUGGUACUAUGACAUCAAACAGUUCUUCCUGAGCCGUGAGUAUCCGCCGGGUGCUUACAAACAAGACAAGAAGACCUUGAGAAGAUUGGCCAGUAGAUUCCUGUUAGAUGGAGAUAUUCUGUACAAGAGGAACUAUGACAUGGUAUUGUUAAGAUGUGUUGAUGAACAUGAGGCGGAGCAGUUAAUGCAUGAUGUACAUGACGGUACCUUCGGGACCCAUGCUACAGGGCAUACUAUGUCAAGAAAGUUGCUACGGGCAGGUUACUACUGGAUGACUAUGGAGCAUGAUUGCUACCAGUACGCCAGAAAAUGUCACAAAUGUCAAAUCUAUGCUGAUAAGAUUCAUGUGCCUCCGCACGCCCUCAAUGUUAUGUCAUCCCCAUGGCCGUUCUCAAUGUGGGGCAUCGACAUGAUUGGAAGAAUCGAACCGAAGGCUUCAAAUGGUCAUCGUUUCAUCUUAGUGGCAAUUGACUACUUCACCAAGUGGGUUGAAGCAGCAUCUUAUACCAAUGUGACCAAGCAAGUGGUAGCUAAGUUCAUCAAGAACAAUAUCAUCUGUCGAUAUGGUGUUCCCAGCAAGAUUAUUACCGACAAUGGUACCAACCUGAACAACAAUGUGGUGCAAGCUCUUUGUGAAGAAUUCAAAAUUGAGCAUCAUAACUCUUCUCCCUAUAGACCUCAGAUGAAUGGUGCAGUUGAGGCCGCCAACAAGAAUAUCAAGAGAAUUGUCCAGAAGAUGGUAACCACUUACAAGGACUGGCAUGAGAUGUUACCCUAUGCUCUGCAUGGCUACCGUACUACCGUGCGCAGUUCAACCGGGGCAACUCCUUUCUCUCUUGUAUAUGGUAUGGAAGCAGUUCUUCCUUUGGAAGUGGAGAUCCCGUCUCUCCGUGUGAUCAUGGAAGCAAAGUUAUCCGAGGCUGAAUGGUGCCAAAGCCGGUAUGAUCAGUUGAAUUUGAUUGAGGAAAAACGUAUGGAUGCCAUGGCUCGUGGACAGUCAUAUCAAGCAAGAAUGAAGACUGCCUUUGACAAGAAAGUCCAUCCUCGAGAAUUCAAGGUAGGGGAACUUGUAUUGAAAAGGAGGAUAAGCCAGCAACCCGACCCAAGGGGCAAGUGGACGCCUAACUAUGAAGGUCCUUAUGUUGUCAAGAAGGCCUUCUCCGGUGGUGCUUUAAUCCUUACACACAUGGAUGGUGUAGAACUUCCAAAUCCAGUGAAUGCCGAUAUAGUCAAGAAAUACUUUGCCUAGAAAUAUGAAAAGAACAGCGUGGUAGGUCGAAAACCCGAAAGGGCGGCCUAGGCAAAAAUGCGCUUCCCGGUGGAUCGAAAACCCGAAAGGGCGGUCCAGGCAAAAAUAAGGGACAAAAAAAUAUAUAUGAAAAGCUCGCUGAGAUUGUACGCAACUCAGGCAAGAAUGAGCGUCUCGAUGAAUCGAAAACCCGGAAGGGCGGUUCAUGCAAAAAUGAGAUUGAAACAAAAGGCAAGUAACUAUAUCUGGCCAACCACCGUCCCCCUUGGGACAUCUGCAGCUGUUAAUGACCAUCUUCAUCAAAAGCUCCUAUGCUUGCGAAUUCAAAGUUUCUAGGAGAUGUCAUGAUUACUGUGUUCAAUGUACCACCAACCAAUAAAAUUACCAUUUUCCAAGCUUUGUAAAUCCGCGGAGUCAUGCCUUUGGCUGACCACCACUCUUAUACAUCAAUUUGAGCCUUUGCUUUUGUUUGAAAACUCUAUUUUCUUCUACUUUCAAAGCUAUAUACAAAACAUUUUCUUUCUAUUUUGAUAAUGAUAAUGCUUGAAACAAACAUUUUUGAAAAUUGAAAACUUUUUGUCUAUUUUUGAAAAGCAAACCUGAGCAACAGGGCACAUUCAAAUGAAACAUGCAUGAGCGAGAGUAUGUUGAUGUCUAUUUCAAUAUAUGUUACAAGCAGGUUCUCCUCCAGGAUAGACUGUGGUCAAUGGCAAGAAUGAAAAAACAGAAUGAAAAUGCAUGAAAAUGAAUGAGCUCGCUAAGUUGAAAACCCGAAAGGGCGACUUAGGCAAAAAUGAGCACCCCGCUGGAUUGACAACCUGAAAAGGCAGUUCAGGCAAAAAUGGGGCAAUAAAAAUUUAUCUCCCCGGUUGAUCGAAAACCCGAAAGGGCGAUCCAGGCAAAAAUGGGAUGCAAAAAAUGAAAAUGAGAAUAUAACAUGCAAAAAGCAUUGACCACAGAUGCAAUGUCUACAACAUACCCAGCACUGAAAUGCCCAGCACAACGGCGUUUUCCCCAGUAAAGUCUUCCAAGAUUCUAUCUCCAGCAAGUUGCACAGCUACCUGCCCUCAGCCAUGGUUCCGAUACGUCUCCCAACGACGUCAUCUUCAAAGAGGAUUUCCAAGAAUGUGUAAUAUAGCACGAGCCACUACGUGCCCAAUAUUCUGAUAUCUUGUCUUCCCCGUGAAGUCGUGCCUACAAAAUGCCAACAGUCAUGCAUUACAAGCAUUCAUACAUGCAUAAUCAUGCAUAUUACGUGCCCAUGCAUUUAAUGAAUCUGUUAUAUCAUCCAUGCAUAUUGCAUUUCCAAUGUCAACAUCAGUCUCAAUUCGAUACUCAUGUCAGGUUCUCUGUCAAAACCUUGUGAGCCAAUAUUAUCGGUCAAUUUCUACCUUUCAAUUCAAAUCGACGUCAAGUCAAUCUCAAUCUAUAUUUUGUCAACAAACCAAUCCCCUGUGAAUAUGUUUCUGUUCGGUCAAGUGGCUAGUUCAAGUCCAAGAACAGCUUGUACCUAUCAAUUUGCUUAUGUUAUCGAUCAAGUGCCCAGCUCAAUCCAAGAGCAGCUUGUACCUGUCAAUAUGUUUCCGUUUGGUCGAGUGCCCAGCUCAAUCCAAGAGCAGCUUGUACCUGUCUAUCUGUUUCUGUCCGGUGGAGUAACCAGUUCGCAUCCAAGAACAAGCUCACACCUGUUUAUUUGCCUUUGUCUCCGGUGGAGUAACCAGUUCGCAGCCAAGAACAAGCUCACACCUGUCUAUUUGCCUUGCUUUCAGUCGAGUAACCAGUUCGAAUCCUUAAGAACAACUCGUACCUGCCAAUUUUACAUGUUUUCCAGUCGAGUCACCAGUUCGAAUCCGUAAGAACAACUCGUACUUGCCAAUUUUCUCUUUUUCCCAGUCGGGUCACCAGUUCGAAUCCAUAAGAACAACUCGCACUUUCCAAUAUCCCCAAGUGAGUUACCAGUUCGAAUCCAUAAGAACAACUCAUGUUUGUCCAGUAACCUCUAUCCCCUGUGAAGUGACCAGUUCGAAUCCAUAAGAACAACUCGCAGUUGUCUGUUUGUUUCAUUCCCGGUCAAGUGGCUAGUUUGAAUCCAAAAACAGCUUGUACCUGUCCAACUUGUUUCUAGUUUCCCGUUACUCUGCUAUUCACUAUCUUUGUCAAUGUCUACCAAUCCCGCAAUGGAUACGACAUAUUUUGUUAAUUCCAAUCCCCGUGAGGUCUUGCAUUCAUAAUCCAAAUGAUGCAUGGCAUGCAUAUUAUUUGAAAAUGGGUAGGCGUAUUUUUACGUCCAAACACAGUGCAAAUGCUAAUAUUUAAGUAUCUUCGUCCUGUCAAGCCAAAGACUCCGUCUCUUGACUCUCCAGACGAAGAAACUUAAAUAGGGGCAGCUGUUAUACCCUGUUUUUGGACCUAAAAAUACUGGGCCCAAUUUCGUUUCAAACUUUGUUAAUUAUCAAAUUUCAACUGCACAGUUCAAAUUGUCUCUGCCUCGCAGUAUUUUCAAUCACGAUUGUACCUAUGUUUUUCUUGCAUAAAACCUUUCAAAACGUCUUUACUUGUCUUGUAAGUCAUUCAAAAGUGUCUCUGAAUCAUUACGUUGCUUUUUCUGCAGUUUAUUUCAAAAUUUGCAAAAAGUCAUACAGAAGGGUAUUUUGGUCAUUUCCUGCAGUGGGACCCAUUUUCAUCCUUGUGACUGUCUCUGAGUCUUUUUAAAUUCAUUUUUAACUUUCCAUCAGUAAACCUUGUUAAGUUCAUUUUAAAUUUGCGUCUGAGUCAGUGUCAGAUCAAUUUGAUUCUGUUUAGGUCAUUUUUAGCCCUAGGGGCAUUUUGGUCAUUUCACACGAAAUUUUGGCAUGGGGAGGUUACUUUGAAGUACCUCAUUUAAGCCAUUGGUUCGUUUUAGUCCGUUUUGUCAAUUUUAUUUUAGUUUCACUUUACGUUUUGUCAGGUUGCCAAUUUUAUUCCAAUUUUAUUUUUUAUUUUACAUUUUGGUCCCCAAAGAGGUCCAAAAUUGCGUGUCAGUCCAGAAUUUGUUUUUUUUUACAUUUCAGUCCUUUUUGGGUUAUUUGCAGUUCAGUCCUUAAAGUUUUUGUUUUUGCAGAAAAGUCCAAAGUUAAUUCUAAGUCCAAGGCCGUGCCAUUUCCAUACAAAUCCAGGUGUCACAUUUUCAUUGGCUCAAGUGUACACAUGUCAACUAUAUAAACAGUGAGUCAGGAUCAGAAGGAAUGAUCACACGCCAACUCAUAAACACAAAUACAAUUUUCUUUUUCUCAGCAACUGAAUCAAAACAGAAAAAUUUCUCAGAUUCAUCAAGAACACCAAGAACAAAAAACCCUAACCGUUUUUUCCAGAAUCACUGAAUCAUCAACAAGUUCAUCAAAUUCUCUGCAAUUCUCAGAGAUUCAAUACUGAAUCUUCAUCAUUGAAUCACCUCCUUCACAAUACGAGUGCGAGUCCAUUACAGUUAGCAACGGACUCAAGCACGAUCACGAAGAAGACAGUGAGAAGAAGAGGGAAAGAAAACGAAGAAUCUGGACCGGUGAAGAAAGGGAGGAAUCACUGAUUUAUUUUCAGUCUCAAAGUCAGAAAUCAACACAGAAAGCACAGAAUCUCCAUCAAAAAUUUCAGGUAAAAACUCAGAACCUCUUUACAAAAUAAAAUCAUAGUUUAAACCUGCAAAAUCACGCAAGCAGCAAGCUUAACAAUUUUCCAGAAUCACAAAGAGAACCGUAACCGUAACCAUAACCAUACACGCGUGAAUCUCUUUUUUCUCUUUUCAAAAAGCAUCAACGCAAGCGAAUCGUUACAGAUCAAGAAGGAUAAAAGAGGAUUUGAUCCAAGAAAGUUUCAAAGAAAAAAAGAGUUUCAAAACCGUGACAUAAAACCUCAGAUCUACAACGAUUCAGACCUUGCAUGCAAAAUCUAACGCCAUAUUCUUGUUUAGAACGAAAAAGGAUGUCUUAAUCUGUAAAAUUUUUUGAAAACGGUGGAGUUUCUCGCCUCCGGUGCGGCGGCGCCGCCCUGUUGGGCCGGCAAGCCACCACACCGGAGCGGUGAAGCUCACCGGAGAAGACAACCGGAGGAGAGGAGAGAGGUGAGAGCUUCUCUCACUAGGUUUAGGGUUAGAGAGAGAGAGGAGAAGGAAAAAUGGACUGGACCGGUCCUGUAAUCCUUUUAUAAGCAGCUGAACCGGACCGGUCCAGCUCUGGUUCGUUCCCUUCAAUCUAGACCGUUGGAUCUAGGGUUCCAUCUCCUGGAUCAAUCCAACGGUCCCUGCGCUUUUCUGAGUUUUGGUGUUGGGCUUUGGGUUUGGGCUUAAUUUUCUGCACAUUUCUUGCUUUCUUCUUGCUGUUCACGCCCCUAUUUUUUUGCUACCUGCACCUAUGUCUUGAUUAAAAUUGUGAUAAAAUUCCUAGAAAAAUUCAUACAUGUUUCUUGAUAUUUUCUCAGUGUUUUUAUGACAUUUUUGCAUAUUAAGGAUCUAUGAAAUUUUGGUAUAAUUAAUUCAUAGCAUUUUAAUUCUCUUUGAAUUAUUUGUUAUGGAUUCUUCUUCACACAUUUGUCCUUGAUGUGAGAAUAUGUGAUAAAAGCUACUUGAUAUGUUAAUGUGAGAGGUUUGUGCCUAUAAUUUUGUGUUGAUUUGCUGUUUUGACUUGGUUCAUAAGUUCUUGGUUUUAUGAACAAUAUAUGCAUAUUUUGAAAGAUAUAAAAUGCCAAGUUUACUCUAGAAAAUGUGGCAUGAAACCAUGCUUGCAUGUUUCCAAUAAUUCCAUGCUAUAACUUGAGAUAAAGAAAACUCUUUCAAAAUUUGUUAAAGCAUGAGAAUUAGAGGCCAAGAAUGCUUUAGGCUUCAUACCUAAGUUUUUAGGGUUUAAUGUCAUUUUGUUAACUUUUUGUGCCAUCUUGCAUGCUUUUAUUUCUUAGUACUUGUUAUGUUUUUUUUUUCACUAACAAGUUCACUUUGGUACUUCAUACAUAUCAUUUAGCAUUCCAUUUCCAUUCUUUUACAUAGUUUAGUUUCUUUGCAUUCAUUUUUUUUUUUACUUUUAUUUGGAAUUGUAAUAUUUAGGUAGGUGUUAUCUUUUAUAUUUCAUGCAAAGACCAUAGAAUGUAUCUAGGACAAUGUAAAAAGGGACUAUGGACUCUAUUGAUGUACACCGACACGAGCACCGACACUCACACACGGUGUAUGACAUUCGUUUAGAUGUAUGAUUAGGGAACGCGAGUACUUAGAAAAUAUUUUUUCGUAAAGCAAACCAAGUUCCAUAAUUCUAGCUUUUUUUCUUUAAAAUAAACUUUGGAGUCAAAACUCCUUUGAUGUUUCCUUUUAUUUUCUUAAGAAAAUUCUAAAUGAACCUUAAGUGACUUAGACUAUUUUAUUAAGUAAAAUUGGACAAACUUCACAUUUUUUACUUCUCAAGCCUUUAAGGCCUCCUUUCUCUUCUUCAAAAAAAAUCAUUUUCAAACUUUAAAAAAUCAAAUAGCAAUACAUUAAAAUUUUCUUCAAAUCAACUAAAAGAUAAAAAGUCUUACAACUUCUCUCCCCAUUCUUAACUAAAUAAACCUCCCAUUUUCAAAAGUAAGUAAAAAUAAGCGUGAAUAUAGACUUAGGAAAACGGCUCCUAUAGAGGACUAUAGUUACUCCGGGUGCCUAACACCUUCCCGUAGUAAAACCGACCCCCGAACUUAGAAUCUAAAGGGUUUUUUCUCAAUUUUUCCCUUCCCAAGAAAAAAGAGAGAUAUCAACGGUCAAAAGGUUCAAGUCCAAUUAAUGGCUUGACACCCAAAAACCAUGAUAACAGUAUGCCCUGUAGCAUGGGUCCCGAAGGUACCGUCAUGUACAUCAUGCAUUAACUGCUCCGCCUCAUGUUCAUCAACACAUCUUAACAAUACCAUGUCAUAGUUCCUCUUGUACAGAAUAUUUCCAUCUAACAGGAAUCUACUGGCCAAUCUUCUCAAGGUCUUCUUGUCUUGUUUGGAAGCAUCCGGCGGAUACUCACGGCUCAGCAAGAACUGUUUGAUGUCGUAGUACCAGGGUCUAUAGUCAACCACAUUUUCACCAGCCUGAUCGAUCACAUCCCCAAUAGCAAACACAUGGGAAGGUCUUUCAAGGCGUUGCACUUUGAUUAUUGGCACAUCAUUCCAAUGGUUUACUCGAAACAUGGAGGAUAGAGUAGCAAGAGCAUCAGCCAUUUGGUUCUCAUCACGAGGAAUAUGGUGCAGCUCAACCUUUGUAAAAUAUGUCAGAAGACGUCUCGCAUAAUCACGAUAAGGAAUCAACUUAGCAUGGUGCGUCUCCCAUUCACCCUUUAUCUGAUUGAUGACGAGCGCAGAAUCUCCAUAGAUGUCGAGGUGUUUGAUUCUCAUGUCAAUUGCUUCCUCGAUCCCAAAGAUACAUGCUUCAUACUCAGCCAUAUUGUUGGUACAUUCGAACAAAAUUCGGGCGGUAAAAGGAAUGUGAUGCCCUUGCGGGGAUACAAUGACUGCCCCAAUUCCUUUGCCAUAAGCAUUGACAGCACCAUCAAAGACUAAACCCCACUUGCUAUUGGGAUCUGGACCUUCAUUAAUCAACGGUUCUUCGCAGUCUUUGGAUUUUAAAUACAUGAUCUCUUCAUCCGGGAAAUCAAAUUCAAUUGGUUGGUAAUCAUCAAGAGGUUGAUAAGCAAGGUGAUCGGCAAGAAUGCUGCCUUUGAUUGCCUUUUGAGUUUUGAACACAAUAUCAUAUUCAGACAAAAGCAUCUGCCAGCGUGCAAUCUUCCCAGUAACAACAGCUUUCUCAAAGAUAUACUUUAUCGGAUCCAUUCUGGAUAUCAACCAAGUUGUAUGAUUCACCAAAUAAUGACGCAGGCGUUUGGCAGCCCAAGCUAGAGCACAACAAGUCUUUUCAAGCAUUGUAUACCGAGUUUCACAAUCGGUGAACUUCUUGCUUAGAUAGUAGAUAGCAUGCUCUUUCUUUCCGGUUUCAUCUUGUUGACCAAGUACACAUCCCAUGGAUUCAUCAAAUACUGCCAGAUACAUAAUCAAAGGCCUUCCUUCCACGGGUGGGACAAGGAUAGGUGGUUCCAGCAGGUAAUUCUUGAUGCUAUCAAAAGCUUCUUGGCAUUCAUCAUUCCAUACAACAGGCUGGUUCUUUCUAAGUAGUUUGAAGAUCGGCCCGCAGGUUGCAGUCAUAUGAGAUAUGAAUCGGGAGAUGUAAUUCAAACGUCCCAAGAAACCUCUGACUUGCUUCUCUGUCUGUGGAGCUGGCAUUUCUCGGAUGGCCCGGACUUUAUCAGGAUCGACUUCAAUGCCCUUUUGGCUGACAAUGAAGCCUAAUAACUUUCCGGACCUGACACCGAAUGUACAUUUGUUGGGAUUCAAUCGCAGCUUGUAUCUUCUCAACCUUUCAAACAUCUUUGUUAAAUAUUCAACAUGCUGCUCCUCAUCUGCUGACUUCACAAUCAUGUCAUCCACAUAUACCUCAACUUCUUUGUGAAUCAUGUCAUGAAACAGAGUGGUCAUUCCCCUUUGGUAGGUAGCACCAGCAUUGAUUAGACCGAACGGCAUCACCUUGUAGCAGAAAGUACCCCAUGGAGUGAUAAAAGAUGUCUUUUCUCUAUCUUCAGGAGACAUUUUGAUUUGAUUAUAACCGGAAAAACCGUCCAUGAAGGAGAACACCUUAGAUUGAGCAGUAUUAUCAACAAGCACGUCAAUAUGAGGUAAUGGAAAGUUGUCUUUUGGACUGGCCUUGUUCAGGUCUCUGAAGUCAACACACAUCCGGACUUUACCAUCCUUCUUUGGCACAGGCACAAUAUUGGCAACCCAUUCGGGAUACUCAACUGUCAUGAGGAAACCCGCAUCAAUUUGCUUUUGGACUUCAUUCUUGAUCUUGAGGGCCAUAUCAGGAUGAGUCCUUCUCAAUUUCUGCCUGACGGGAGGACAUUCAGGCUUGGUAGGGAUCCGAUGCUCCACGAUCAUAGGGUCUAGACCUGGCAUAUCUUCAUAGGACCAUGCAAAAAUAUCCGGAUACUCCCGGAGGAGUUGGAUGAUCUUCUGUUUAACCCCUUCCCCUAGAGUAGCACCAAUCUUGAUUUCUUGCUUGUUUUCCUCGGUACCUAUGUUGAUAAGCUCAAUCUCUUCUUGGUGAGGCUGAAUGGCUUUCUUUUCUUGCUCAAGUAACCGAGUGAUCUCAUACGGUAUGUCAUCACCUUCCUCAUCUUCGGCUUCAUACACAGGGAAAUCAAAACUUGGAGGAACCGUAGGAUUACUGUGUUCAACGGGUUUAUUAUGGUUCAACCUGCAUAUAAUGAUUGGAUGAUUUUAGAAAGAGUUUUUUUCAUGCAGAUUUUUGAAAUUAAUAAGAAAAUACAGACGUUUUGGUUUUUUCUGGCAUUACCAUUGUUUCCAAGGGAAAAAGCACUUAAAAAAAGUAGUCGUGGAAGAAACGACAAAAUUUUAUUAAUCAACGGCAAUGCCGAAACAAACAUGCCCUUACAGAAAAUAUCACUCUCGCUUUGGGCAGAGCGAGAGGAUUGUUAUUUUGAAAACAAAGCAUUAAAGCAACAAGACACAUUACUCAGAAACAUGCAUGAUUGAAGGAAUGUCAAUGGCAUCCCAAUCUGUCGCAAUGCCUCCUGGUGUAACAAAUACAGGCCUGAGACCAGAUCCAGUGGCUUCUUCAGAGAUAGCAUUAACAAACCCUGCACUGUGGAAGACUCCCGAGGAAACCCUUGAUGACGGGGAGAACCCGAGACCUUCCUUACGCUUGUUCUCACAGAGCUGUAUCACCUUGCCCCAGCCGGCAGUCUGACCUUCUUGGAUGGCUCUCCGAGCAUCUUUCAAUGAAGCCAUAGCAGCCCCAGCUUCCUUAGACUCUGCACCUUCAAUGGUCAAACCUUGGAAAGCAGUCCCUUCAGCAGACCCUGCUUCAACACAAGAAAAAGAAGACAACUGGCUGACUAAGUAUGCUUCUUCACCAUGGAUUGUAACGAGUUUUCCAUUCUUCACAAAUUUCAACUUCUGAUGUAAGGUGGAAGUAACCGCACCUGCAUCGUGUAUCCACGGUCUUCCCAGCAGGCAACUGUAGGAUGCAUUAAUAUCCAUUACUUGAAAGGUAACCAAGAAAUUCUCAGGGCCAAUGGUUAUCGGCAAGUCUAUCUCCCCCAGCACAUUCUUUCGAGAUCCGUCGAAAGCUUUGACCAAGAAAGUACUUCUUCUCAAAGGGGUCCCAUGGUAGCUCAACUGAUCUAGAGUUGUCUUGGGCAUUACAUUGAGAGAGGAACCGGUAUCCACCAACACAUUUGAUAUCAUGUCUGAUUUACAAUUCACUGAGAUGUGCAAAGCCAGAUUGUGACUCUUUCCCACUUCCGGCAAUUCUUCUUCACUGAACCAGAGGUUGUUACAAGCAGUAAUAUUUCCCACUAUGCCGCUGAAACGAUCUACCGUAACUUCGUGGUCAACAUAAGCCUGCUCCAGCACUUUCAACAAAGUAUUCCUGUGAGCCUCAGAGCUCAAGAGUAGCGACAAGACAGAUAUCUUGGAAGGAGUUUGCAGCAAUUGGUCAACGAUCUUGUAGUCGCUCCUCUUUAUUAUCCUCAGAAUCUCAUCUAAAUUUGAAUCCUCUAUAGAUUUGCCUGGCUGAUUCACAUCUGUAGCAAUGGGUGAAACAACGGUUGGAGUUGCUUCUUCAACUGGUGGAGUGAUUGGCGUAGCUACCUUCUUCUGAAAUAACGGCGGACGGACUUUCCCGCUUCUUAGCGCUGCAGAAGUCCCUUCGGCAAUAUUGCUUACUGUGGCAAAGGAGGCUAGAGGCACCUCUACUCCAUUUUCUAUCAUAGUAGCAUUGUAUAUGUAUGGCACUGCCUUGUCCGAAACAUAAGGAAUUGGUCCUGGCAACCUUAUCACCAAAGGCUCAGCAUUCUUCUUCAAAGGUACACUCUUGACAGGCGGAUCGUGAAAAACUGGCACAAUCACGCAAACAUCACUGACAGUCAGAAGAUUAGCAUUCAUCAAGUUUUGGAUGUCGUCUUGAACAGUAUAACAACCCAAAGGAUCACGGAGGCAUCCUAGACACUUGGCAUGAUCAUGGCUGAACAAAGAAGCUUUGCACAGCUUGAUAUGUAGAGGCACCAGAGGAGUAGCAACAUUGCGGACAUCAAGUCUAGAAGCUUCCUCACACACUUCGAUCAUAUUCACAGCGGCAUGAUUUGGUAGUGGAUUGUCAAGGACAUGUGGAACAUUGUUCUCAAAAGUCAGCUUUCCCUGAUCAAUGAGCUUCUUCAUGAUAUACUUCAAAGCAUAACACCCCUCGACAUCAUGACCUAAGGCACCUUGAUGAAAAUCACAUUUGAGAUCAGACCUGAACCUUGGAGGCAACGGAUCAGGUGGUGGCUUGCCCUGUCUAGUCGUACAAUGACCUCUCUGGAGUAAAGUUGGAAGCAACUCAGCAUACAACAUUGGUAUAGGAGGAAAAGUUGGUCUAGUAUACUGCUGCUGCUGUUGUUGUUGUUGUUGUUGUUGAACCGGCAACUGUUGUUUCAUCUGUUGGGCAAUUGCAUUGACGGGCACUUGAGGCUGGCCCGGCGGCAAAGGGUACUGAUGAUAAAACGGUGGGAAGAACGGAUGCUGAGAAUACGGCAUAUAUGGAUACGACGGAGGCAUUUGAGCUGCAUUGAUAGGUGCAACAGUAGCCAUUGAUUGACCGGCUCCAGCUGAUACCAUCCCCACUUCCGUUUCUUUCUUCUUGUGGUGUCCAUUACCAUACCUCUUCGAUGCACUCGUAGAAGAUUCAGCUUUCUCAAACACAAUGAUUCCAUCCCUGACUGCUUCCUCAAGACGGGUUCCCAUAGUGACCAUCUCCGAAAAGUUGUUCGGGGCGGCGAUGAUCAUCCUCUCAACAUAAUCUUUCCUCAAGGUCUUUAAGAAUGUCUGGGUCAUUUCUUCUUCAUCUAAAGCAGGAGUGAUACGGGCAGCUGCCCCUCUCCACCUUUGUGCAUAUUCACGGAAACUCUCCUCCUUUUUCUGAGAUAGGGACCUGAGGAACUCCCUAUUCGGCUUCAAACGAGUGUUAAACCCGUAGUGGCUCUUGAAAGCAGUGGCUAGCUCAUCAAAAGUAUGGACAUCAUCUUUGCUCAGACUAGUAUACCACUCUGCAGCAUCUUCCAUCAGACUGUCUUGGAAGUAAUGGAUCAUAAGGGAAUCAUUGUCCUUGUAGUUGCCCAUCUUCCGGACGUAUUUGACAAUAUGAUUUUGAGGACAAGUCAGCCCGUUAUAUUUGUCGAACUCCGGGAUUUUGAACUUUUUAGGAACAUCUACCUUCGAUACUAAGCAGAGAUCCUGGGUUUUAAUGGAGUCUCCAUUUCCCCUGUUGGCCUUAAUUUCCCGUCGGAGCUCUUUGGCAAGUUCUUCCAUUCUCUCUUCCAUAGUUCCGGUUGUGGCAAUACUCCCGUGGUGUGCGUUGGCAUGGACAAAUAGAGGCACCGCAUUCACAAUGGGCUCGGUAACAGUUGUUGCAGCUUGAGUCAAGGCGGUACUAAUAGGAGUUAAGUUUGCCCCUGGGAUUGGGCCAUUGUUGGUAGUACCAGAGGUCCCUGCCCCUGUAUUAGCAGUAUAGUACAGCGGAAGUCCGUAAGGAUACCCGGAUGGCAUGAUAGAGCGGGGAUCAGUUGUUACGGUAGGAGUCACAUUUGCAGCUGUAGAAACUACAGGAACUGGUUGUUCCUGAGCAGCCAACAGAGCAGUCAUAGCAUCAUGAGCUUUGGCCAAUUCCUCCCUUAGAGAUGCCAAUUCGGUACGAAGCUGUGUGUUCUCUUCUUCCAUAGCCCUUUUCUUUCUUCUGUAUUCUCUGGUUCGAUCGGUUCUAUCAGGUUCGUAAACUCUCUGAGCACGAGCCACUUUUCACACUGCGGCAGAGAAACCAGGAGCUAGUGAGCACUUGGAAGCCUUUGUGACCAAUGCAUGAUGCAUAUGAUGCAUGAUGUGCAAAUGCAAAUGCAAAAGACUUAUUUUUUUUUCAUCGAAGGAUUUUUAAACAAAUUAGAAAUCUUGCAAAUAAACAAAAUUACACAACAUUUUCAACAAGGUAAACAAAUGAAGCUCUCAAGCAUGGGAAGUAGUCGGAAGAUCAUCGGACUCGGAAUCUGAAUCACAGUAUCUAUCAAAGAAGUCUCGUCGUCCUCGAGCUCUCUUGGAGUCCCUCAUAAGCAGCUCAUCUUUCUCUUCCAAUUCCCUCCGGGCUUUAGCUAGCUCUUUCUUCAACAUUAGAUUCUCAUGAGUCUUCUGCUCAUCUCUACCAUCCAAAGUCAUGAUUAGAUUCUCGGCUUGAUUGUACCGAGCUUUCCACACUUGCUUCUCACGACUCUCCAUAGCUAGAUGCUCCUGAUACAUAUCCUGAGUCGCGGGGAGUAGAGGUAGAGGCAUAGAUGGAGUAGACGAAGACACGUAUCUCAUAGCUGGAUAAGGCAUACCAAUCUCCUCAGCUCGAUCUAUCACCCACUGAGUAUAGGCCUCAUGAGCAACACCGGAUCUCACACCUAGAUGCUUCACACUCUUUCUUCGAACCUUGGACCAAGCAUCCAUGAAAGCUUUCCUUUGUCCGGUAGGAGCAUUCGUGUAGAAGAAGAACUCUGGAGAUGUAGCAAGAUUGAUGGGCUUCGACUUCAUAGGGAAACCAAACUGCCUCAUAGCAAGCUCGGGAUUGUAGUUGAUUCCUCCACGGGUACCAAGAAGAGGUACAUUGAGAAAGUCUCCACAACCCAUAAUGAUUUCCUUCACUUGAGCGGUAGGAGUGAGCCAGACGACCUCAUUAGGAGUGAGGGCCAUAAUCCGCUGCGAGUAGGACCAGUUCUCCGAGUUAUCAUGGAAGGAACUCGGAAGGUGCGAAAUAAACCACCUAUACAAAAGAGAUAUGCAGCAAAGAAUAUACCCACGGCCCUUGAGAGUCCUGUCAUGAAUGGCGUGGUAGGUAUCCGCUAGCAAAGUAGGAACCGGGUUCUUGGAAUGGAAGAUCUCGAUAGCAUUCAUGUCCACGAAGUUGUCGAGGUUCGGAAAGAGAAUGAGCCCGUAGAUAAGCAAAGCAAGAAUAGCCUCGAGCGUAUCCUGACAAGUAGUACUGAGAUUAGCUUGAUCAAGAAGAUACUUUGAAGUGAACCCCCGGAUGUGAGACUUGGUAAUAAGAUGGUUGGAGACGUCGGAAGUCUUGAGGUAGAGAUCCUUAGCAAUAACCAGAGGAGUAAGAGAAGUCCCGGGACCGGUGAAAGGCGUCUUCUCGGCUAUAGGUAAACCCACUAGAUUGGAGUAAGCCUCGAGAGUAGGAACCAACUGGAAGUCCGGGAAAGUGAAGCAACGGAAGCUCGGAUCAUAAAAUUGCACCAGAGUGUGCACUAGCUUCUCGUCCACAUCGGUUCGGAGCAAAGUAAGCAAUCCCCCAUACCGGAGUCGGAACCCUGUUUGACUCUUGACCUUGAGUGCCAACUCUCUCAAACUAACCAAAUCCACUUCCUUGAACUUGUAGCACUUAGUCUUCUUCAUACCUGUGGUUAUUUACAAAAAUUUCCAUUUGUUUAAACCCUUCGAUGAAUGCAUGAAAAAUGUUUAUGCAUGAAUGCAUGUAUGCAUGAUUGUGUUGUUUUAGUUACAAUGUGGGUUGAGAUUCAAAGUGACAAGGCCACGGAUGGACACGGCGUCCGGUGAACUAAGGCUUUAGAUAAUAGUAACCACGGUUCUAACACAGUUCCCAAACUGCAACCUCUCUCACAUAUAUCAUGGUAGUACAGGACGACACCCGUUCCAUGUUUAUUUGUGAGAAGGUCUAGCUUGAGUGUAGUAUCGCGUGACGACUAAAGUUUGAGACAACACUCAAUUUAGCCACCGCACUACGUCCUAAAAAGGCUAGGAUGGGUUUGGUAACUACGGUUCAUAGCUUCGUCGAACAAUUGAAAGUGAAGUGCCUAAGCAUGACAACACACGCCGACAAUAUCACCUUCAAAAUGCCUCAGCUAUGUGAGAUUGAUCGCAUAAUCCAAUACACGAGGCAACCCCCGGAUCGAAUUGUCGAUUAUAUCUCUACCUAAACAUAAGUUCACUCAGCCCGGGUUAGGACUUUUGAUAUUCUCACCCCACACGUCAAAUGAAAGUAAACAAGUAUUCACAUAUGUAAGCAAUAAAACAAAGCGUAAAUAAACUAAGGAAAACUAGGCGCGACCCGCUAAAAAUAUUUCCCCAGUGAAGUCGCCAUUUCUGUUAUCAUGGUUUUUGGGUGCCAAGCCAUUAAUUGGACUUGAACCUUUUGACCGUUGAUAUCUCUCUUUUUUCUUGGGAAGGGAAAAAUUGAGAAAAAACCCUUAGAUUCUAAGUUCGGGGGUCGGUUUUACUACGGGAAGGUGUUAGGCACCCGGAGUAACUAUAGUACUCUAUAGGAGCCGUUUUCCUAAGUUUAAUUCUACGCUUUAUUUUUAUUGCUUAUUUUGUAAAAAGGAGGGUAUGAUUAGUGAAGAAUGGGGGUGAGAAGAAGUAGAAUUUGAUUUUAUUUCGUUGAUUUGAAGAAAAUUUUAAUGUGUUGCUAUUUGAUUUUUUAAAGUUUGAAAAUGAUUUUUUUGAAGAAGAGAAAGGAGGCCUUAAAGGCUUGAGAAGUAAAAAUGCGAAGUUUGUCCAAUUUUACUUAAUAAAAUAGUCUAAGUCACUUAAGGUUCAUUUAGAAUUUUCUUAAGAAAGUAAAAGGAAACAUCAAAGGAGUUUUGACUCCAAAGUUCAUUUUAAAGAAAAAAAAGCUAGAAUUAUGGAACUUGGUUUGCUUUACGAAAAAGUAUUUUCUAAGUACUCGCGUUCCCUAAUCAUACAUCUAAACGAAUGUCAUACACCGUGUGUGAGUGUCGGUGCUCGUGUCGGUGUACAUCAAUAGAGUCCAUAGUCCCUUUUACAUUGUCCUAGAUACAUUCUAUGGUCUUUGUGUGAAACAUAAAAGAUAAUACCUACCUAAAUAUUACAAUUCCAAACAAAAGUAAAAAAAAUGAAUGCAAAGAAACUAAACUAUGUAAAAGAAUGGAAAUGGAAUGCUAAAUGAUAUGUAUGAAGUACCAAAGUAAACUUGUUAGUGAGAAAAAAACAUAACAAGUACUAAGGAAUAAAAGCAUGCAAGAUGGCACAAAAAGUCAACAAAAUGCCAUUAAACCCUAAAAACUUAGGUAUGAAACCUAAAGCAUUCUUGGCCUCUAAUUCUCAUGCUUUAACAAAUUUUGAAAGAGUUUUCUUUAUCUCAAGUUAUAGCAUGGAAUUAUUGGAAACAUGCAAGCAUGGUUUCAUGCCAUAUUUUCUAGAAUAAACUUGGCAUUUUAUGUCUUUCAAAAUAUGCAUAUAUUGUUCAUAAAAUCAAGAACUUAUGAACCAAAUCAAAACAGCAAAUCAACAUGAAAUUAUAGGCACAAAUCUCUCAUAUUAACACAUCAAGUAGCUUUUAUCACAUAUUCUCACAUCAAGGACAAAUGUGUGAAGAUGAAUCCAUAACAAAUAAUUCAAAGAGAAUUAAAAUGCUAUGAAUUAAUUAUACAAAAAUUUCAUAGAUCCUUAAUGUUCAAAAAUGUCAUAAAAACACUAAGAAAAUAUCAGGAAAUAUGUGAUAAUUUUUGGAGGUUUUUUAGGGAAAAUUUUAAGCAUGCAGGGGUUCAAACAGCAAAGAAAUAUGGUGCAAACAGCAGGAAAACAAACAAAAACGUAAAAGAACAAAGCCCAAACCAAAGGCCCAAAAACCAAGAGAUCCGGAUGCACAGGGAGCGUUGGAUUGAACCAGGGAAGGAAACCCUAGAUCCAACGCUCAGGAUUGAAGGGAUUGGACCGGUCUUGAACCGGUCCGGUUCAGUUGUCUAUAAAAGGGAACUAGCACCGGUUUAAUUCAUUUUCAUUCUCCUUUCUCUCUCUACACUCAGAGCCUCUCUCUCAUCUCUCACCUCUCAUCAGACUUCCUCACCGGAGUUGAUGAAGCCACGGCGGAAACCUAGGUGGUUCGCCGGAAGCUUCAUCUUCUCCGGUGAACCAGCGCCCAGAAAUCAACCAAACUUGCACCAAAUCCUUCGCCUCCUUCUUCUAAACACGAAUCCGUAAUCUGUUUUCAUACUUGAAACGUGAAUCAACGCAGAUCUGAUAUUUUCUUUUACGGUUUCAGAAAGUUGAGUUUUCGUUUUUUUUUGAUAAGAUUCUAUGGAUUUGGCACAGAUCUUCGUUGAUUCACUUGGAUUGAUGUUUUUCGAAAGAGAUGAAGUGAACAAAGACUUUAAGCGAUGUGGAUCUAGAACUUUGACGCGACGUGAAACUGUUUUGAGGUUUUUUUAUCUUUUUUGAAUUGAAACAUUUUGAUUCGUACAGAUCCACAUCACGUUGGUCUCGCCACUGUUCUUGAUGAAGAAAAACUGAGAGGAAACGUUUUUUGUUUACGAUGUAGAUCUUAUUGAUUUCAGUUUCGGUUUCAAAGGUGUUUUUUGGUUUUCGAAUUUUCUUAAACCAAAACGUUUUUUAUCACUAAGUUCUACAUCGUUUUCCAGUGAUUGAACUUCUUUAUGAGAAAAACGAGGUGUUUGAAGUUAUACCUGAGGUUUUAAUGGAGAUUCUGGUUGAUUUUCUUCAGAAAAACCGUGAUCUGCUUGCUGCGUUUUUGAUGAUUUUGUUAUUGAGCUACUGAAAAUAAAUCAGUAUUUGUGUACGUGAAUCUUCAUCUUCAUCACCGGUUUAAACCUAGCUUCUUCCCUCUUCUUUCUCUUCACUGUUUCCUCGUGAUCAGUGCUUGAGUUCGUCGCGUUUCAGUGAUGAACUCGCACUUCGAAUUGCGAGGAAAUUGAUUCUGUGAUGAUGAUUCCGUGUUGAAUCUCUGAGAACCAACGAGUAAUCCAAGAAACUUUGUUGAAUUCUGUUGAAUUUGGUGUUUUUGUGUUGAUUUGGUGGAAAUCAAUGGUGGAUUGAGGUGGUUAGGGUUUCUGCCAUUGAUGAAUCUUUGAAGCUUUUUUGUUGAUUCUGUUUUGAUCUAACAGAAAAGAGAGAGAAAGUUGAAUUCUGUUUUGGUGAGUUGGCGUGUGAUCAUUCCUUCUGAUUCUGACUUGUACAGUAAAUGCGCCUUUUAUAGGCUGCCAUGUGUGCAUUGGGACCAAUGGAAUAGUGACAUCUGGACCUGUAUGGAAGAGGCACGGCUUUGGACUUAAAAUGGACUUUGGACUUUUCUGCAAAAACAAAAACUUUAAGGACUGAACUGCAAAUAACCCAAAAAGGACUGAAAUGUAAAAAAAAACAAAUUCUGGACUGACACGCAAUUUUGGACCUCUUUGGGGACCAAAAUGUAAAAUAAAAAAUAAAAUUGGAAUAAAAUUGGCAACCUGACAAAACGUAAAGUGAAACUAAAAUAAAAUUGACAAAACGGACUAAAACGAACCAAUGGCUUAAAUGAGGUACUUCAAAGUAACCUCCCCAUGCCAAAAUUUCGUGUGAAAUGACCAAAAUGCCCCUAGGGCUAAAAAUGACCUAAACAGAAUCAAAUUGAUCUGACACUGACUCAGACGCAAAUUUAAAAUGAACUUAACAAGGUUUACUGAUGGAAAGUUAAAAAUGAAUUUAAAAAGACUCAGAGACAGUCACAAGGAUGAAAAUGGGUCCCACUGCAGGAAAUGACCAAAAUACCCUUCUGUAUGACUUUUUGCAAAUUUUGAAAUAAACUGCAGAAAAAGCAACGUAAUGAUUCAGAGACACUUUUGAAUGACUUACAAGACAAGUAAAGACGUUUUGAAAGGUUUUAUGCAAGAAAAACAUAGGUACAAUUGUGAUUGAAAAUACUGCGAGGCAGAGACAAUUUGAACUGUGCAGUUGAAAUUUGAUAAUUGACAAAGUUUGAAAUGAAAUUGGGCCCAGUAUUUUUAGGUCCAAAAACAGGGUAUAACAAGACUGAAUUGAGAAUCAGCAACUUUGAAUCUUCAGUUUGAUUAAAGGAUCAAAUUUAGCUUCUGGUGAAAAUAUUGCUUCUGAUGAAAAUAUUGCUUCUGAUGAAAAUAUUGCUUCUGAUGACUUUCUGCUUCUGAUGACGUCAUCUCUUCAGGAGCAGUUUAGCUUCAGGAGCAGUUGAGCUUCAGGAGCAGUUUUCUUCAGAUGCUCAGAAUUUCUUUUUCUUUCCAUUGUUCUUCCAAGACUUAUCAAAAUAACUUGAGUAGCCUUUGGUCCUGUACACUUGAACAAUUAUUAGUAAUAACCAAUUGACAAUUUUUAAUACCUUGUUAUCAUCAAAACUUAAUAAGGUUCAUUGUGAAACACAUUUUGUUCCAACAACCUCAAUCAUAAAAAUCGCAUAAAUCACAUAUAUUAUAUAAAUAUAAUAUAAACCCAUCUAAAAUAACUCUAGACUCAAUUAAAUAAUUAAUUAAUUCGAAACGGGCGUUACACUAAGUCACACUAUAACCAGCCCACAAAGGACUAUAAAUACCACUAUUGAGAUCAUUCUCAAGGCAUCACAUAAACAGGAAGGGAGAUGAGAGUUUACUUUUCGUUUUUAAAUUAAGGACUAUUAAAUGUUUUUUUAAAAUAAAUUAUAUGUGAUUGAAGUAUUAUAUGAUCGUUUAUCAUGUUAAUAUGUUAACUUUUUAUAAAACAUUUCAUAGUAUCUGUAGUUUAAAAAUGAAAAGUAAACCAUCAUCUCCCUUUCCCUCGUAAACCCUCCAUCCAAACACACCCUAAGGAAACAACUACCCACGAAGGUAUUACCUGGGAACCAAAAUCCUUAGCAAAAUCCGUAGGAGACCCUUUUCUUGCAGAAUUUGUACCAAAAUUCGUAGAAAAAUCGAGAAUUUAUAGUAGUAUAAGUAUAUGUACAUGGAGUACAAUUUUAGACAUCCGCAACAUACUUUACACAUAAAUAUACACAUAAGUUCAUUGUCAAAGGUCACAGUAAAUAACAAGUUUCAUGUUGACAAAGGGACACCCAGGGGCGGAGCCACCCCCAGCUAGCCUGGGCACUAGUCCAGGCUCAACUCCAAUUUUCUUUGUAGCAAGUUCAGCCAUUACUAGAACUUUUAGUUUUUUCUGCGGAUUUACCUGCGAAUAUUUAUGUAAAUUCCGUAUGAAACACAUUUCCUGCAGAUUUUGUCUAGGAUUUCCUGCAGAUUCCGCAGGAAAUGUGAAAUUAUUCGCUGGAAGGAAGUAACAUUUUACGAUAAUUUUUUUGCACAAGCUCUAUAAAAUUUAUGUUUCCGCCACUGGGGACACCAAUAUAUCUAAUUGUUACGGUUAACGUUAAAAAAUGGGUUCUUUUUCAAAAAACAUUAAAAAAAUGGGUUAAAUAACGUUUUACUCCCGAUAUUUGAGUGAGUUUUGAAAAAAUCCUUGUAAAAUAAUUUUUUAUAGAUCCCCUUUGUAAUUUAAAAAUUCCAUCUAAAACAACUUUGAUCUCAUCUGAGUAGGCAACUAAACUAAUGUGGCACGCUGAUUGGACAAAUUAGUUUAUUUUUCAAUAUUUUAAAAUCCAUCUCACAUUUUUGAAAAAAAAAUAAAAUGAAAAUUAGAUUAUAAAACAAAAGGAAGAAUCGCAAAACCUAAUGUGCUUUUUCAUAAACUAAGUCAAAACCUAAAGUACUUCUUCAGAAUAGCAAAACAUUUUUUUUUAUCCCCUUCUAAAACCUAAAUAAAUAACUAGAAGAAAAAAAAUAAAGGCUUAAUUGCACUUUUCCCCCUAUAGUUUGCCAAUUGUGUGAUUUUGCACCCCAUAGUUUUAAACGAGCGAUUUUGCCCCCUAUAGUUUUCCCUUUAUGGUCCCCAUAACAUUUAGUGUUGAUAUGUCUGUUUUUUUAUCAAUUAAUGUGUGUCACGUGUGUAAUUCCAUUUUUUAAAAAAUAAAAAAAAUGAUAUUUUUCUAAUUUUGAGAGAAGAAGACACGUGAUAUUUCUUCUUAAAAUCUGAAAAAUCACGUGCUCCUUCUUUCAAAAUCUGAAAAAUACUAUUUUUUUAUUUUUUUAAAAAUGGAAUUACACACGUGGCACACAUUAAUUGAUAAAAAUCAGCACUAAAUGUCAUGGGGACCAUAAAAUCAGAAAGGGGGAAACUAUAGGGGCAAAAUCGCUCGUUUAAAACAAUGAGGUGCAAAAUCGCACAAUUAGCAAACUAUAGGGGGGAAAAGUACAAUUAAGCCAAAAAUAAAAAAGAAUAGGAAAAUAGAAGAAGAACUGACGGAAGAAAAAGAAAGAUGCAAGAAGGAAGAAGAAGAAUCGACGGAAGAAAGAAAACGAGGGUUAGGCUUUACAUAAACUCCAUAUUUGCAUGAUGCCCUUCUUGUGGAACAUACUUUAUUGAAUGAUACCCUUCUUAAAACAGCGUUAUAUGCUUGCUGAGAGUACUAAAGAAUUAGUGGAAACAAAGGAAGAGUAAGAAAGGAUUAUGUUGUACCAAAUCCUCACUAGUUAAUUUGAUGAGGUCAAUGCUGUUUUUUAUGGAGAGAAAAAAAAUGAAAGGGGGAUCUAAAUUUUUUAUUUCACAGGGGUUUUCAGAAAGGGAGAAAACAUUAAUUAACCCCUUAUAUUCAAACCACUUCCAAUUUCUUCCAUAAGUCCUUGUCUUGAUAGCAAUAAAGAACAUAUCUGAAUUAUUUUCUGACAACCUCCAUGGUUUAUGCAUCUGUCGUCAUAGUUAUCAUACUUACAUCUCCAAAUUGGAGUUUAGAAUCGGGUAAAUGACCUAUUCAACGACUAUACUUUUGCUCAAAUAGAUCAUUAGCUGAAUAAAAAACAACAAUGAUCCUUUUUGGUCUAGUGCACUAAUAGAAUACUAGUAUUAGAUAUUGGUAAUGAAUAUUAUAGAUAUUUCUUUAAUUGUUCGAAUUAAUAAGCCUUUUUUACUUGACAUUUCAGCUCAUCAGUUAAGCUAUAUUCAAUUUACGGAUCUCCAAGAUUGUCCUAUAAAAUUAGGUUCUAUACAUAAUUUCUUGCAAUCAUGUAAAUUGAAUAACUUGAUCAAACACAAUUAUUUCCAAUCAUGUAAUUUCAAUAGUUUGAUCUUCAAUAGAAUGAUUAGUAUUUCAUCUUUGCAAAAUUUUUAAGAGUCCUCAAUCGGAUAGGUGAUGGUCUGACAAUGUGUUUAUAAGUGGACAAUCCUCACCUCACAAGUCGGUUUUGUGGCCUGACGAUGUGGCUUUGUGAACUCAAAGGAUUUCAAUGUUGAAGCUCUAAUACUAUAUUGAAAUGGGGCCUAACUCAUCCUUACAAAACCAGCUUGUAAGGUGAGGAUUGCCUCCUCUUUAUAUACUCUUCUCAAGAGUCUUAUCUAUCCGAUGUGAGACUUGAGUUUUUCCCAAUAUACCCCCCUCACGCCCAACACUGUUUGGACUCUUUGGGCUUGGUGCGUGAAUAGGUUUAGGCGGCCCUUGAAUUCGACAAGCUCUGAUACCAUGUUAGACAUGGUGGUUGGGCCUAACUCAACUCCACAAAACCAGCUUGUGAGGUGAUGAUUGCCCCCACUUAUAAACACAUUGUCAGACCAUCACCUAUCCGAUAUGAGACUAUUAACAAAAAUAGAUCUAAAACAGACAGUUAGAUCAUGAAUCAUCCGAUUAAGAUCAAACAAUAUGCAAUUUUUGACUACACCAAUUAUUUCAAAUUUUGACCCCUAGAAACCACUUUCCUAUAAACAUAUCAACCUACAACAAUUUCACAAAAGAAAAAAAAGGGUUAAAUAAGUUUUUAAUUCCUAUAAAUAUAACAAAUUUCAUUGUUAGUCCUCAUAAAAGAAGUGACAAAGUUUCGAUCCUCAAAUUUUUAUGCACAUAGUUUAAAUUAUUAUUAAAUUAAAAUUUGAUUAAUUAUGAUUAAAAUUUUAAAUUUUUAAUUGAUUUUUUAUAGACAUGUUAAGAACAUUAUUAAUUUUUUAAAAAAAAAAAAAUUAGAACUUUUUAACAUAUAAUGAAUUAAAUAUGAUUUUUUUAAACAUAAAAAUUUCAAGAUAAAACUAAUGAAAAUUUAGAUCUAAAAAUCAAAUUUUAAGCCAAUAUUUUACAUAUGAACUUUUUAUAAUAUUUUAAACAAUUAUGUAAAAAAAAUCACUCAAAAAUUUAAAAGUUUAAACAUAGUUAAACAAAUUUUAAUUUAACUAAAACUACAUGCUGAUAUUUUUAUAGAGAUCAAAAUAUGACACUUUUAAUAAGGAUUAAAAACAAAAUUAAGUAUAUUUAUAAAGACCAAAACAUGAUAUUCUAUCAAUUUAAAUAAAUACAUUGAAGAAAUGGCAAAACCAUCAUAAAAUAAAUAUCUUUUAUUUUAUAAAAAAUAACCAAACAUAUUUAACAAAAAAAAAAAAAAAUAGUCCAUACACAAUUUCAAAAUCAAAACCUUUAUUUCCUUUGUUGUGAAGUGAUGCUUCAUUCCAUUGCAUACCCAAUUUAAAUAAUCAAAUCAAAUCAAAUCUUCCCUCCCAAACUUUUGAUUCCACCACUCUUUAAGAAACUCAAAAACCCUAGAUUCUCUCUCUCUCUCUCUCUUCCCAAAAUCAAUUAGUUCUUUGAUUUCUUUAUCCAAUUUUUCACUUUCCAUCACAAAAUCAACACACCCAUUAUAAUUUUUUUGACCUUUACAUUUCUUCAACUGAUUCUGUGAUUUUCCCAUUUCAUAAAUUUCACAAUACCCUAAUUUUCUUUACGUGAGUCGCUAAAAAAAUUACACCUUUUUCUCUUUGAUCACGAAUACGUAAGACCAAAUUCAUCUCAAAACUCGUUCUUCCACUGCUUCUCAGCAGCUGAAGAAAUGCUUGAGCCUUGCAGUUCAAGUGAUUCUGAUGAUGAUGUAAGUUUAUAAAUUAUUAUCUGCUAGAUGAGUUAUGUAUUUACGAGGGUUCUUUUUGUUAUGUUUGUUGAUUAUUCUGAUUUAGUAUCUGGUGCUUGCAGUUUUUUUUUUUGUUGGUUCACUGAUUGUUUAUCGAGUCCUUGAAUGUGUUAGACGCCAUUACUACCUUCUUUAUAUGUUCAAAAUUAGAAUUACAAAAAGAAUCUCCAUUCUCCAACAUAUCUUUUGUUAGUGCAUCUCAAAUAUGUAUUCUUUUCGUGAGUAUGGUCUGUGAAUGUGUUGUCCGAUAGUCAGUUUGGUCUAUAUGAAAUUAUUUGUUCAACACACAAUGUGAGGACCAAAGUGAGUAUGGUCCGUGAAUGUGUUUUUAUAAAUUUGAUACAGUCAAGGACUUUAGCGAUACUGUCUCACACAUGUGAGGACCAAAAUGAUUGUUCAUUCAUCAUUUAUCUGUUUAUGCUGUUCGAUAUUUUAUAAAUCUAUGUGGCUUGUUUUGUGUGUUUUCAUUGUUGAUGUUGUUUUGUUAGCAAGAAGAUUAUUUAUUUUGUGUGGGUAUUUGUUUGUUGAUUAUCUAGAAAAUAGUAAUGGUUGGAUGUGUUAUUUUGAUGAAUUAAUAGAUUAUCUUUAUGUUCAUAUUUCUAUUCCAGAUUGGUGGGGAAUUCUUGAUUCAAGCCAACACACAUAAGCGCCAAAAAAUUCAAGAAGAUGAUAAUGCUGAUGGUAUCGAAAGUGCCGAGGUUUGUUUUCAUAUGGUGGCUUUGUAUACUCUUUGCUAUAGUAUAGUAAUAGAAUAGCUGUGUCUCAUUGAAAAUACGGCAAUUCGUCAGAUAAAUUGCUUAUGUUUGGCUUACUUCUAAAUACUUUAUAGUUGUCAUUUUCUGUUAAUAGUAUUUUGAUGACUUCAACCGCUGUAAGAAGUGGUACUCUUUGUCUCAAGAUUUGGUCAUGUAGUUGUUUUCAUUCCAACUAAAAAACUGUAACUUUAUCAGGUUGUUCCUGAAGGAAGACAAGCUAGUUUGGAAAUUGGGGAGAUAAAAAAUAAUGUUGAUGCAAAUAGAAACAAAUCUGGUCGUGGAAGAGGAAGUUCUGGUUCAGGUAGCAGACGUGGUUCCAAAUCUAAUGAUCAGACCAGAACACAAAUUUCUUCUGCAACAGUUUCAGCUUCAAAUGGUCAGAAUGAGAAUGUAUGUCAUAAAGUUGCUUUGCCUCAAAUAUUUGGUUCUUUAUUGUGUUUUACUUUUCAAUCAUCCCUAUCAGUUAUGCAAGCUGCGGGAAUGACAUUUUGCUUGAGCAAUAAAUUUUAUGGAUUGAUCAUUUAUGUUGCAAUCCUUCAUUGUUCGUUAGAAACUCAUAUUUUUGUUUGCAGGAUGGUAGACUCAAAGAUCAGUUUCAUAAUGAUAAUAGUGCUUCAUUAGAGGUAUGGGUUGUUCUUCUAUAUGUAUAUAAUUAGAAUUAGAAUUUUGAUAUAAUCUCUUUCGAUUGUCUCUGUCUCUUUCCCAACCAUACCUCAAUGACGUUGCUGAUACUUUAUAACUUCACUAUCGUAACUUUCAAUUUUUAUUCUCUCAGUUUGAUUUCAUCCUUUUAUUAAAUUAGGAGGAGAAUGCAUCUUUACGCACAAAAAUUGUUGCGUUGGAGGAAGACUUGCGUAAAGCAAAGCAAGAAACCUCUGAGCUUCAGAAUCUUUGUCCACGUUUAGAAAAGGUAUACGAAUAAUUGUCCGAUUACAACAAGAGAUGUGAAUCAGAAGGAUGUUUUCUGAAUCUUGAAUUGUGUAUCAAGUCAUAAUAAUGAAUAGUAGCAACUUAUCCAUUUAAUGCUGGCUAGUCGAGACAUUUUGAUGCAAUUCAACAAUAGUAGCUUACCUGUUUCAUGCUGGCUAGUCGAGCAUUAAACUGGCUAUUCUCAUUCGAAACCAGGUCGGUUGUGCGACCUGACAAAAAUGGCAGUGAAAAAACCAAACUGUGUUAUUCAAACUGCGUUAUUAAAGGUAAUAGAUUUGACAGUUCUUGAAAUUAAUGUGAUGCUUUUCUGUUCGUCUAAUGUUUGAAUUUGGCACAUGUAGGAACUGAAAGAUCGUGAGGAGCAAAUGAAACCUAAGGUUUGAUUAUUUUCAGCUUAUGAUUGGACAAUAAUUGUGGUUAAACAUUUCUUCCUGACACUAUCAAGACACGAGACUCCUAUUGGUAUACAUGUUAUUUAAAUUAUAAUGAAGUGGUGGAUUCAAUUGUGCAUGCGCAUGAAACUUCUAUAACAAAGAUGAACUAGAAGUUUUAAAGAGGCUACUGUUAAGAGGCAUUUCAUGUGUCACAUAAAAAUAAUAUCCGAUCUUGUAUUUUGCAGAGAACAAAAAUAAUAUCUGAUUUGCUGAUAUCAGUUUCAAAGGCUGAGAGACGAGAAUCAAGGCUAAAAGUACGUCAGGACUCUUUGAGACUCGGAAAUGUUGGUGUAAUCAGGUAGGUGAAGCAUUGUGAUAAAUACUUUUUUAUAAUAUUUUUAUUUAGAUUUUCUUAUCGGUUUGGUUAUGAAUUUUAGAGCUGGAACUGUCUUAUCUGAGACCUGGGAAGAUGGUCAGGCGUUAAAGGAUCUGAAUGCCCAGCUUGUAUGUCUAACCUCUCUCUUCCCCUUCGUGUUUAUUUAUUUAUUGAAUUUAUUUAUUAUCCACCAAUGGUAUUUUCAUUUGCAAGAAUGAUCAUAGAUGUCACACCCUCUUUGGGACAAUGUCUUCAUGAUAUAUCGGGAUUCAAGAUGAGAUACCUGUUCAAAAUUGUUAAACACUAUAGAUUUGUAUUGAUGUACAUUAGCCAAUGAUUGAAAUAUAUAUUUUAAUUGUAUUGCUUGAAUAUUUGUAUGUACCCUAUAAAAACAAAUCGAUUGUUUCUGAUGUAACAUAUCGUUAAAUUAAGCUGUCUCUAAAUAUAUUUACGUGUUUCAUUUGUGCAACAAUGCUUUUAUGGGCGUCUCAGUAAAGAUCUUGGAUUCUAAAUAUUAUCUAACUUUUGACCUUUUGCUUUUGUUGAAUUGAUGACUAAAUACAAUUAUAAGGAUUGUUUUUUUCGAACUUCCAAGCAUUUUCCUUUUGAAUACUAUUAGGCAAUUGUUUGUAGUAUAUUUUGUGAAUGUUUCUAUAACUUGUGUGGUAGUUUUUUUUAUUCGCAAUUGAGGUCAUGCAUUUAACAGUAGUUUGAUUUUGUAAUAACAUUAAUUCCCUUUUCUCUUGAUUUAUGUUUUACAGAAACAACUGCUAGAAACAAGAGAGGCUAUUGAUCGACAACGCAAGUUAUUAAAGAAAAAACAAUCUGGUAACACCCAGUUUCCAUUUUUAUUUUAAAACUUGUCUUCCUGAGCAUGGGGAAGACUGGAUGAGGGGUUAAGCAGACUGCAUGAGUGACUGUCCUUUUACGCUCUCCCUUCGUUCUUAGUUUGUACUAAUUGUUUUUGUAACAUGUAAUAUACCAUGGAUCAUAAUAAACCUGUACAUUAUAUAAUUUGUUUGCACCAACUUGUAGUAUCCUUCACUAUUUAUUUAUUACCCUAAUGUUAUUGUAAAUCAUGAAUAUGCUCCUUAAGAUGGCUAACUGACACAAUAAAUAUCCAGUAUCACAUUAUUCUACUCACUUUCUUAUGGUUGGAGUUUUGUUUUUCAUGGUCCUUUUCUAUGGUUAAAGAUAAGGGACGUGAUGUGAUAGAUGCAGAGGCUGGAUUGCAGGAAGAUAUUCUCAUUCAUGAGGAAAUCUAUAAGUCUCGACUAGCCAGCAUUAAACGGGUAAGUUGCUACUUCUCUGAUUGUUCUAUUUCCUUUGUAUGUUAUUAAUCAUGGAACAAUUUUCAGGAAGAAGAAAUUGCUCUGCGAGAGAGGGACCGCUACGAACUAGAGAAAGGAAGUCUAAUCCGUGAAAUGAAACGCAUACGGGAUGAAGAUGGUUCACGGUUUAACAAUUUUCAGAUUCUAAACAAUCGUUAUGCCCUUUUAAACCUUCUCGGAAAGGGAGGAUUCGGCGAGGUGUACAAGGUUUGAACUUUAGAGUACAAUAGCAAUUAUUUGAUCAUAUUUGUAUUACUUUAUCAAAUAUUAUACAGGGUUGAGUUAGUAAAACCAGAAUCUUAGAGUUCCUUUUUGUCAAUUGCAAAUAAACACCUUUCUGCAGUAAUUUAAAGUAAGAAAUUUCUAGCAGGCUUUUGACUUACUGGAUCAUGGAUAUGUCGCCUGCAAGCUUCAUGGUUUAAAUGCUCAAUGGGCUGAAGAGAAGAAGCUAAGUUACAUGAGGCAUGCAAUUCGAGAGUGUCAUAUUCACAAGACCUUGGUCCAUCGCCACAUUGUUCGUUUAUGGGACAUCUUUCAAAUUGAUCCGGAUACAUUCUGCACUGUUCUAGAAUAUUGUAGUGGUAUAUACACCUCAUCUGUUUUAUGAAGAUACUUAUUUUGUUGCCUUUUCAGAUAAUUAUUUGAACUUAUCUACUGGCACAAGUACUUGUGAGAUUGUUUGAGAGAGCUUAUGAAAACAACUUGUGACAUGUUCAUAAGCUGUUUUCAGGUUAUUUCCAUAAGCUCUCCAAGAUAGCUUAUGAAAACAAUUUGAUUUGAUUUUCUUUUAUUAUAGAAAUAGCUUUUACAUAAGCACUUAUAUGACAACCAUUUAUGCUAUAAGUGCUUAAUUAAAUUGUUUACACAAACAGGGCUUAUAACUAUUGUAUGCUUGAUUUCUUGUUUGGUCAACCUAUCCUUCCUUUGAUCCUCCUCUGUUCUCUACCAGGAAAAGAUCUUGAUGCUGUUCUUAAAGCAACACCUAUAUUGCUCGAGAGGGAGGCUAGAGUCAUUUUAGUUCAGAUUUUCCAAGGCCUUAUUUACAUGAAUAAAGGAGCACUCAAGAUUAUCCAUUAUGAUUUGAAGCCUGGAAAUGUUUUGUUUGAUGAACUUGGUAUUGCCAAAGUGACUGAUUUUGGUCUUAGCAAGAUAGUAGAGAAUGAUGUGGGAUCCCAGGGUAUGGAACUUACAUCCCAGGGGGCUGGAACGUAUUGGUAAGUGAUGAAGAUCAUUGUUGUAGGAUUUCGAAUUUUGAAGUAUUCCAAAUUUGUUGGUUUUAACUUUUAAGCUUCUAUCUCUUCAUUGUACUUUAAUUUUGAUGCUCCUUUUAUGUUCCCAUGAUCUUUCAACAUUUUCUUUAAUAAAACCUCUUGUUGCCUUCUUUUCUUUUUUAAUUUGCAGGUAUUUGCCUCCGGAAUGCUUUGAGCUCAGCAAGACACCUCUCAUAUCAUCCAAGGUAAUUUUUUUUUUCAAGUCGUGAAUACAUGGAUAGCUUUUUUGUGUCAAUUUUCAAUUUGUCAGUCAUUUUGGUCAAUGGAUAUUUCACUUGAACAUUAAUUUCAUGAUGUCUGUAUUAUGCAAACUACUAACUCUUGGACAGACAUCUUACACGAUAAUCUCUUUACAUUUCUAACUUGUGAAAACAGGUUGAUGUCUGGUCUGCUGGUAUUUUGUUUUAUCAAAUGCUCUUUGGUAGACGUCCUUUCGGACAUGACCAAUCACAAGAGAGAAUACUUGGUGAAAAAACGAUUAUCAAGGCACACAAGGUUGAAUUUCCCUCUAGACCUACUGUUUCUAAUGAGGCAAAGGUGAGUUGAGACCUUUUUUAAUAAUUACCGCCAAGUGGCUGAUUGUUCUUUGGCCAUCUUUUAUUAUUUCUUAGGCAAUUGUAUUCUCUAAGCAGCAAACUGAAAUGUAGUUAAGGUUUUAAUUGUCGAAGUGGGAAACAGACUAUGAAGUAGUUAAAUAAAGUCUCAACCGUUGAUUUCUGAUCAAUAACUAUAAUUCUGCGCUGUAUUUUCUGAAGAGCACUCCUCACACUAUAAUUCUGCGUUGUAUUUUCUGAAGAGCACUCCUCACUUUAGAGGAGCCCAAUAAAAAUUAGCAGUACUUACCGUCUACAGUUCUUACUUUGAAACCUGACAAUUAUCUCUACUGUGUGUACAAUUUUGCCAGGAUUUUAUUCGGCGGUGUCUUACAUACAACCAGGCUGAGAGACCAGAUGUAUUAACCAUUGCCCAAGAUUCGUAUCUUGCUUACUCAAAGAAAUAGUGAUGUCCAUUGACAUGGGUUGUUACCCUCACCCCUACCAUGGGGAGGGAUAUCAUCUUCUAACUUCAGUCACUAAAUAUAUGUCAGAAUUUGUAUAGGUUGUAAAGAUUUUGUAAUCUUGAUUGUGUCAAGAGAAAGGAUGUUUCCUUACUCUGAAAAGCAUCCCUGUUGUCUUUCAUGCAUUUCUCAUUUGAUUGAAAAUAUUGGAGGUCGUGAUGUAUAGGUAGGUAGGUGAGUGAGAAGGUUCUCUUGAUUUUUAAUAUUUUUGCCACCGAAUUAUAGGAUUUUAAGGCAUAUUGAUAUUGAUUGGCUACUUUUUGUUUAAAUUUGUGGAGAUGUUUUAAAAACAUUUGAUUGAAGAGUUUAUGAUAAAUUGACUAAAUAGGUGGUACAAAAGUACUACUAGUUCUCAAUGUUUUCCAAUUUCCAUAGCCCCAGUGAUGGAAUUAUCAGUCUCCACCAAAUAAUCUAUUCAUUGCCAUAUUCGUAAGGAUGUGGCAUUCCUUAUCGAUCUACACCAAGUAUCUGCAACAAGCCUUGGGGAAAUGCACCUGGUGCCGUAGCGAAUCGAGUAGCUCUGGAAGCAUGUGUACAAGCUCGUAAUGAGGGACGUGAUCUUGCUUGUGAGGGUAAUGAAAUUAUCUGUGAAGCUACCAAAUGGAGUCCUGAACUAGCUGCUGCUUGUGAAGUCGGGAAGGAGAUCAAAUUUAAAUUCUCAGCAAUGGAUACUAUUUGAAUUCCCAGCAAUGGAUACUUUGUAAUCCAGUAAUUAUCAUUCGUUCUGUUAAUUUCAAUUAAACUCGGCCAAGUACAUACGAAUAAGUAUAUGUAGAGUGAGUACAAUUCUACACAUCCACAACAUACUUUACACAUAAAUAUACACAUAAGUUCAUUGGCACAGGUCACACCAUAUAUGUAAAUAACAAGUUUCAUGUAUACAAAGAGACCAAUAUAUUCAAUUUUUACAGUUAACAUUAAAAAAUUAUUCAAACCUCUUCCAAUUUCUUCCAUAGGUCCUUGUCUUGAUAGCAAUAAAGAUUUGAUCUGAAUUAUUUUCUUACAACCUCCAUGGUGCAUGUAUAGUAGACUCUUUAAACUUUAAAUUUUUAAAGUCGAAUUCGUCACUUUUCAACACAAUAUUUUACUUUUUAUUUUUAUUUUUAUUUAUUUAACCAAUGUCCUAAGAGUUAAGGACACUCUUUAACAUUUCUCUGAAGUAAAUGACUAUGUCAACGACUAUACUUUUGCUCAAAUAGAUCAAUAGCCAAGUAGAAGCAGCAAUGAUCCUUUUUGGUCUAGUGCCCUAAUAGAAUACUAGUAUUAGAUAUUGGUAAUGAAUAUUACAUAUAUUUCUUCAAUUGUUCAAAUUAAUAAGCCUUUUUUACAUAAUAUUUCAGCUCAUUAGUUUAGCUUUUCAAUUUACGUAUCUACAAAGUUUGUCCUAUAAAAAUUGGGUCUAUAAAUAUUAUUUUCAUCCAUUUGAUAUCAAUGAUUAUUUAAAAUUAUCAAUCUAUUAAUUAAAUUGAUUGGACCACCUCAUAUAUAUAUAAUUUUUUUGUGGUGGUUGGGUUCGAAUCCCAGACCUUGCAUAUAUUAUGCAUUGUCUAUAGUGAGUUAAGUUCACGAGGACAAUUUUUUUUUUGUGGUGGCCGGAGUUUGAACCUCGAACCUUGCAUAUAUUAUGCGUUGUUUCUACCAACUGAACUAAGCUCACAAGGACAAUUUAUAAAAAGUAAAUUGUUUUUUUGAUUUAAAAAAACUAACAAUAAAAUUAACACUUCUCUAAAUAAUAUUAAGAAAAAAAAGUAUCGGGUGGUUGGUGCAACAAAAUAUCCACGCCCGACGGAUCGGAUCAGUUUUGCCAACAAAUUUAGACUAUUAGUGAAUUCAUUUUGAUUCGAGGGAAAAACGACUACUUCAAAACUCUAUCGCUCAGGUAACGUUUUCUCCGAUCUCAAUUCUCUUCAUCGUUUUCAAUUUUUCACAUUUUUAUGCUUGCAGUGAUUCGCUUUGAAACCCUAAAUCGGGUUUUCAAUUUGAUUUUUACUUGAAUUUGUUUUUCGGCUAGUUGAUUUCAAUGCUAAAUCCUGAAAGAACACUUUGUAUAAAAACCACUUCAAAACGAUUUCAACUCUUCACAUGUUAAUGCAUAUGUAGUGAUUCACUAUUUCCAAUUCAAUUUUCACUUGUAUUUGUUCUUGUUCCGCCUGUUGAUUUCGAUGCUAAAUCAUGGAGGAAAACUUCGCUCCAUAGUUUCGUAAUUUUUUUCUCAUUUUCAUUGAAAAUAAACUUCAAAGCCCUAAAUAGAUUUCCGAUAAGUGUUUAUUUGAAUUUUCUGUUCCGCGUGCUAAAUCGUGAAAAACACUUCGUAUAAUCAAAAUAAUUUCAAAACGCUAAAUUGAUUUCUGACAAGUUUUUACUUGAAUUUAUUGUUCUGGUACUUGAUUUUUAUGUCAAAACACUUUGACUGUCUUCACAGGAGAAAGAAUUAUGGAAGCUAUGUUGCAUGAUAUGGAGCUUAGGUUCGAAGCCAAGUUUGAAGCCAAGUUUAAAGCCAUUGAAUCAAAAUUCGUGUGUAGGCAUGUUCUCCAACGGUGAUGAUCCAUUCGCUUGGAUCGCCAAAUCUGAAGUGUAUUUCAAUGUUCAAAAUACUCCUGCCGAUUUAAAAGUCAAUUUGGCUAAACAUUGUAUGCAUGAUGACGUUUCUAAAGCUUUGAUUAAGGAGGGUAAAGAAGAAGCUCCGACUUGGGAGGGACUGAAGGAUGCAUUGCUUAAAAGCUGCAGCGGCGUGAGUGAUGCUGUGAAUAUUUAAGUAACUAUUAGGAUGGUUGUGGCGGGCUAUGUAUGGAUAAGUAGAUUAUUAUUAAGCCUUAAAUGGUUGAUACUCUUUUGUGCUUUUGGAGUAGUUUGAGAAACCCUCUACUACUAUUAUCUUUUUACUAUCAAUAAAAAUACACUCUGUUUCCUAAUUGCAUUUAUUUCUUGUCUUUCUCUUUGUUGGUUGUUUUGGUGUUUUGGGUGCGCAAGACUGCUUGGUUUGCAAAUGUGUUGCUUUAUAUGUAAAUAAAUAAUUAAGACCUUUUAUAUGAUCUCUUUCAAUUGUCACUUUAGCCACCAUAUCCCAAUGAUGUCGCUAAUGCUUUAAAAUUUCAUCACUGUGAUUCAAUUUCUUCUAUCAUUUGAUUUAUCUUUGUAUUAAAUUAGGGGGAGAUUGCAUCUCUACGUACAAAAGUUGCUCAGUUGGAGAGAGACUUACGUAAAGCUAAGCAAGAAACCUCUGAUAAAGAAAAGGUAUACCAAUAAUUGUCUGCAAGGUUGUGAUUCAGUAGGAUGUUUUCUUAAUCAUGAAUUCUAAAGACAUAAUAUACCAUGAUAAUUAAUAUAUAGUUUCAAAAAGGUACACCUAUAAAUGAAAUAAAAUUUAGCCCAAAUUUAACUAAUUGACACUUAAUUUGCUAUUAACAAUAAAUCUUACGCGUCAUAUAUAAAUCUUAGAUUCAACAAAAUUUAUGCUCAAACUGAAAAAAUUACAAUAAUUUACAUUGUAUCUCCUGGUUUCAAGAAUAGUACAACUUCAAAUUUAUAGUAAAUUGUAAAUGUCUUUUUGAAAUGUAAAUUGUAAGGACAUAUGUAUUCUAGGUAAUAAAAUUGACAGUUGUUGAAGUUAACAUGAUUGUUUCCUGUUACUUUAAUAUUUGAUUUUGGCACAUGUUAGGAACUGAAGCAACUGAAAGAUACCGAAGAGAAAAUGAAACCUAAGGUUUGAUUAUUUUUCAGCUUUUUAUCGCACAGGAGUUGUUGGUAAACUUUUCUUCCUGAUUCUAUCACGACACAAGACUCCUACAUGGUAUUUAAAAUAUAAUGAAGUGGUGGAUGAAAUCGUGCAUGUGCAUCAAACUUCUAUAACAAAGAUGAACUAGAAAUUUUGAAGAGGUUAUUGUUCUCAUACUCCUGUAUAAGUUAAGGAGCAUUCCAUGUGUCAAGCAUAAAAAAAAAGGUUAAGUCAGCCUGUUCUUGUAUUUUGCAGAGAACAGAAAUAAUAUAUGACUUGCUGAAGUCAGUGUCAAAGGUUGAGAGACAAGAAGCAAGGCUAAAAGCACGACAGAAUUCGUCGAGACUUGGAAAUGUUUUAAUCAGGUAUAGGUGGAGCACUGUGUCAAAUUUUCAUAUUAUUAUAUAUCAUGAAUGUGCUCCUUAAGAUGACUAAUUGACAUAAAAUAUUUGUUUCAAAUCAACCUAUCGGAUACUGCUAGGCUAUAUUGUAUCACAUUAAUCUGCUUACUUUCUAAUGGUUUGAAUUUUGUUUUUCUUGGCCCUUUUCUAUGGUUGAAGAUAAGGGUGAUGGAAUAGAUGCAGAGGCUGGAUUGUCGGAAGAUAUUCUCAUUCACGAGGAAAUCUAUAAGUCUCGACUAGCCAGCAUUAAACGGGUAAGUUGCUACUUCUUCGAUUAUUCUAUUUCCUCUUUAUACUUCUAAUGGUAGAACAAUUUUUAGGAAGAAGAAAUUGCUUUGCAAGAGUUCCACCUCUAUGAACUAGAGAAGGGAAGACUAAUUCGUGAAAUGAAACGCAUACUGGGUGAAGAUGCUUCACAGUUCAACAACUUUCAGAUUUUAAACCAUCGUUACGUCUUCCUAAACCUUCUUGGAAAGGGGGGCUAUAGCGAGGUGUACAAGGUCUAAACUUUACUGUUCAAUAUUAAUCAUUUUAUCGUAUUUAUAUUAAUUUUGUGAAUAUUAUACAAGGUUGAGUUACUAAAACCAAAAUCCUAGAGAGUUCCUUUGCCUUUUAUUGGCAAAUGUAAAUAAAUACUUUUUUGCAGUGAUUUGAAGUAAAAAAUUUCCAGCAGGCUUUUGACUUGGUGGAGCAUAGAUAUGUUGCAUGCAAGCUUCAUGGUGUAAAUGCUCAAUGGAGUGAAGAGAAGAAGCAAAGUUACAUAAGGCAUGCAAUUCGGGAGUAUAAUAUUCACAAGACCUUGGUUCAUCGUCAUAUUGUUCGUUUAUGGGACAUCUUUAAGAUUGAUCCAAAUACAUUCUGCACUGUUCUGGAGUUUUGUAGUGGUAUAUAUACACCUCACUUGUUUUUUUAAAACAACUAUUUUGCUGACUUUUUUGGUAGAUUACGAGUCUGUUUGGAUUGAGUUAUUUGAGCUUAUAUAUAAUGGUAGAUAAAGCUUAUGAAAACAACUUAUGACAUGUUCAUAAGCUGUUUUGAGCUUAUUUCGAUAACUCUAUAGGAUAGCUCAUGAAAAUAAUCUAUAGCUUAUACGUAAACAGUUUGAUUUCAUUUUAUCUUUUAUAAUAGAAAUAGCUUUUGCUUAAUUAAGUUGUUCAUCCAAACAUGGCCUCUAAUAUUGUCUGUUUGAUUUCUUGUUUUAUCUACGCACCUUCCUUUAAUCCUCCCUUGUUUUCUACCAGGUAAAGAUCUUGAUGAUGUUCUUAAGGAAACACCUAUUUUGCCCGAGAACGAGGCUAAAGUCGUUUUAUUUCAGAUUAUCAAAGCCCUUGUUUACAUGAAUGAAAGAAUGCCGAAGGUUAUCCAUUAUGAUUUAAAGCCCGGAAAUGUUUUGUUUGAUGAGCUUGGUAUUGCCAAAGUGACUGAUUUUGGUCUUAGCAAGAUAGUGGAGAAUGACGUGGGAUCCCAGGGUAUGGAACUUACAUCCCAGGGUGCUGGAACAUAUUGGUAAGUGAUGAAGAUCAUUGUUGUAGGAUUUCAAAUUUUGAAGUGUUCCAAAUUUGUUAGUUUUAAGCUUUAGCCUCUUCAUUAUACUUUAACUUUGAUGCUCCCUUCAUGUUUCAAUGAUCUUUCAGCAUUUGCUUCAAUAAAACCUCUCUUUCCCUUUUCUUUUUUGAUUUGCAGGUAUUUGCCUCCUGAAUGCUUUGAGCAGAGCAAGACACCUCGCAUAUCAUCCAAGGUAAAAAACUUUUUAAUUCGUGAAUACAUGAAAAGCUUUUUCUGUGUUAUCGAUUUUCAAUUUGUCAGUCAUUAUGGUCAGUGGACAUUCUGGGACUUGUGUCAUGGUGUCCGUAUUGUGAAAACAACUAACUGAUAGAUAACCAUCUUUCAUGAUAAUCAGUACUCACUUUACAUUUCUGACUGGUGGAAAACAGGUUGAUGUCUGGUCUGCUGGUAUUUGUUUUUAUUACAUGCUCUUUGGCAGACGUCCUUUCGGGCAUGACCAAACACAACAGAAAAUAUUUCUUGAGCACACAAUUAUUAAUGCACAUGAAGUAGAAUUUCCCUCUGGAUCUACUGUUUCUAAUAAGGCUAAGGUGAGUUGAGCCCCUUUUCUAGUAAUUACUGCCUGUUGCCAAUUGUUCUUUGGCCAUCUUUCAUUUACUUAUAUUAUUCUAUUAUUUAGUGGUGGACUCAAUUUUUGCUUGUUUUAGGUUAUAUUUAUUGGACAAAAUGUCAACUUUAUUCCAUGUGCAAGCACAAUUGGCCUUUGUGAUUUAUCUGAAUUUGUUAUUUCAUUCCUCCAUAUCUCAGUGCCAUUAAAAUGAUGUUGGUUUAAUAGUUGAAAGUAAUUUGCACCAAUGAGAAAUUAUUGGUUGUGCAAGAUAUUUUUUUAAGUUAAAAACUUUAUCCUUCUUAUCAUCACUGACAGAACCAUAAUAAUAUUUCUUAGGCUUGAACAGAGUUUUACGGAAUUCCCCUUUUUAUUUUAAUAUAGGAAGGUUGUAAUUUUCAUUUAUGACCCCAGAUAUAAGCAUGCUUACGUUUGGUGUUCACUUUCUUAAUUUAGCUUAAAGAAAUUGAGUUGACUCCAUAUAAAGUGCAAUGCCAACCGUUGAUUGAAAGAUUGUGAUGAAAUACAGCUAUAUGAAAAACGAAUGGUGUAGUUAAAGUCUCAACCAUUAAUUUCCAAUCAAUAGUUAUAAUUCUGCAUCAUAUUCUCUAAGGAGCACUCAUCAUUUUAGAGGAGCCAAAUCCAAAAAUAGUACCUUUUUAUCUACAUCCUUACUAUGAAACCUGACAAUUAUCUCUACUAUGUGUACAAUCUUGUCAGGAUUUUAUUCGGCGGUGUCUUACAUAUGACCAGGCGGAGAGACCAGAUGUAUUAACAAUUGCUCAAGACUCAUAUCUCACUUUUACUCAGGAAUAGAGAUGUCCAUUGACUGGUUUGUUACCCUCACCCCUAUCAUGUGGAGGGAUUUCAUCUUCUAACUUCAGUCAUUAAAUAUCUGUCAGAAUUUGUAUAGGCUGUAAAGAUUUCAAGAGAAAGGGUGUUUCCUUACUCAGAAAAGAAUCCCUGCCGUCUUUCAUGCAUUUCUCAUUUGAUUGAAAAUAUUGGAGGUCGUGAUGUAUAGGUAGGUGAGAAGGUUCUAUUGAUUUUUAAUAUUUUUGCCACCAAAUUAUAGGAUUUUAAGGCAUAUUGAUUGAUUGGCUACAUUUUGUUUAAAUUUGUGGAGAGUUGUUUUAAAUAGGUGGUACAAAAGUACUACUAGUUCUCAACCAUCAGAUGUGAUGUUUUCCAAUUUCCAUAGCCUCAGUGAUGGAAUUAUCAGUCUCCCCACCAACAAAUCUAUUCAUUGCCAUAUUUGUAAGGAUGUGGUAUUCUUUAUCGAUCUACACCAAGUAUCUGCAACAAGUUACAGACGAACAAGUAUAUGUAGAGUGAGUACAAUUCUACACAUCAACAACAUACUUUACACAUAAAUAUACAUAUAAGUUCAUUGGCACAGGUGCCACCACAUAUGUAAAUAACAAGUUUCAUGUAUACAAAGAGACACCAAUAUAUUGAAUUUUUACAGUUAACAUUUAAAAAUUAUUCAAACCUCUUCCAAUUUCUUCCAAAGGUCCUUGUCUUGAUAGCAAUAAAGAACAUAUCUGAAUUAUUUUCUGACAACCUCCAUGGUUUAUGCAUCUGUCGUCAUAGUUAUCAUACUUGCAUCUCCAAAUUGGAGUUUAGAAUCAAGUAAAUGACCAACUCCACGACUAUGCUUUUGCUCAAGGUUUUGCAACUCGAGAGUUUACCUCAACUCGUUUUACCUAGAUAAACUCGACUCGUAAACUCGAAUCAUAAACUCGUACGAGUUUACCUAAAAUUGAAAUUUUAUACAAUUUAUUAUAUGCAUACAUAUGUAAGCUAAUAUAAUACUGUAAAAAGAUCAAUAGUGAAAAAUAUAGACUUACUUAUAAAUGCAAAGUAUACCAAACCACCAUAAAAAAGUGGUAUGCUUAACUUAGUAUCAAAAUAGAAAAAUUAACACACAAAAGCAUAAGUUUCAUAAGUCUCUAAAGUCUACCCAUCCCAAAAAGAAAGUUUCACAAGUUUAUAAACUUGAGAAUAAAACUAUCCAAAAAAACAAACUAGGUAAUUUCUUCGAAAGGUCGAUCUUCUAAAGUUCCAUAACACCAUUAUCAUCUAUAUCUUCAUCUUCGGAAACCUAAUGUUUCAUUCGCUCCCCUGUUCUUGAAAACUCAAAGAAAAUGAUAUGAAAUGUUUCACUUCAGUAAGCUGAAACGUGUUGUAAAGCUAGAAAGUAAAUAUGUUUUCAUUUGGGCUUGAAAAAAAUGGGCCAAAAACAAUGGGCCAUUUUGAAGAGAAAAAAAAAAUACAGGAGUAAACUCACAAAAACAGUAAACUCACCCGAUUUCACACGAGUUUACCGAGUGUUAACUCGGUCAAACUCGUCAAACUUUUCGAUUUUACCAGAAAUUGAGUUUACCUUUGAGUUAACACGUUUUUAACAGAUAAACACGUAAACUCGGUAAACUCGCCGAGUUGACACCGAUUUGUGGAACAUUGCUUUUGCUCAAAUAGAUCAUUAGCUGAAUAAAAAAACAACAAUAUUACAGAUAUUUCUUAAAUUGUUCAAAAUUCACUGAAAUUGUUUGAACCUAUCUUCUAAUAUAUUAAUAUUAUCUUUUGUGUUGUAAAGAAUUUAAAAAAUCAACACACUACAGUAGAGAGGUAGUAGUAUUUGUGCAAAGUAGUAGUAUUUGUCUAUUCUUCAUUACGAGUAUUGAAUUGAGGUUGAUGCAUAUAGUUUUUUUUUGUUGUUGAAGAAGCACAUAUAGUAUUUAUUAUAUGUUACGAUUGAAAAUAAAUAAUUAAUAUUACAUUGAAAGUUAAAAUGACAUGUAUUUUAGAUGCAUAUUUGUUUGCAUAAAGUUAAAAUGACAUUUAUUUUGGGGCUAGCUAGGCAAAACGAAGUAACUUGUAUUCAUGUACUAGACAGGCCAGACUCUUAAUUUUUCGGGCAAAAUAAUAAACUGAAAUUGUUUGAACCUAUUCGUUUCACUUUUAAAUUUAAAAUAAACCAUUUUUUUUAUUGUCAAGUUGCCCGGUGGGUGUAUUAACACACUUUUAAGUAAGUGCAGAGAAGUGAGAAUUUCCGAAUACUCCAACCCUUAUAUAUGAUUGUUUUUGCAGCUAUCAACUUAGUUGUACUUACACGACAAUAUCAACCAAUUUAGUUGUAUAAUGAUUUGAACUCAAGGUAUAUUAUUUAUGAAUUGUUAUUUGAUGGUAGUAAAUAAAAUAUAAUUUUCAGGACAAGCCACUUUUUGGUCUCUAAAAUGUAACAUAUUAUCAUGUUGAUCUCUAACUUAUACGACAACUCAAAUAAUUCCUCCACUCUUCAAUUCAUUAAUCAUUUUGUCCAUAACAUUAACUCACCCAAAAUUGUUGACAUGAUAGUUGAAAAUGAUGAGAUAACAUGGUGAUGUGUGUGUGGGGGCUAAAAUGAAAGAUAAUCUUAAAUCCUACCUUGAACACCCCACUUUUUCAAAGAAGUAUAUAUGCAGGGGUCGGGAUUUGAACCUCGAACACCCCACUUUUUUACGUUUAUUAUUGCUUACUAUUAUGUAUGAAAUUAUUUGCAAAGGUUCCUUGUACAAGAACACAUAUGAAACAAUUAAUAGUUUGUUUCAAAGAAGUAUAUUUUGUCUACAUUAUUUAUUUAUGAUACGGUUAAUAUAGUUUGUUUCAGAGAAGUAUAUUUUGUUACUAACACAAAGAUGGUGUUCCCCAGCUCUAAGGCAUUUAAGCUACCGCCUACAAGGUCUUCAAAGAUUGUGGCUGCAUAAAAAACCAAUGGAAUGUUGAGACAAACGGUCAAAGACUCACACAUGAUAAAAUUAUAACAAGAGGUCAACAAUCAAGUGAAAUACAUAAAAUUUUAAUUUAUGCAUGUGCAAAUUUGGGUUUAUGUUUAAAUGUUGUUGGUGGCUAUUUCGAUUAACUUGCAUAAUUAUGCAGCUGUAGAUUGUGGUCUACAAAACUUGACUCGCACUGAGGCUAGAUUAUACAGUAGUUUAUUUGGAAAUAAUAAUUUAUAGUCACUUCAGAAAAGACUUUGCCUAAGCUAUUGAGCAAUUGGUCGUAACCUUAUUUAGAAGCAAAAUAUGAAAAUAAGGACCAUUGGUUCAACGUUGCUCACAUCACUAUCAUUAGAAUAAAUAACAAAUUGUCGAUGAGACAUGGAAAGCAAAGGGAAUUCACUCCCAUCUUUGCUUUUACCUCCUUAGCCAGGAAUAAUUUCUCAAUUGUAUGCAGUCUAAAGAGAUUUCUAAACACAUAUAUAGUUAACUUCCAAAGUGUGAUAUGUGGAACAUAUAACAUUGUUUUGCAAUAUCUAAGUAUUUAGAAUCUAUCGUAUUCACAUGGGAUCAUGCCACACUAGUGCCUUUCAACACUUAUUAUUGUUUUUAAGUACGAAAAGAUGUUUGUUUGUUAAUGAUAAAUGAUAUAAGCAUCUCUUGUGAUACAAUAAUGGAGAGAUAGUAUUGAUGGGAUUAAGUUUUGUUAACUAAUAAUCUAAUGUUCUUCUUUGAUCGAUUAUAUGCACUCCUUCUAUUUCAAUCAUACAUUCAUUUAUCAUCUUGCAAAUAACGAGAGAUCCAUUCUAUCCUCUAACUUCUAAUGUUUUACUCAGUUAGCUGAUAACAUGACAUAAUGUUCCGACAAUGUGUGUGAUUCUAAACCUAACUUGAUGUCUCACAACUAACAUCUUCAAAUGUCUCUACCCAUGUCCCUUACAAAUAAAUAUUAUUUUCAAACUGCACGUCAAAAAAGCACUUAGAGUGAGAAUAGAAACAUCAAUAUAACGAAAUAUGACUUGUAUAUAACCAAUCAAAUCAAGCAUCUACAUCAAAAUCAUAGAAACUAUACAUAAUCCCAUCAAUUGUGGGAAUUAAUCAUACAUAACCUUACAAUACAUAUCAAGAAAAAGAGAGAGUCGACGUUGAAGACGAUGUCUUGAUCUUCCGUGCCUUCAACUUUCUCACCCUAUAUCACUCUCUAUCUAGUUUUGGAACUUCAGGAAGUGAAAAUAUACAAAAAAAUAAUAAAUAAUAAUGAGACUUUCAGCUCCUAUUUAUAGAUUCCAAAAAAAUGAGACCAAGUUUCUUUCAUGGAUAAGUUACUUUAAAGUCAAGCUUUUUAGUUUCGUGCUAGCUAAGUCUCUUUCACGAUUACUAAGUUUACUUUUAUGAUUUUUUCAAAGUUAAGUAAUCUUGCUAGCUAAGAGCAUCCUUUACUCUCUUUAGAGUUUAGAUACAAAAUGUAUUGGAAAAUUUCAUAUUUGACUUAGUUUUUCAUAUUGACACAAAAUUGAGGGUUUUUAUUGAGUUUAUUGCAAAAUAAGUUAACAAAAAUCGUCAUAUUUUACAUUUAUUAACUCGCUUCCAUAUAUUUUUGUUUGUCUAUAAACAAAAAUCCUACAAAAAGGCAAAUUUCACAAAAUUUCCAUAGUUUCUCGUUAUAAUAUAAAAUAUAUUAUAUUUAUUAAUAUGUGUAAAAAUGACAAAAACAACUUAUAAUUUCUUAAAAAAAAAACUUGUAAUAAAAUACGAAGGAAUAUUAGUUUGUAAUUUGACUAAUAGUCAACUUUUAUUAUGGUACCCUUUAAAAAAAACUAUUAUUAAGAUAGUAGGGUGUUUUAGAGAUAUUAUAUAUAUAUAUAUAAAGAAUGAAUAUCUCUAAAACACCCUACAAUCUUAACACCAUGAAGAAUUUAACAACACAUUUCUGUCCCAUAUAAGGUGCAGCAGUUGCUUUUUAUUCCCAAUCAUACAACACAUUAACCACAAAAUUUGCACAUUUCCAUUAAGCGUUGUCGUACUUAAAAUGUGCAAAGACUUUGGAAAGCUGCACUAUGCUGAUAUAGCAUCGGAGCAAUGUAGGAACGAUUACUAGUAUUUUGUUGAGAAGUGUACGUCUAAAUUUUUAUUAGAAAUUCGCAAAGUGGUUUUAUAAGAUUGCAAUUCUGGAAUAAGCCAUAUGUUUUUGAUUCUAUUGAAUAUAAUUAUCCAAAAUCGAAAUGAAAGGAUUUACUUUAGAACAAAACUUUGAUUCCAUUUCCUAAUCGGGGCUAUUGAAAGGAAUCUUGUUUGGAAGAUGAGUUAGAGAGAUUUACCAGUUCAGCUAUUUCUGGGAGGGGGGCUAGCAAAGUGAAUCCUGUUGCGAAUUACAUUCUCUUCAUUUUCAUUACAUUUUUAUUCUCUCAUGCUUCUUCCUUAUGUUUAUUCCAUCUAACUUAUUGUGAAGUUGUUUCAAACUAAUGUGCCUUGAUGGUAUUUCUUAGUAACAUCAAUAGUAUCUGUUUGCUCAUUUUUUUGCAGUUGGUGCUAAUGGAUCUGGCAAAACAAUUUUUUUCCAUGGUAAGAAAAUCUCCUUUUGUGAGUUGGUUGAAACUGGAUGGCUCAACUUGAAUUUGACACUUACUUCCCCCGUUUCGUUUGUAUCUAGCCAUUCGUUUCGUGUUGAGUGAUCUCUUUCAGUUUCAGAACAUAAGAAGUGAGGAUAGGAAUGCACUACUCCAUGUAUGGCAUAGUUCAUACUUCCUUUUAUAUAUUUGUACUUCUGGUUCCUUCCAAUUGUAGAAUUUGACAAUGAUUAAACAAAUUUUUCUCUUUACAUCCCGGUAAUAAUUUGAAAAUAAUAAUUUCAUUUUUAUUAAUAACAAGGAGCAUGAUUUUCCACUGUUUUGAAGUUCAUUUGCUUUAAUUACGUUAUAAAAACAUCUCUUAUGCAUAUUUUGUUUUAGCCUUGGAAAAAAGAAAUACCACUUUCUAUCGUUGUUUGUUGGGUAAGAUUGAUUAACAUAUAUAAACUCAGGGAAAGAGUCCUCUGGCAGCUGAAUGAUACAGUAACGUGUUACAAUGGUUGAAGGAAAUGAUACUCUCCUAAGAGAAUACCGCACUGCUGAUAUGAAAAUAAUUCUCAAGGAUCAGUUGCAACGUUUCCCACUAUACUCUACCCUCCCGUUCCACUACUCCCUCCUAUAUGCAUAUCCUUUCUUUCUGUUAUGCCUUCUAACUGCUCCCCUUCCUUUCCCUCCUUCACGCCUCGCUGUCCCUCUGCAGACUUGGGUUCCCAGGCCUAUAUAUUAUCCUUCUUUCUCAUGUGGUACACAUACUUGGCUGGUCUAUCAUUGUGCGUAAAUUGUAUACGUUGCAUGAUUGCUGUAACGACCAAAAAUUUGAGAGAUUAACUUAUGAAAUUCUUAGUGAAAAAGAUGAACAUUUUUUUUUAAAAUAAUAAUAAAAGUAACUGAAAACUCAUUGACUUCAAAAAAUUGAAUAAAUAAGUUUCUCUUGAAUUUUCAGAAUAGUAAAUUAGAGUUGUUUUACAUCAAAAUAUAAAAUUCCUAACAACAAGGCUUUCCGCCUUUCACUACCCAAAGACACAUCCUAGCUGGUCAUAACUUUGGACACUUGUGAGAAAUCUCAACAAGGCGCAUCAAAGGUCUACAUAUCUCGGAGCCUCCAACCGUAAGUCAUUAUCAUUAUCUGAUUUUCAAAUACGGAAAAGGGUCAACUUCCAAACAAACAAAUAUACAAGUUAUACAUUUAUUUAACAUGUAUUUAAAGGCAUGCAAAUAGUACAAAUAUUAAUAUAAAGUACACAAAAUGUCAACACCCAAUACAACAAUGGACUCGACAAAUGCACAACACCCUAAAUGUUGACCUAUAUGCGACACAAAUGAUCCGGAUAUCACCUCCCUUAGAGGGCAACAAAAGUUCUUCAUAGAUAUUUGUGGGCUUCAACCAAUUAUGAACACUCCACCGUGACUCCAACCAAUUAUGGACACCACAUACCCCACGGGUUCCAACCAAUUAUGGGCACCAAAAGAAGACAAUAUGCCCCAACCAAUUAUGGGCACUCAAGACUUCGGGUCCCAACCAAUUAUGGGCACCACACGACAAUGAAUGUAUGCAUGCGACACCUGCAUAUUAACUCUGUAACGCCCUCCUUGAAUUAUUUGAUUAUUUAAUUAUUUUUAUUGAGUUAGGAUAUAUUUAUAUAAUUUAUGUGAUUUUAAAUAAUAUUGGUUGAUUAUGUGGUGUGUAUUAUUUUAUUAUAUAGUUUAUUUUAAUAUUAAUUAGAAUAAUGUGAGAAUUAAUAUUAUUUUGGAGGUUGGGGAGUUAAUUAGGAAUUAAUAGAAUUGAGGGGAGUUUAAUGAAAUAAAGGAGGAGUUAUAUUUUGGGAGUUAGGAAAGGAAAAGGUUAGAAGCAGUUUUACGUGAAACAAGUUUUGGGAGAGAAAAACCAAGGACAAGGGAGAGAAGAGCAAGUAGAGCCAAGGGAAUCGAUCGUUGUGCAUUUUUCUUCUGAAUUAAGGUAAGGGCGAGACUAUCUCUCAAUGAUAAUGGUUAUAUAAUUCUGAUUUUGAUUUAGCAUAGUUCUAGUAGAAAUUGGGAAUUGGGGGUUAGGUUUUUGGAGUAUGAUUCUUGGAUUGAAAAGUGUAGAAAUCAUGACAAUUGUGUUAAGAAUCGAUGUUCAGAUUGUAGAAUAAACAUAUGUUGAGUUUCCUAUCAAAUUUGGGGUUUGGGUGGAUGAAAAAUUGGGUUUUUGGCUGAAAACUGGUCUGUUCCCGUAGGGUUGUUCGUCGCAACUCGCCACAGCGAGUAAACGUACUCGCCUCGCGAGCUUCACAGAGACAGCAUCACCUGUUUCGCGUUCUUGCGUCUUUUUCACAUUUUUCUGUUUUGAAUUGGUCUUUGGUGUAAACAUGAAAGUUGUAGAUAAUGUUGUUAGCUUUCCAAUGGCUUUAGUUUGACUCGAAAAUGAUUUUUGGUUUAUGAGAUAUGAUGAAAAUACUCCAAGGAGGUCUUAGUGAAUUUUUAUGAAUUUCAGCACAACUUUGUCAUAAUUUGAAAUGAAAACUGGCAUUGAUUGGUACAUAAUUGGUCUUAGGUGUAAACACGAAAGUUGUAGGUAUGAAUGUUAGCUUUCUAAUGCCGUUGGUUUGACUUCAAAAGGAUUUAUAAAACUUGAGUUAUGGUCAAAUUAAUGCACGUAGGUCACAGUGAAGAAUUGUUUAUGAUUGAUGAAUUAAUAUAUGUAUGUAUAUAUUUGUGAAUACGAUAUUGUCAAUGAUUAAUGAAGCGUUAUAUGUAUAUAUGAUGUUUUAAGAUGUUAAUUAGAAUUUGAUGUUGUUAUAUCUUGAGAUUGUUUGUGCGCUGCCAUGUUGCUGUUUAUUAUUGAUUAAGCUGCAUAUGUUGGUUAAUAUGUUGGUUAAUGUUGUGGGUAAUGUUGGUUAAUGUUGGUUAAUAUGUUGGUUAAUAUUUGAUUAAAGUGGGAUAAUGUUUAAUUAAAGUGGGUUAACGUUUGAUUAAAGUUGGUUAAUAUUUAGGUGACGUUGGUUAAUGUUGGCUGGUGUUGGUUAAUGUGAAAUAUAUAUAUAUUAUGUGGAAAAUAUAUGACGUUGAAGUUGUUGUUGGCUAUCAUUAGUUGUAUUAUUGUGGUGUAAGUCUUAUUCAUAUAUAUAAAUAUAUGUAUUUGUUGAGGGGUGGUUGUCGUCGUUCAUACUGUCGGUGUUUGUAGUUGAGUUGUAUGUAGAUAUACACAGGUGGGUCAGUUGCAUAAGCAUAAAAGUGGGAGAGCUUCGGCUCUGUAACGCCUUGUCGUUCAAAGUGGUGGAGCACUAGUUGCUCAAAGUGGUGUUAGUGGUGAGGACUUAUGUCCUGAUGAGAAUGCUUUAACCAUUCGACAGCGGUGUGGGUCACGACCCUGAUUUUGGUACCACAUGCAUAGUUGCAUUUGUUGAGGAGUCUUAGUGGAGUUGUCAUGUCUUGCAUGAGUCUUAGCGGUGGUGUCGAGUUGUUCAUGAGUUGUUAAUAAGGUGCUAGGUGGAGAAUGUUAACAUGAAUUAAUAAUGUUGUUAUGUUGUAUAUGAACUAUGAAUAUGAUGUUGUUACGUUGUUUAGGUCAUUGAUUAUGAAGUUGUCAUGUUGUAUACGAAUUAUGAGUAUGAUGUUAUAUGAUUAUGAUUAAGAUGUUAAUUAUGAAGUUAAAUGAUGUUGUUAUGAUGUUGUUUAUGAUAUCGAGUUAUGACUGUUGAUAUGAUGAGUAUAUGAUAUGGUUUAGGAGUCGUUAAAAGAAUUACUAUUACUAAUUGAUGAAGUUUAAGUUGUUAGAUGCAUUUGAUGAAUUAUAUAUUAUUAUUAUUGAUUGUGAAUCUCACCCCUUCUGCUUGAAAAUGUUGCUCUUCGUAUGAGUAACUUGCAGGUGAUCGAGAGUAGGUUGCUGUGUUUUUGCUGUCGUGAGUGGCUAUCCCUCACUGAGUCGUUUAGGUGCUCUGAUACGUAACGGGAUGAGAAAUUGUUGCUAUGUUUAUCAUUCCUUUAUGUGUCAAUUUUGGAACAUGUUGUUGAAGCUUUUAUUGUCGUUGAAUUAAUUCCGCUGCGAAGUUUUAAUUAUUACGUUGUUGAAAUUUGAAGGAUAAUUAUUUAAUUAUUCAAUUUGUGAUUUUUAAGAAAAGAAGUGUAACAUUCCGUUUAAGGUGUUUUACUCUGAUUAAUUUAUGAAAUUUUUAUGUUGGGAAAACGGGGUGUUACAAACUCCACAAAAUAGACCACUCACAAUGAGUAUCCGACUAAAUUAAUCAUUGUCUUAACCACCUGCUAGAGACAUUGAUUACACCGACAGUAACGACUAACAAAAUAUGCAAGACCUCAAUCCAGGCAUGAAAUAACAAGUUAUACUCACAACAAAGCAAUACAAAAUCAAGUUCACAUAGUAUGUAAGCAUGAUACAAUACAUAAACAUGUCAAAAACAUCAUCCUUUUAAAAAAAAACAAGUAAAUACAUAUAUAAAAUAAAAAAAUGGAGCGCCCUUUCCCUUACCUUAGCAAUAUAGCAGCUAUUAAUAUUUCUACUCAUGGUCUUUGCUCCACUGAAUCUACACUUGAUUAGAUAAUUUUCCUAAGGUUUGCUCUAAUCUCUCUAUUAGCCCUUCAUCCUUUUCCGCUAUGGUUCUUCCUUUUCUCUCUAUUCUUCAAAGUGUAGAAUCAGCAAAAGUGGUGACUAAAUAGAAGAGAAGAGGUAACUGAUUGUUAUUAUUAGUGAAAUAACUCUCCCACUAACUCUCUUCCUAGAUGAGUGGCACUAUACUUGAGGAAUGGUAGGUUACACGGUUUUUUUCUUUCUUUCUUCUACACAUUUCUUUUUCUCUACACUAGUUAUCCUAUUGUAUACCUGUCCCAUUUCUUGUUCUAUACUAUUGGCUGAUCAUUAUACUUAAUUAAAUUGAUACUAACAUGAGAUAAAGAUGAGGAAUUCUACACGUGCACACAUAAAAAUAAAAAUAGUAGGAAUAAAUAGUUAUAGGUUACACUAUUUAAUAAUUAAUAUAAUGAAUUUUGGCUAUAUACUUCGAAAGAAAAAUACAAAAUAAUAUUAUCACUCAAUAAAUCAUAAAGGUAAAUUAUUUUAAAGUCAAAUUAAGAUAAAAUAAUUUAGAAUAAAAAUAUGAUAAAAUACCGGGAUCUUACAUUCUACCCACCUAAAAUAGUUUCGUCCUCAAAACUGACUAAACAAAGUAGAUUUUCCUAAUAAAUUUGAGGCAAAUUACCCGGAUGUUACAAUUGCCAUGUCAAGGAAAAUGACUUUAUCUUGAAUUUUUUUAUAGACUAUAUUGGGAAGAUUCUGAUAAGUGUAGUUACCCUUUUUUUUCCUGGAUUUCGUUACUAUAUUAAUCUAUAUCUUUUAAAAUAGCGGAUGAUUAGGUAUUUAUCCGUUCUUAUGCACCAAGUUCUACACUAUGGGUUUUGCUGCUCAAUCUAUCAACAUAAAGGAUCUAUAGGCAAAAAAAGAAUCUAAUAAAAGAGAGAUUUUGGAUUUAUUUAACUUAAAAGACUUGUGAAUCUGUGAUGACUGGAUGCGUAUUAUUUCCAUUUUCCUCUUUUAAUUUUACCUGUCAUUUUUAACUCAUCCAUUUUCAAUGUUGAUGUAAUUUAUUCUUAUUCCAUGUAUGAAAAUCUUUGGCAUUGUUCUCCGGGGUUUGAUUGUAACUAUCACCUACUUCAAGUUGAGAAGUAAUUUGAUUAAUGAUAUGGUUCUUUGGGUUCGUCGGAGUUUUUUUUUUUAAAAAAACUUUCUGAUACAAUUUCAUCAUUCUAGAACUUGCUUUAUAUUAAGUAUCCUUUUAUCGAAGUUUUCUGCAAAAUCUCUCGAUCGGUGCUUGCCGAUGUACUUCUUUAUACAUUGCAACCUGAUAGCUUUCUUUUUUACUUUCUUUAUUAUUCAAGUGCUUAAUCUUUGACAACCACUUUUUUGCAAAAUUUUGCACAUGUACUUUAUCUUGGUAUCUAUUUGUGUCUCUGAAUAGGUUGACAAGGAGGAAGUGCACUUACGCCGGACGAUUAGUUCAAAAAAGGACGAAUAUUUUCUAGAUGGAAAACACAUAACGUGAGUGUAAUAGAUUAAGACAUUGAACACAUACUAUACAUUCAUUUUUAUAGAAAAUUGACAUUUUAUCUUAUGCUCUUUGGUUAUUUGAGUAUUUAUUUACCUAUUGCCUAAAGAAAGAUGAUAAAUAAUUUGCAGUAAAGCUGAAGUGAUGAUUUGUUUUGAAUAAGCUGUUUUUUAAAAAUAGAUCGUAAUAAUUUGUUUUUCAUGAGAUAAGUUGUUUUGAAUAAAUUAGAAGCUAAAUUACAAAGUAUAACAAUGUAUUGAUUUUAAGAGGAAAAAGGGUAAAAUAAUAAAAUUAUAACAUAAGUCCUCCAUCUCCUUUCCUUAUUGGCCUUUUAACUCCCAAAGGGAAGAUUUUCCCUCCUUUCUCCCUUCCCUCCAUUUCCUUCCCUUCCCCUCCUUAGCCUUUCCUUUCAUUCCCCUCAAAACUCGCAAACAAGGCCUUUUAAGAUUCAAGUAUCAAGUAUUUUUAGUUGGGGUCGGCUGCUGUGCUCCACUAUCUGUGAUUUGCAACACUGAUCAAUAGCUCUUGCCAUUGUCUGGUACUGUUACAGUAACUUUGCUCUCUUGUACUUCACUUUCCGUCUUGUUUUUUUAUUUUUGUUUUGCGCCGCAGGAGAAAAAGCUGACGGAAGAAAUCGAACGACUUAAUGUUGAAAUGCAUGGUUGUGAUACGGAUAUUGAAAGCCGUAGAACAAAUAUUAAUGCUUUGGAAUUUCAAAUGGCCAAGUUAUGUGAACGGUCUAAUAAUUAUAAAGUAAAAAAAGGCGGCCUUCAAGAUGAGAGAAAGUUCGUAUCUUGUCUUUUUUUUUGUGAUGCACUAUAUGUUUUUGAUUUCAUAGUCAAUGAGUAUUUCUUAAUGUUUGAUAUUGUUAUAUUAUAGGUCCUUAUGGAGCAGAGAGAAUGAACUUACUGCUGAAAUUGAUAAACUGAGAGCAGAAGUUGAGAAGACUGAAAAGAGUCUUGAUCAUGCAAUUCCUGGUGUAAGUAGCCCAUCUUAAAAGCUUCUUUUAAAUGUGGUAUUUGCCAAUGCAUAAAAUGUAUAGGUCCCUUGUGGUGUUUCUGAGGCAUUGCACCUUUCACUACGGGUAAGGUACUUUGUGCUUGUUUAUUUUAUAUACUUUUAAACAUUUGUACAUACCCUGUAUGAAUUAACACAACAUGUGUUCAUAGAUGUAAACUAUUGUCAUUCUAAAAAUUUAGGAAAAACCUUGACUUUUCCUUAGGUGUUUUUACAACUAUUUUUAAUAUGCAAAAACUUUUGGUCCAAAAGAAGCUGCAGGCUCGUUACCUCCAAAAAUGACAUGACAUUAAGUGAUAAAUAAUGAAAUAGAGCGAUUCGAUUAUAUUCCGUGGUUGCAGUACUUCUUACUUUUUAAAUAUGCUGAAAAGGAAAAGUUGGUACUACAAAUAUCCCACCAUGAAGGGGUCUAGGGAAAAGUCAAACCUAUUAUGGUGAAUGAAUUUAAUAAUUGCUACAAGGUUUUACAUUAUUAAAAUUAAAUGUAUCUCACUAAAUAAGUGUUUAGAAGUGCCGUUGAUAAAAUUAAAUGUAUCUCACUAAAUAAUACUUCCUCUGUUCCUUUUUAACUGUCACUUUUAGAGAAAAAAUUUGUUCCUAAUUAACUGUCACUUUCAAAGUUCAUUGCAACAUUAAAUGAUGUUUUACCAAUAUUACCCUUAUAUAUUUAUUGCAGAGAGAGAAACAUAUGAAUUAAAAUAUUAAAUUAACAAGAUCAUUAUAGUAAAAGUAAAAACAAUUGCAUCAAAAGUAGUAACAUUUAUUAAUUGUCUUGGUUUGUGUAAAAUAUCAAAAAGUGACAAUUAAAAAGGAUCGGAGGUAGUAGUAUAAGUGUUGAGAAGUAUUGGUUUGACUUUUCCCAAGACCCAUUUAAUUUUUACUUCUAAACAAUUGACUUUUAAAUAAACAAUUAUUUAGUGUCAAACCAACACUUGUAAACACUUUCUAAUCAACGCUCUCAAAAACAAAAACAAAAAAAACACUUUCUAAUCAAUUGAAAUUUAAAUGGGUCUAUGUUUAUGCUGGGCUUAUAUUAUUUAGUGAGAUACAUUUAAUUUUAUUCGAUUAGAAUGUGUUGAAGCGAGUGUUUGAAAGUGAGUUGAUAAAAAAUUUAAAAUCUAAUACUCCGGUCUUAAAUUUAAGCAAAAAUUCUCUUAUCAGAAUUCAUAUUAAUUGAAUAACUAAUUAGAUAGGUUAUUCAAUGAAUGUGAAAAAAAAAAUCAUUUUUUUUGUCUAAUACCCCAGUGGCUAGAGCUUACACAAUUAAAUGUGGAGAAGCUAGAGCCUAGAGGGUUGGUAUUCUUUUUUAUCAUCUACGGACCCCGGAAAAGAUGUCUUGUUUCUCUAUUUCAUAUGUUAAACUUGAUAAUAGAUACCAAUAACUUCACAUUGGAUUCGAAUCCACUUGAGUUGGUUUGAGACAUUGUAGUGUGAUGAUCCUCUCAAAGGUCUUAGAUUCGAUUCACUCUGAUGCCAAUUUCGAUGGAUUAGAUUAACUUAAAAAAACUUUAUAUUGGAUCUAGUGUAGUUUAUAGACAGUUGAAUUUCACUAAUUAACGCAUUCCAAUGUCAAAAUACUCCCUCCGUCUCUAAAUAUAAGUAAAAAAAAUUGUAAAAUUAAUUCAAUUAAUGAUAUAUGUGAUUCAUUCAUAAUAUAAACUACAUACAUUAUUAAUUGAAUCAACCUAAAAAAUAAGAUUUGUUUGUAUUUAAAAACAGAGGAACUACAUUACAAAUGACAUACAUUACUGGUCAUCGAUAAAAAGCAAAAGCCGUUGAUAAUAACUGCCCGUUUGAUGUCUCCAUGUGAUUGGUAGCAAGUUGGUACCAUCAAUGUUUUGUAGAUUUUGUCCAAAUAAAAAAUGUAUGAUUUCCUUUGUACAUAUAUACUUUUUUUUUUUUUGUCACAAAUAGAGUUUAUUUAUAUCAUUAUAUAAUGAAAACUGUAAAUUAACUACCGUUUGUAAUCAAUUUUGAUCGAAUUUUUUUCUAGACAAAUAUACUCUUAACAUUUUAAUUAACUUUUUUAAAUUUAAUUUUUCAAUAAGCCGAACCGAUCUACCGAAAUUUAUGUUGGAGAUAAUUGAACUUUAGACUUUGAAAGAAGUAAACUACAAUGUUUUAAGUCAAUCACCAUCCGACCAUAUAGUUUAAGGAGUCAGAAAAUUAACUACUAAUUUUAGUCAAUCUUUUUCAAAAACAAGAUUUCUUUUUGCAAUAUAAUUUUUUUUUUAAAAUUUAAAUUUGUAUUAAAAAAAAACAUGGAUAUAUUAACCGGAACGUAGAUGAUUUAUAGAUAUUAUGAAUUUUCCCUAAAAAAAAAGAUAUUAUGAAUUUAAAACAAGCAAAUCAAAAUUGAAAUAGAAUAGAUAAAGUAAAACGUUAUAAUUUAGCUUCAAGCUAGUGUCUUGACGGGCACGUGUCUGUCUUUUCUCAUAAAAAUAAUGCUUGUAAAAUUUUAAUCUAGUGAUUUAAAAAUUAAGUUACUUGAUUGGUGUGGAGAAUAAAACGGUAAAAAAAGGUUAGUGCUAAAGGUGCAUUUGAAAGAAGAAAUGUUACAUCAAAUUUUAGUAUCUUUUGCCAACAAAAAAAUUUCGUAACUUAAAUAAUUGAAUGAAGAAUGAUUAAAUUGUAAAUAAUAUAUAUAUAUAAAGGGUAAAAUUUGAAAGGUAAAAUCCACAAGUUUUUAGGCAAAUGUCGAAAUCGUUAGAUUGGUUAGUGUUGUUACUUUGAUUCGAAUCCAUAUUCUUCCAUUUAUGUAUGUGAGUUUUCAAAUAGUUAUUAUUAGGGUUAAUUAUGUUUAAGGUCCCUACAAAUAAGCGAGCUUCCAACAUUGGUCCCUACUAAAAUUUUAUUAAAUUUUUCAUCCCCAACGUUUUUUUCCGUUUGUAAGUUUGGUCCUUACCGUCAACUGUGCUGACUAGGCUAACAGAAUGCUGAGCAAGACAUGCCACAUGGACAUUUCAAGUGACAUGGCUGUAAUGUGGUAAAUGACAUCAUAUGUUUUUGGUCCCUAUAAAAUUGGGACCUUUUAAGUUUAGUCCUUACUUAAUUUUAGGCUUAAUUACUCUUUUGGUCCCUUAACUUAUUUUUUGGUUUCGUUUUGGUCCCUUAACUAUUAAAAGUUUCGGUUUGGUCCCUUAACUUACUUUUUGGUUUCAUUUUGGUCCCUUAACUAUUAAAAGUUUCCUUUUGGUCCCUUAACUUAUUUUUUGGUUUCGUUUUGGUCCCUUAACUCUUCCUCCGUCAACCACUUUGGUCCUUUAUGUUAGGAUGAAUGUAUUAGAGUUAAGGACCAAAACAAAAUCAAAAAAUAAGUUAAGUGACCAAAUCGAAACCAAAAAAUAAGUUAAGGGACCAAAACGAAACUUUUAAUAGUUAAGGGACCAAAACGAAACCAAAAAAUAAGUUAAGGGACCAAAAAAGUAAUUAAGGCUUAAUUUUAAUAGUGCUUUUAGUCCAUAUAAAAAAAUUAUGCACUCAAUUUUAGUCCCUACUAAAUCUAAAUUUGUUUAAUUAUGCUUAAACUUUUAAGAUUUUGAACAAUUUUUUGCACAAGUGUUAAGAACAUUACGAAAAUUUCCCAAAAUUUUAUUUCUGCGUCCAGAUUUUUGUUACUUUUAUCUCAAGUGGGAGCAAAGAAGAUUGAAGAGAGCGAAGUAGUAACAAAGAGAAACAGUAACACAAAUCUGGUUUUUUCCGGCAAAUUCAGGGAAUGACAGGAAAUAUUUGUAGGGUGAAAUAUUUUAUUGAUCUGGAAGAAUAAAAAGGAAUGAAGGAGAGUGAUAGGGUUUGACAAAAAUUAUGGGAAAAUUUUGUGCAAAAAAUUGUUCAAAAUCUUAAAAGUUUAAGCAUAAUUAAACAAAUUUAGAUUUAGUAGGGACUAAAAUUGAGUGCAUAAUUUUUUUAUAUGGACUAAAAGCACUAUUAAAAAUAAGUAAGGACUAAAAGCAUAUGAUGUCUUUACCACAUGGCAACCAUGUCACUUGAAAUGUCCAUGUGUCAUGUCUUGGUUAGCAUUUCGUUAGCCUAGUCAGCACAGUUUGACGGCAAGGACUGAACUUCCAAACGGAAAAAAAACGUUAGGGAUGAAAAAUUUAAUAAAAUUUUAAUAGGAAACAAUGUUGGAAGCUCGCUUAUUUGUAAGGAUCUUAAACAUAAUUAACCCUUAUUAUUAUCACUUCAUCUAUUUUUAAAAAAUAGUUAAAUAUAUUUUUAGUCCCUACAGUUUACGCCAUUUUGAAGAAUAGUCCAUACAUUUCAUUAAGUGUUUUUAAAAUUCCUAAAUUUUUCCACCGUUAACAAAAUUGGUCCCUGCCGUCUAUUUUCGCUGACCAUUAAUGACAUGUCAUGCCACGUGUUAAAAUUCUAAUUUAAAAAAACUAAUAUUAUUUAUCACACUUAAAAAAUUAAAAUUAAAAAGUAAAACAAUCCCUUUUCUACGUUCUCUCUUCCGUCUAUUUUCAAUUUAGAAAAGGGUUUGUUUAAAAUUUGCACUAAAGAUUUGUCUGUGAAAUCGGAGGUAAGAAUUUCGUUUGGUUGAGAAAGGAAUCAAGAUGCAACAUAUUAUCAUAGGUAAAUCAUAAAUCUAAGGAGUGAAAAUAGUCAUGCACGCAAAAGGAAAGGCUUUGAAUUAGGCCAUACUGAGAUCAAAAGGAAAAUGGACCAAAAGUUGACCCAUAAACCGAACCCAACCCCACCCCUUCACCGGAGAACGGAGCAUGGCGGCGGAUCUAGCAAGGUUCGGAUCUGCAAAACUGCACGGACAGGAAAAAGGGUGGUGCGGCAGCUAGAACAGCAAGCACCACAAAAUUAACCAUCUUCAGAGAGGCAAGAGGAUAAGGGGAAGAAAAAGAAAUAGGAUAAGCUUAGAAAUGUAUUGAACUAUUUUUCAAAGAGUGCAAAAUGUAGGGACUAAAUACAUAUUUAACUUUUAAAAAAAUAGAAAGAAAAGUCAUACCCAAAGUUGAUAGUUCCUUUAAAUAUAGUAUAAAGUAGAUAUAGAUAACAGGUAUAUCUCAUUCAUUCAACAAUUGGAUCGUUAAUGAGUAUUUGUUAUGAAUACGUUUUUUUUGUUGACAAUUUUUCAUAUGAAUUCCUAAAACUAUUCGUUACACAAUUACUUGGAUACCUUUUUUUGGAUCUACUUACAUAUACCUAGGUUCCCGUUGUUGAAGUCAAUUAUUUACGCACAUAAAUAAUCAUGGACCCUAUGCUACAAGAGAAAACUAUUGAGGAACUUUCUCCACCACAAACAGACCCACUAGCCUUUAUGAUUAAGAUUUUCACAUUCAGUAGGCAACUUUACUAAACAACUUUAACAUGAGAUGUCAAAUAAAAAUGAGAAUUGCUGUUCCCACAUGUUGUUUGGCUGUGCCACACGAGUAAAAUACAAAAAUACCCUUCGGCAGUUUGCUACCGAAAUAUUUAGUAAACCGGCGGCAGUUAACUGCCGAGGAAAACCUUGGUAGUUAACUGCCGAAGAAAUCUGAUAAUGCAGACAGUGGGUUCUGCAUAGUUCUAAACAUUUCCAAGCCAUUUUUCCGGCCAGUUUUUACCUGUAAUUAAACCAGAGCAUUUCCAAAGGCAAAAUAAUUCAUACAAGAUUGAAACUCGGACAUAAUGAAGAUAAGUACAAUAUCUUUUACAAUUGUUCAUAAUUAAAUUAAACCGACAUUUGGUUAAAAUUAAACAAACGUUUGAAAUUCAUCAAAACAUUACAAAGUGUCCAUAAUUAAACUACUCAUUACACAUCAUUAAAUUAAAUCCCUACUUACUUUCAACGCAAUUACAUAUGGAACGAACAUACAUAUAUAAUAUAUUAUCUUCCACCAUAUUCCGAAACAUAAAUCCGACGUCGCCGUCGUCGUGAAUAAGCAAAGGCAUAUAGCUUGCCGUUUUCCAUGCGUAUUCAUCUCUAUCUUCUCCUAGGUCUAUGCAUGGCAUUUGACCAAACAAGUGACGUGUAUAUUGAUUUUCACCAAGAUGCUCAAAAUAAGUGUUAAGUUGUGCCUUCAAAUUGUCAAGAGAGUCCGUCGGCGUUAUCAUAACCUUAACCGUCUUUUUAAACGCGGAGUACCUAACCCACCCUUCAAUUUGUGCAACCUCAGACAUGUCUCACUUGAAAAUUUUUGUAACAAAAGAAUCAUAUAUUAGAACAAAAUUAAAUGGAAUGUAAUAACGAAUAAAUGAAAUGCGCAAACAUUAAAAAGCUAUAAAUAAGUAUUGCAUUAUUUUCACUACAUAAAAGUCAUAUUAUCAUAUAUAUAUAUAUAUAUAUAUAUAUAUAUAUAUCAAUAUAAAUUACAUAAUGUUAGUUAUAUAUUUGCCACAAAAAAAUUGGCGUUACAAUUUCGACCCCAAAAAAUACAUCGGUGUAAUUUCUACAAAAAAAAAGAACUAACACCGACAAAAAAAUCACUCAUUAAAGACCAAGUGAUUGGAGAAGAUCAAGUGACAUAGAAUCUUCCUCAUCUUCCGCAAUAACUUCAAAUUGUUGCUUUGGUUUUUCGGGAGUGUCCAACAAAAUAGGCGCCGCUUUGUUUGACUCCUUUUGUGGUUUGGACGGUUUGUUUCCACUUUCAAUAGCCAUGAGCUUUCGGAACAACUCAUGUCGAUCCAAAUACUCAUCUUCCCAAGUCACCACAUCUUCUUUCUUGUGAUUGUGCCACUCCGUAGAUGAUGGAGGUAGUGGACAACCAUUCUUCAAGGAAAUAAGCACAAAAUGAUUUGGAAUUGCCCCAAGGCACAAGAUGGGAGUUUUUUGAUUACCCGGCGGUGGUGGCCCUCUUAGUGGGAAAAACGAUUCCGAGUUUCCAACUUCAAGAUUUGUCAACACGACCACACAUAUUUUGUAAUAAUUAGCAACAAUGUGUCCCAUGUCCGGAAAAGUCAACCACUUAUCAACAAGAUGUGCACAAGUUUUUGUAUUUGCGGGAGGAUGUAAUCCGUUUAAAAUGUAGUUAUAACGAUCCUCACCCGCAAAUACUUCAAAAUAAUCAUCUCUAUGAUCCAUCAACUCUUGGAUAAGAUGUGUACGGAUCAUGAGAUGAUUUUUUUCGGUCAAGCCUAUGAACUCGGCUAUAGCCCGGAAUCCGCAAUGUCCAUCGCCGAUAACAUCCACCACUUUUUCAAUAAAUGGAAGCAUGAAGCGUGGCAUAUAAUCAAUAGGACGCAUAACCGGGAUAGCCUUAGGCUUUGGAUACCGAGUAGGUGGUGGAAGUGGGGAAAGUGAUGUUUUACCUAGACGAUCACCUUUUUUCCUUUUAUAUGAUGAUGUUGUUGGUGAUGGUGACGGUUGGCUAUCCGGAUUUUGGGAAUCAACAACCUCCCAAGAAGAAGGGAUCCGACUAGUCGAUGUAAUUUUUCCUUUAGACCUCGCAAUGUCGACUUUUUUCUUUGCUCCCUUGGUUGGUACUUUUCGUGGUGGUGGAGACAUCAAGGUGGUUUCAGGAAAUGCCAACUGCCGCAAACCCUCUUUGACCUCAAGCUUCAUUUGGAAAGGGAGUUUCUUUAGACGCUCUACAAUAGCCUUCAACUCAACCUCGACACAAAAAACAUCUUCAUUACUUUCUUCACCCAUAGAUAACCUAAGCCAAUGGUGGUAUAUCUCAUCCAAUAAAAUUGGCUUCUCUUGAAGGAGUUUAGUAGCAAUUUCGCAUGCACAUGGUAGCCCAUAAGAUGUCCUUUGAACACAACCACAAAUGUCAUUGUUGUUGAGGCAAAAUCCCUAAUUAAUUUUAAAGAUAAUAAACUUUAAUGAUUAAGGAUUAAAUGGACUUUGAUUAAUUCCUUGGUAUUUAACUUGUGCUCUUGAGUGUUUUCACUAAGACAGGAACAAGGUUUGAAUCAUACCAAGAUGCAUAAAAUCAAAGGACAUUGAAUCCAUGAACUAAUUCUGAAGUUCAAAAUGUUGAUCAGAAAGUUGAUCAGAACGUUCUGAUGAGAGUUCAGAAGCAACUCAGUUCAGAAGCAACCUAGUUCAGAAGGUUGUUCAGAAGCUACCCAGAUUCAUCAAGAACGUGAAGAGCAUGCAAGUACACUUGACAUGAAUAAAAGGUCCAGAAAAGUACAUCUGCAUGGAUCUAUCAACAAAUAAAAGGCAUGGACAAGGAUCUAUGUCAAAAGGAUCUUUAAUGUUUCAUCCAAGACUAUGAACAUUAAAGUACUAGGAAUAUUCCAAAGAGAAUAUUGUCCUAGAUGAUGCAUUCACUGCACUUCAGUUGUAUCUUACUAUUAGGUUUGAUUACAUUAAAAGUUAAGUCUUUCAAAUCAACCUAAAGAAAGAACAAAUGGAACAUUCUGAGAUCAGAAUGUUCACUUCUGCACAUGCUUCCAGCCAUGAACAGUGUAGUUGGUGAAAAGAUCAAAAAGCUAGCAAAAGGAGAUCUUGCAUCAGAGAUAACGUGUACUCUGAGAUGAAUCAAGCAAAUCUCCUUGAAGCAUGGGCCUGAAGAUUGCAGAUCCACGAUCCUCUCUCCUGCACCAAAUCCAAGACAGAUUUGGUUCAACUUUAUCCUACUUUUUCAAGCAACUUUUGAUGCAUAUGGAGAAGUAACUUUUGAAGGAUAAAACUUGAACAUAUCUCAUGUCACGUAUGGAAUGGACCCAGAAACCCAUCUGACAUUCAUCCUUGAUGAACCCAGAUGAAGAACAUCAUGAAUAUCAAACAUUCUAAUGAAGAACACAACAACAUUCUGAUGUUCAUCCUGGGAACUCAACAACAUUCUGAUGUUCAGAAUGUUUACCCAGAUUUUCAAGUAAAAGCUUGUGGGGCCCAGGACACGUGGCAUAACACCAUUGGUCACCUUACAACGGCUAUAUGAGCCCAAAGACUCUAUAAAUAGAGAUCAAAGGCUCAGCAUUACUUGCACCAUUGCAAAGCAUACAAGAAAACAACAAAGAUUGUUUGAAGCUUUUGCAAAACUGAAAUUGAUCAAUCUCUAAGGCUUUCGUUUACUUAGUGCAAAUCAAUACUCUCUGUUAUCUGAAUGAUAACUUCUUCCUUCUCCUUUGUUUGAUUCACAAACAUUCAACCUCCAUACAAAUUGUAAACAAAGUCUCAUCUAGCUUUAGGCGUACUAAAGUGUUAGUUUGAGUAAAGGUUGUAAAAGUCUAAGUGGUUAACUUAGCAACAAGGUGCAAGCCUGCUGAGGCUUAGAGAAUACAGAAUUGUAAUUGUUCAGGUGAACAAAGAUUGUAAGGUGCAGGAUUUGAGAGGUUCUCUCAAGCAUCAUAGUGGAAACUCUCACAAGAUUGUGAGGAGUGGACUAACCCACAUUGGGUGAACCACUAUAAAUUCUCUGUGUGUUUAUUCUCUCUUCCCUAUACUCUUUACUUAUUGCAUACACAACACACACAAACACAUUUAUCAUAUUAAACUGUUUUUGCACUCAGACAUCAGAACGUUCUGAAGUCUGCUGUUAACUUAACCAUUCCAAGUUUCAACUUGAGAAUCAAUUUUAGGUUACAGGUUUAAUUUUUAAAGGGUCACAAUUCAAACCCCCCCCUUCCUUGUGACUAUUUUAUCUACUUCAAUUGUCUAUGCACAAUGUUUCCCUACAACGUGUCUCUUCCAAAGCAAUGUUGUCCAAAGCAUUUCUAGACACAUGACCACCUAACCCCGAGUACAAAGUGACAUCUUUGAAUCUAUGUUCCAACACGCAAACACUCUGACCAAAGGAUGUUUGUAUAGUAGUGAACUGGAGCAACAACAUGUGAUGUAUUUUCUCCCAACAAGUACCCAAAUCACCCACACUAUUUUCCAAGUAUUUCUUCAACAAAGCAUGAGCCGAUUCGACCCUGUUUGUGGUCCUGCAACCAAGAUGCAACACAUGGUCUGUCCAUGCCCUCACAAUUUUGUCCUUCACUUCAUUCAAGGUGUUCAUGGCAUAAUCUACAAAAAUUGGGAAAUCACUACAUGAAUCUUUGAACUCCACUAAUGCAUUUGCAUAUAACUGUUGAGUGGGCGAUUCAACCAUAGCUUUCCAUGUCUUCAUUAUCUUUUUCACCACAUCGCGAUUGCUCACCUCUUUCCCAUCCUUUUUAAAGCCCAAAUGAUAUUUACAAUCCAAGACACACCUUUGUUUAACAUUAGCUUGCACAUGAAAAUAACAAUUCAAUGCAUAACUUUCCGGAAAAACAUGUGCAACCGCUUUCAUCAAAGACAUAUCCCUCUCGGUAACAAUCACCUUAGGCAUAUUCAGCUUUGACGAAAGAAGUUUACGCAACAUUUUUAAAACCCAAACAAAGUUUUCUUCUUUCUCAUGUGUCAUAAAUCCAAACCUAACCGAAUAUGUCAAAUCGGUUGAAGUCACCCCAACUACCUCAAACAUUGGCAUCCUAUACAUGUUGGUUUUGUACGUGGAGUCCAUAACCAAAACCGUUGGAAAAUUGUUAAACAACUUAAUGGAUGUUGGAUGAGCCCAAAAAAUAUCUUCAAUAGUAUUACUUUCAAGUUGUGUUCUUGAGUAAUAAGUAUAGUUGUGCUCCUCCAACUUCGAGAUUAGAAAUUGCAACGGCUUCUUGUCACCCCUAUUUGCCUUCCAUAUUUGUUGACGUUCAUUGUACACUUGCUUCACAUUUGUCAUGCAAUGUGGUCUUUGGUUCUUCAAAUGUAUCAAAAUAUUUCUUGGAAGCAUCUUGCUCUUGGUCAAGUCACGUACGAUCUUCUUGUCGUCCUCCUUUAAUCUACCGGCAACAAUGUGUCCUUCUAAAGCCGGCUCCAUGGGAUGGUUGUGAACUCCAUUAAGAAUGUUCAAUCCCCAUUCCUUUGUUUGCUUACUUUGAUAUCCACUAAUCAUGAAUAAGCAACUGCAUUUUCUUGAGCCCGUCCUCGCAUGCUUCGGUUUUUUUUUUUCGGAACUAUGUGAGUUCCACUCCUUUUACACACUAACCGGAACAUUGGAUUGAUCAAGCUUGAUCUUUGUGUGACAAUUUUAAAUCCCGCCUUAUUUGCUUGUCGACGCACCCACUCAAGCAAUUCAUCUCUAUUUUUCGACUUAACGUCGUCUGAAAAAAACUUAGCCGUGUCGACCUCGUGGGGUUGAAGUGGGAGUACACCGGAGCCGCCAACAUACUUUGAAGCUUCAACAUGGACGGAAGCUCUAUCUAUGUUUGUUUUCGCUUCAACAUUAGGCGGUUUGACAUCUCCGGAAUUUUCGACAAAAUUUUCUUUUGUCUCUCCCGGAACAUCUUUCGCAUUCUCUACUAUUACUAUAAUUAAACAACACAUAAAUAUGAAUUAACAACUAAGUAAUGUAUAAACAUCAAUGCCAUAAUGAAUCAAAACAAAAAAAAAACAAAAGAAGUUUUUUUUUGAAAAUCUGGCAGUAGCUGCCAUUUUUUCGUGGUGAAAAUUUUCACCAAGAGUUCCUCGGUACCUAACUACCGAGGUUUUCCUCGGCACUAAACGACCGAAGUUUUCCUCGGCAAUUAACUGCCGAGGAUUCCCAUGACAGGGUUCUACGUAACUGACGUAGAUACCCCUAAAACACCCAAAAAAUGAAUCAAAUAAAAUGCACAAUACCUGUUUUUUUACGUCAAUAGUGUGUUGAUACCUCCUAUGCUUGAUGCUUGAAUGAUUUUGGAUCAAAAAUUGAUUAAAAAAAAUGGAUUUUGGGAUUGAAUGGAAAUGGAAAUGAAGGUGAUGAAGAAAAUAGUGUGUAGGGGGAGCAGGUAGCUGUUUCAUCGGAUGAAACAUUUUCCUCGGCAGUUAACUGCAGCCGGAUUUCAAAUUCCUCGGCAGUGCAGGGGGUAUUUGCGUAAUUUACUCGUGUGGCACAACCAUACUAUAUGUGGGAACAACAAUUCUCAAUAAAAAUUGUACUAUCAAUGUCACAGAAUUAUAUUAAUAAGAGUAGUGAUAUUUGAACAACUAUUUUGGUACAACUUUUGGGACAACCUUGUUGUGUUCUCUUCUUAUUGGUCAAAAACAAUAGAGAGAAAAUAAGAAGAUAAUGUGAGUAUAAGAGAGAAGGUUGUACAAAAGUUGUAUAAAAAUGGUUGUACGAAUAUCAUUUCUUCUCCAUUAAUAAUCAAUGUCUCUACUUCAGUUUCAAAGAAGACACCUCAAAGAACAAAAAAAUCUCAUUCAUCAUCAGCUCCAAAAUCUUUCCCUCAAACUUGACAAGGUAAGUGCUUCUUAUUCUGUUGCAACCUUGUCUAAAUGACUAGAAUUAGUUGUAGCAGUAAAAUUAUCACAAUCUUGUUGUCGAUUAUUUCCUUCUUCUAUGGUGCUACUGCUCUUACCUCUGAUGGUUUGACUUUGAUGUCACUCUUGACACGUUGGACCUUUGUUCCUCCGCUAAUCAACUCUAGUUGGAAGGCUUAAAGCAAAUCAACUUGGGAAAGCAUUUGUUAGAGCUCAACAUGGGAAUCAAUCAACUUCAAGGUGGCAUACCUUCUGAUCUAGGAGAUUAAAUAUUAUAAUUGAACCAUAUUUGCACAUCACAGCUUAAAGCAACAAUACAUUUUACUCAUAUUUUCAUAUGAAUGUGUAUGUAUUUACGCAUGUUUUAAUGAAUAUUGUUCAAUUAUUCAUUCAUUGCAGCAGUAUCCUAAUCGAGUCGAUGACACACUUGCACAGGCAUAAAGGAGUGAUAAUUACAUAGAAAUAAUAUUUGGAUGCUGUGACACCAUUCAAUUCCAUUUUAUAAGAGAAGUUGAACGCUGAAAUAGAUUAAAUAUUACACACUGAGGAUAUGGUUUCAAAUAUGCAUUAUUCAAAAGGUAAAAAACAUCACCAUCCUUUAAUUGAAGCACCAACAUCUAUAUCCGUCGUAUAAAUUAAAAACAACAUAUUUUGAUAUGUGUGAACUACCUAACAACCAAAAGACAUUGAGAUAAAAAAAAGUUUAGAAGUUGAAGCAAUUAAGUCUUAUCAUUUAUUCAACGAUAAAAUCCUGAAAGUAACAAAAAAGCAAUUGAUCACUUUAAUUUCAUAUUUGUUCAACUUACACUAACACAUUGGUGUGUGUAUAUAUAUAUAUAUAUAUAUAUAUAUAUAUAUUAUUUAUAUUUUAUAGAACAACAUUUCAUAAAAAAAAAAACAUCAUUUAAUUGUUUAUAAGAAUCAAAAUAGUAACUUUUUUUUACAUAUUAUCGUAAAAAAUAAUGAAUGUUCUCAAUUAUGAGUGAUAAAAAUUUAAAAAAAUAAAAAAUUAUUUCUUGUUGACACUUUUGAUGAAUAAGAUUUAGUUAUUAUAAUAAAUGAUAAAAAAAAUAAUAUUUUUCUUAAAAAAACAACUCAUUUAACUAUGAAUUUAAAGAAUGAGUGUACCGGUAUAUAUAUAUAUAAUACUACAUCCCUUAAACUGGGAAAUUCAGAUUAAUUACAAACAGUUGUAACUACAUAUUUGAAAAGACCCUCAUCCAAUUAAUUCAUUCUUAUGCGAUUUGCGAUGGCUCUGUUGUUCGUUCUUUUCAAUCUUAUGUCAAACAUAUGUUCAACAUGUCUUGCAAGCCAUUCGGGUUUACCAGUGAAGAAGAAUACAUUAUAUCCGAAUAGCAACCCGAAGAUUGCCCCACAUGCAUAUCCGAUUGCUACCGCUUUCCAGCCAAAUCCUGAUUCUUCUUCAUCUUCAGAUGUUGAAUGAGGUGGCCGAUCUUCCUCAUUUUUGCAUGAUUUAGACAAUGGAAAUCCACAUAACAUUGUAUUUCCUUCAAAAGAAUCAUUUCCAAAUGUAUUAAACUGUUGACCUUUAGGUAUGAUUCCCUCAAGAUGGUUUUGUGAAAGGUUUAAGACUGAGAGGAAGUUCAAAUUUGUCAAAGCCACAGGAAUCUCACCCUUCAAUUGGUUGCAUGAGAGGUCCAACCACUCCAAAUUUCUCAAAUGACUCAAAGAUUGUGGAAUGCUACCUGUGAUUCCAUUGUUUGAAAGGUUAAGUCCUUUGAGAGAAUUUAAUUCUCCAAUGACUUGUGGAAUUUCACCUUCAAACAUGUUAUUUGAUAAAUCAAUAGUUGUGAAAGCAGUCAAUAUCCUUGUUAGCUCCAUGAAAAAACCUUUCACUGUGACCACAACAGAAUCAUUGUAGUAAUAAGAGUCACCCAUGUAUUGCAAACCAAUUUGGUCGUCACUCACAUUCAUCAUUCCUUGAAAGUUCUUGAUGCAUGAUGUUGGCAAGGGCCCACUAAAAUUGUUGUUAGAGACAUCAAAAAUUCUCAACUUGGGAAAUGUAUGCUUGGUGCUAGAACAGGUGAUUGCACCAUGAAGAUUAUUUGAUCGUAAACUUAUCACCUGUAACUCUGGUAGAGUUUCUAGCCAAUCAGGAAAUGUAUCCUCAACGUUGUUGUCACCAAGGUCCAAAACUUCAAGAUAUGAACAGUUAGCCAAAGAUUGUGGUAAUGGUCCUUCCAAUUGGUUGCCAUUCAACUUUAUAGUCUCAAAUGCAUUUCCUUUGGUAAAGGUUCUAGGAAUGCUUCCAUAGAGGUUGUUCAUUUGCAUAUCCAAUACAUGAAGAGAAUUUAAUGUUCCCAGGCAUUGUGGAAUCAUACCUGUCAAAUUGUUGUGAGCCAAAUCGAGCAUAUAAAGGGAACUGGCAUUGCAGAAUGUUGAAGAAAUGUAUCCUGUGAAGUUGUUAUUUGAGAGUGAAAAGUAUUGAAUGCCAGAAGGUGGAAUUGGAAGAUCUCCUUGUAACUUGUUGAAACUGAGGUCAACGGACCAAAUGUCCUUCCAUGAGUUUAAGAGCUUCUUAUGAAACCAUUUGGGAAUUUUCCCAUGAAUGUUGUUGUUGGAGAGAUCUAAUGAUUGCAGAUUUGGUAGUUGCGCUAGGAAUUUAGGAAAACUAUUAAUAUUAGCAGAGGAUAAAUCUAAUGAAAAAAGGUUGGGUAAGAUGGAGUCAGCACUGCUAUCAGUGUUGAUAGCAAGAAAAGUAUUGUGUGAAAGAACGAGGGAAUUUAGUUUGUUUAAUUUUGAAAAUUGGUGAAAAUCCACAACACCACUCAAGUUUGUUGAUGACAAAAUUAACUCGGUAAGAUUUUGGAGUUGAAAUAUUGAAUUUGGAAAAUGACCUCGUAGGUUGUUAUUAGAGAGAUCCAAAUAUUGCAAAGAAUAUGUUGAAAACUCACCAAUGAACCCUGUGAGGUGGUUGUCGCUGAGGCCCAACUCUAACAACGAAGGCAAAGAAUAACACCAAUGUGGAAUUGUUCCAUUUAACAUGUUAAAGCUUAAAUCCACAAUACUCAAUUUUGAACGUUUUGUGAUUUCAAUUGGAAUUGGGCCAACUAGUUUGUUAGAUGAUAAAUAUAAAUAAGAAAGAUGAGGUAGAUGAAAAAGUGAUGAUGGAACUUGGCCUGUUAGGUUGUUAGAGGAAAGUGCUAAAUAUUCCAAUUUGAUUAAAUUUCCAUAAACAUUUGGGAUGCUACCGCUAAAGUUAUUCUCUGCAAGAUCACAAUGAAUGAGGUGUUUGAGGUUUGAAAGUAAUGGUGAGAUCUCACCGUUAAGCUUAUUUUGUGAAAGGUCCAAAUAUGUUAGUUGGGUGAGGUUCCACAAAGAUAGAGGAAC